rnacentral:lncRNA from 1 species
CUGAUAGCAAUAGCCAUGUGUCAUAUGAACACAUCUGAUUGGGACACGCGGUACUCUAAGCUGUUGGAUGGAGAGCGUGGCGAACCUAUUUGGCACUACAUGCCCACCAAUUACAUCAUGUUCUAUUAGAUAUAUUUAAAGUUCAUGCUCAACUAUGUAAUCUUGUUAUCUUAUCAAUAAAGCGUGUCGAGUGGAUGGAUGUUUGUUAAAAAAACUCAUCACCACUAAAAUCUGGGAGUCUUUUGACUGCUACACACCAAUAUUUUCUUUUAUUGCAUCCCAAAAAACUCUAGUCUGAUUAAUUGUAAUGUUGCACUUGGGAAUUAUUAUUUUUGCAUUUUGGUCGCUCAGAUGAGCUGUACUUGGUUUCUGCUGCCACAUCACUGGCCAAACAGAGGCGGAUUCGUGCCAUCCCAGCCACCACUGGUGAAGUAUCCUCACCAUCCCAGUAACUGUCAUUGGAGGAGACGAUUUUAGGAGAAGAAGGGAUCACCGGUCAUCCUUGAACCAUCCCCACCACCACAUAUGCCCCGUGGGGUGGCGCCGCCGGGGAAACAAGAGAGGAAGAUGUGUAGUCAAGAGAGACAUGCUAGACGGGGUAGUGAGCGAGGGGUUGUGGUUCUGUGUCGUUCUACCGAUUUAUAAUAAUCGUCACAUUUUGGGUGUAAAGGGUAUAUUCCUUUUAACAUAACUAGGAAAGUGGCCCGCUCGAUGCGUGUGCUAAGAUUUAAUGAAGUGGCACGUGGGUAUGCGGUUGUACCAAUAUAAUGUAAUCAAUGGAAUGCCAAUUAGUUGUAAAUUUUCAUAAAUUGUCUUUCUGGUCUUGGUAAAACAUGUGAUUUAUAUAAGUGGCCCAUAAGUGUUGAGUGAGGUAUAGAGUAGCUAGUAAUAAGUUCAUAAAUUUUUGAAAAUGUAAUUAUAUGUAUGAGCACACAUACCAAUCCAAACUAGUACUAUAUCUACAUGGUAAUUGUAUAUUCUUGUAUAGUUACUGCUCUUGUUUUUUAUCUGAUUAACUUAUGGCUAAGUUACUAAUUGAUGAUAGUAAGUUUGGAAUGUGAAAUACCCUACAUCUUAAGGUAUAGUGUUAAUUUGCUAAUGCCCCUCCACUUUUUCCGGUCUUUGGGACCGGCAUUGGAAGUGUUAGGCCCCCUACCCCUAUUAAUAUUCAACAAAGUUAAGAAACUUUAGUACAUUUGUGAUUAGCUAUAGUUUAAAUAAUUCCUAGAGAAGACUGAAAAUAUAACAAUUGAAUAUCAAAGCAAGUCUGAGUGCAUUAUACAUAUGAAUUAUAAUAAUUUACUGAUGCUCUCACUAUUCGUUUGCAUUACAUACUAAGCUUGUAGAAUCAAAUAUCACAUUAUAGUUUGCCGAUGUUUGGUAGUAAUGAACUAUUUCCAAUUGUUGAUGCAUGUUUGCAAUAAUUCGCUAACCAAAAUUAAUAUAUAAUAGCCUAAUGUUCAAACAGGUCUGAUUUCAUUGUAGAUGUGAAAUAUAACAAUGUCUCAAUGCCCUUAAUAUUGGUAGUAAUGAAUUAUUUUGACCUCAUCGCUAUCUUCAUCAUUUACCACUACCCAUAGUCCAUCCAUUUAUGUUAACAUUGAGAAGGGGAUGGACUACAGGUCAUGGUAAAUAAUGAAUUUUUUCAUCCAAUAUUUAGAAUCCACUCUAAAAAUUCGGCUGCCCUUUUGUAUCUCUGAUUCAUCAUGAGUUGUGCAGUUCAAUCGCAUGUUCUUUGUUAGCUUCAUUAUAUGGAAGUGCUUCCAAAGAUAUCACCUGUUAAUGGAUGCAGUGACUAUGUUGUGUCUUGUUCCCUUUGGUCCAAAAGGAUCACUAUAAAAAAAGACACAUCCGUGGCAUUUUGGCCCGAACGAAAAAAAUUAUGUCAUGCUUAUGACAUUUCUAUGACGAUAAUUAUGACAAAACCCAGUAUCAGCAUAUAUGUGGUGGGCUCCUACUUAUAUGACAAAAAAUCAUGACAAAAAAUGGGGUUUUCAAACUGGGCGAGGCGGAGACGCACUUGCAUGACAUUCUUUGGGCCGUCCAUGACGGAAAAAAUCAUGGUAGAAGCAAGGGCAAGGAAAAUUUCGGGGAGUUCCCGGUUACGGUGGGUCGUCGGGGCCGAGUGAUGCACGGAGGGAUUGCAUGUUUCUCUCAUACAUGUACGUGCGUGUGUGUGACGCGUUGGGCUCUAACUGAACCCGUUCGAGGCGUUCGCUUACUGAACCCGAGCGCUUGCACUAGCUACGUUACCGAACCCGAGCGAUCGAUCCCUGACUGUUAACUGAACCCGAGCGAUUCCUUUGCUACUGCUGCUAACUGAAGCCGAUCGAACCUGCUGCCUCUUGAUGAACAGUGACCAUUGUUGGGGGUUGGAUGAACAGUUCCUGAUGGGGGUUGGAUGAACAGGACCCAUGGUAGUAGAGGCCAUUGCCGCUGGAUGAACAGGACCCCGAUCGUGGAGGCCGGUGGAGGGUGGAUGAACAGUACCCCGUCGAGGGAUUGUUGAAUAGUAGCCGGUGGAGGCGGGAUGAACAGGACCCCGUGGAUGAAGAAUAGAUGGUGGAGGCUGGAUGAACCGGAACCCAUGGUAGUCAACGGUGGAUGAAAAGUAGCAGGUGGAUGCCGGAGGAAGUCAAUGGUGGAUGAACGGUAGCUCGUGGUGGCUGGAGCGAGGCAGUCGACGGUGGAUGAACAGUAGCCCGUGGAGUCCCAUUUUGCCGUACGACACACCCCUCUCGAUGAACAGGACCCUAUUUCGACCGUAGGCGCUCCAACACAAGCCCAUUUCCAACGUUUUGCGGUACGCCACACCCCUCCCGAUCAACAACAGCCCGUUACAACCGUAUGCACUCGAACACAAGUCCAUUUCCUCUAUUCUGCGGUACGCCAGACCCUUCCCAAUGAACAGGACACCGUUUCGACUGUACGCAGUCGAACAGAAGGCCAUUUCCUCCGUCUGCAGUAUGCCAGAGCUUGUUUCGGUUAUUCCGUCCAAGCCGGUUGGCUCUCGAUGAAAACGCGACGCUGUUUACUCUGUUCCGACCUAGCCGGUUGGCUGCCGAUGAACAGGACAGUGUCGCUGUAUGCAUUAGAGACCCCACACAUAUGUACGUACAUAGCCAUAUUUACUAUCUUGUAGCAUGGUUGUACGUAUGUGUACAUGAUAUAGACUGCGUGACAUGCAAUGUCAGCGCCUCUACUUCAACAUGUGUGGCUCCUUACCCGGCCAUGGUACGUCGCAGCAGAGAGACCGUUCGACCGCUAUGUACGUACACGUUCUUGGCCAGACAGAUAACGCUACCUUCGCUUCAACCUGGUGGGCCCCAUCUGUCAGGGGGGAAGAAGUCACUUCCUUCUGUGCGAAGGUAAAGCCAGUGGGUCCCAACUAUCAGGGGGGACAUUUUUUCACGAAAUACAGAGGCCCUUCCGAUGGGUCUGAGCUGUGAGGUGGAGGAAUCAUUAUUUUGCGCGUAAUAAGGAGGCACUUGCUUGCGUGCGGGCAUGGACCUCGCUGUCAGCCUCUCCACAUACAGUCCUCUUCUGAUGGCUGUCAUUCGUUGAUCGCGUUGACCACGCCGCACGAAGAGCACCCAGGCGGUGGACGACGGUGAGGCAGGGAACGACGCGGAGCCCGAGAACACGCAGAGGCUAGUAUGAUGGUUGACUGGUUCGACUGCGGUAUGAGGCUGUCGUUGCUAUAGAAUAACAGGGGUGUGGGUGAGUAGAGGGAUGGCCUGGCCAGCGGUGGGAGUAGGGUGGGGCGGUGAGGCCUGAGCGGCAGCACAACCGGCCACGGAGGCAAGAACAGGCGGUCCUGCCGACACUGGUUUGCGCGACUGGUGCAAGAAGAUCACAUAUUGAAGAAGUAGCGGGACCAUUUGAUUAAAAUCCAAUGGUCACUGCUGCUAGAGUCGUUUGUUGACUAAGUUGAUAAAGCCCUACGUGCGCGUCAACUUAGUAGGCCCACAGGUCAGCCUCCGAACCGGUGCACCGAAGAUGUUAGUGGGAUGAAUCAUUUUUUAGCAUAAUAAGGAGGCAGUUGCUUGCGUGCGGCCAUGGACCAUGGGGGUCCCUAUAGUCAGCCUCUUGACAUACAUCCUUGAUGAAGAUGGAGCAUAGCCAGACUAUAUGAUUUUGUAGGAACAAGCUUUCUUUGGCCAUGUUAUUUUGAGAAGACAUAAUUAUUUGUUAGUAUGCUUGAAGUAUUAUUGUUCUUAUGUUAAUAUCAAACUUUUGUUUUGAAUCUUACAGAUCUGAACAUUCAAGCCACAGUAAAGAGAAUUACAUGGAUAAAUAUGUUAGGUAGCAUUCCACAUCAAAAAUUGUGUUUUUAUCAUUUACCUACUCGAGGAUGAGCAGGAAUUAAGCUUGGGGAUGCUUGAUACAUCUCCAACGUAUCUAUAAUUUUUGAUUGUUCCAUGCUAUUAUAUUAUAUGUUUUGAAUGUUUUAUAUGCAUUAAUAUACUAUUUUAUAUGAUUUUUGGGACUAACCUAUUAACCUAGAGCCCAGUGCCAGUUUCUAUUUUUUCCUUGUUUUAGAGUUUCGCAGAAAAGGAAUACCAAACAGAGUCCAAACGGAAUAAAAUUUUCGCGGUGAUUUUUCUUGGACCAGAAGACACCCAGGAGACUUGGAGUGCGAGUCAAAAGAGCCACGACGCGGCCACAAGGGUGGAGGGUGCGCCUAGGGGGGUUGGGCGCGCCCCCCGACCUUUUGGGCUCGAUGACCCCCUGACCUAGAUCGUCCUCCUAUAUAUUCUCAUAUACCCCGAGAACUUCCAAGAGAGCCACGAAACCACUUUUCCACUGCCGCAACCUUCUGUACCCAUGAGAUCCCAUCUAGGGACCUUUUCCGGCAUCCUGCCAGAGGGUAUUCGAUCACGGAGGGCUUCUACAUCAACACCAUUGCCUCUCCAAUGAAGCGUGAGUAGUUUACCACAGACCACGGGUCCAUAGCUAGUAGCUAGAUGGCUUCUUCAUUCUCUUUGAUUCUCAAUACUAUGUUCUCCUCGAUGUUCUUGGAGAUCUACUUGAUGUAAUACUCUUUUGCAGUGUGUUUGCCGAGAUCCGAUGAAUUGUGGAUUUAUGAUCAACUUAUAUAUGAAUAUUAUUUGAAUCUCCUCUCAAUUCUUAUAUGCAUGAUUCGAUAUCUUUGCAAGUCUCUUCGAACUAUCAAUUUGGAUUUGCCAACUAGAUUGGUUUUUCUUGCAAUGGGAGAAGUGCUUAGCUUUGGGUUCAAUCUUGCGGUGCUCGAUCCUAGUGACAGAAGGGGAACCGACACGUAUUGUAUUGUUGCCAUCGAGGAUAACAAGAUGUGGUCUUCAUCAUAUUGCUUGAGUUAAUCCCGCUACAUCAUGUCAUCUUACUUAAUGUGUUACUCUAUUGUUAUGAACUUAAUACUCUAGAUGCAGGCAGGAGUCGGUCGAUGUGUGGAGUAAUAGUAGUAGAUGGAUAAUCGUUUCUGUCUCCUUGACAUGGACGUGAUGUCUAUAUUCAUGAUCAAUGCCUUAGAUAUCGUCAUAACUUUGCGCUUUUCUAUCAAUUGCUCGGUAGUAAUUUGUUCACCCACCAUAAUAAUUUCUAUCUUUCAGAGAAGCCUCUAGUGAAACCUAUGGCCCUCGGGUCUAUUUUCCAUCAUAGAAGUAUCCGACCAGGGGUUGUGUACAUGGAGAGGCAACGGACGACAGCAACGGCAUCCUAUUCAUCGGGCAGCGAACCGGCUGGGUUGGAAUGGAGAAACAUCAUCCUGUUCAUCGGGAAACAACCGACUAGGUCGGAAUGCGUCCUGUUCAACGGGAGCCAACCGGCUUGGACGGAAUAGCCAAAAUGGGGUCUGGUGUACCGUAGAACGGAGGAAACGGCCUUCUGUUUGACCAGCCAAGGUCGAAACGGGAUCCUGUUCAUUGGGAGGGGUCUGGCGUACCGCAAAACAGAGGAAACGGACUUGUGUUCGAGUGCCUACAGUCGAAACAUGGUCCUGUUGAUCGGGAGGGGUGUAGCAUACCGCAAAACGAAGGAAAUGGACUUGUGUUGGAGCGCCUACGGUCGACACGGGGUCCUGUUCAUCCACUGUCUACUGCCUCGCACCAGCCUCCACGGGCUACUUUUCAUCCACCGUCGACCUCCUCCACCCUCCACGGGCUACUAUUCAUCAUCGACUACUGUUCUCCCAGCCUCCAUCGGCUGGUGUUCAUAGAGCCUCCACGUGGUCUUAUUCAUCCACCCCAACCGGCUGGGGUGCGUAGGACUCCUCAUGGUCUUGUUCAUCCAGCGACAACGGCCUACUACCACAAGGUCCUGUUCAUCCAACCCCCACCAGGAACUGUUCAUCCAUAGCCAACCACUCGGCUCGACUCACCAUGUCUCGAAUCGUUCUACGUACCGCUCGCACGGUACCAACAGUCACUCUUCAUCGAGAGGCAAUCCAACACUGGUUGGCUAGCUACGUCUCGCACGGUGGCUCCAUCAGCUUCAGUAAGCAGCAGCAGUGAUCGAUCGCUCGGGUUCAGUUAGCAGCAACAGCAAAUGAAUCGCUCGAGUUCAGUCAACAACGAGCUUGGGUUCAGUUAACAGUCAAGGGAUUGAUCGCUCGGGUUCAGUAACAUGCGAUCGCUCCGAGUUCAGUAAGCCAACGCCUCGCACACACGCGCGUCCACGAGAGAAACGCGCAGACCAUAGUGCAUCGCUCAGCCCCGACCACCCACCGUAACUAGUAACUCCGCGAUAUUUCCUCUCCCUCGCUUCAACCAUGAUUCUUUCCGUCAUGGACGGACCAAAUAGUUAAAGGAAAUAUGCCCUAGAGGCAACAAUAAAGUUUUUACUUAUAUUUUCUUAUAUCAUGAUAAAUGUUUAUUAUUCAUGCUAGAAUUGUAUUAACCGGAAACUUAGUACAUGUGUGAAUACAUAGACAAACAGAGUGUCCCUAGUAUGCCUCUACUUGACUAGCUUGUUAAUCAAAGAUGGUUAAGUUUCCUAGCCAUAGACAUGUGUUGCCAUUUGAUGAACGGGAUCACAUCAUUAGAGAAUGAUGUGAUGGACAAGACCUAUCUGUUAGCUUAGCAUAAUGAUCGUUUUGUUUUUCUGCUAUUGCUUUCUUCAUGACUUCUACAUGUUCCUCAGACUACGAGAUUAUGCAACUCCCGGAUACCGGAGGAACACCUUGUGUGCCAUCGAACGUCACAAUGUAACUGGGUGAUUAUAAAGAUGCUCUAUAGGUGUCUCCCAUGGUGUUUGUUGAGUUGGCAUAGAUCAAGAAUAGGAUUUGUCACUCCGUGUUUCGGAGAGGUAUCUCUGGGCCCUCUCGAUGAUGCAUUACGGAACGAGUAAAGAGACUUGCCGGUAAUGAGAUUGAACUAGAUAUGAUGAUACCGACGAUCGAAUCUCGGGCAGGUAACAUACCGAUGACAAAGGGAACAACGUAUGUUGUUAUGCGGUUUAACCAAUAAAGAUCUUCAUACAAUAUGUAGGAACCAAUAUGAGCAUCUAGGUUCUGCAAUUGGUUAUUGACCAGAGAUGUGUCUCGGUCAUGUGUACAUAGUUCUCGAACUCGUAGGGUCCGCACGCUUAACGUUCGAUGCUGAUUUGUAUUAUGAGUUAUGUGAUUUGAUGUACCAAAGGUUGAUCGGAGUCUCGAAUGAGAUCACGGACAUGACGAGGAUUCUCAUAAUGGUCGAGACAUAAAGAUUUAUAUAAUGGACCAUGUUAUUCGGACACCGGAAGCAUUCCGGAUAGUUUCGGAUAAAACCGGAGUGCCGGAAGGGUUACCGGAACCCCCUGGGGAAGUAACGGGCUUUAGUGGGCCUUAGGGGUGAGAGAGGGCAGCAGCCAGGUGGUGGCACCCCCUAGGGGAGUCCAAAUAGGACUAGGGGAGGGGGCGCGGCCCCUCUUUCCCUCUCCCUCUCCAUUUCCAUCCUUCUUCUCCUACUUGGACUAGGAAAGGGGGAGCCGAUUCCUACUUGCAGUAGGACUCCCCCCUUGGGCGCGCACAUAGGGCCGGCCGGCCUCCUCCUCCCCUCCUUUAUAUACGGGGAGGAGGCACCCCAUAGACGCACAAGUUGAUCUUUUAGCCAUGUGCGGUGCCCCCCUCCAUAGUUACACACCUCGGUCAUAUCGUUGUAGUGCUUAGGCGAAGCCCUGCAUCGGUAACUUCAUCAUCAUUGUCACCACAUUGUUGUGCUGACGGAACUCUCCCUCUGGCUCAACAGGAUCAAGAGUUCGAGGGACGUCAACAAGCUGAACGUGUGCUAAUCGUGGAGGUGACGUGUGUUCGGUACUUGGAUUGGUUGGAUCGCGAAGACGUUCGACUACAUCAACCGCGUUACUAAACGCUUCCGCUUUCAGUCUACGAGGGUACGUAGACACACUCUCCCCUCCCGUUGCUAUGCAUCUCCUAGAUAGAUCUUGUGCGAUCGUAGGUAAUUUUUUUGAAAUACUGCGUUCCCCAAAAGUGGUAUCAGAGCGAGGUUUAUGCGUAGAUAUUAUAUGCACGAGUAGAACACAAAGAGUUGUGGGCGAUAAUAGUCACACUGCAUACCAGCAUGUCAUACUUUGAUUUGGCGGUAUUGUUGGAUGAAGCGGCCCAAACCGACAUUACAUGACCGCGUUCAUGAGACUGGUUCUACCGCCGUGCUUCGCACACAGGUGGCUAGUGGAUGUCUAUUUCUCCAACUUUAGUUGAAUCGAGUGUGACUACGCCCGGUCCUUGUUGAAGGUUAAAACAGCACACUUGAUGAAAAAUCAUUGUAGUUUUGAUGCGUAGGUAAGAACGGUUCUUGCUAGAAGCCCGUAGCAGCCACGUAAAACUUGCAACAACAAAGUACAGGAUGUCUAACUUGUUUUUGCAGGGCUUGCUGUGAUGUGAUAUGGUCAAGACGUGAUGAUAUAUAAAUUGUUGUAUGAGAUGAUCAUGUUUUAUAACAGUUAUCGACAACUAGCAGGAGCCAUAUGGUUGUCGCUUUGUAAUUGCUUUACUUUAUCACUAAGCGGUAGUGAUAGUCGUAGAAGCAAUAGUUGGCGAGAUGACAACAAUGCUUCGAUGGAGAUCAAGGUGUCAAGCCGGUGACGAUGGUGAUCAUGAUGGUACUUUGGAGAUGGAGAUCAAAGGCACAAGAUGAUGAUAGCCAUAUCAUAUCACUUAUAUGAUUGCAUGUGAUGUUUAUCUUUUUAUGUAUCUUAUUUUGCUUAGUUUGGCGGUAGCAUUAUAUCAUGAUCUCUCACUAAAUUGCAAGGUAUAAGUGUUCUCCCUGAGUAUGCACCAUUGCUAUAGUUCGUCGUGCCGAGACACCACGUGAUGAUCAGGUGUGAUAAGCUCUACGUUCACAUAUAACGGGUGCAAGCCAGUUUUGCACAAGCAGAAUACAGGUUAAACUUGAUGAGCCUAGCAUAUGCAGAUACGGCCUCGGAACACUGAGACCAAAAGGUCGAGCGUGAAUCAUAUAGUAGAUAUGAUCAACAUAGUGAUGUUCACCAUUGAAAACUUCUCCAUCUCACGUGAUGAUCGGACAUGGUUUAGUUGAUAUGGAUCACGUGAUUAUUUAGGUGACUAGAGGGAUGUCUAUCUAAGUGGGAGUUUUUAAGUAAUAUGAUUAAUUAAACUUCAAUUUAUCAUGAACUUUGUAUGUGAUAGUAUUUUGCAUGUCUAUGUUGUUGUAGAUAAAUGGCAUGUCCUACUGUUCCUUUGAAUUUUAAUGCAUUCCUAGAGAAAGCUAAGUUGAAAUAUGAUGGUAGCAACUACACGGACUGGGUCCAUAACUUGAGGAUUAUCCUCAUUGCUGCAUAGAAGAAUUAUGUCCUGGAAGCACCGCUAGGUGCAAAGCCCGCUGCAGGAGCUACUCUAGAUGUUAUGAACGUUUGGAAGAGCAAAGCCGAUGACUACUCGAUAGUUCAGUGUGCCAUGCUUUACGGCUUAGAAUCGGGACUUCAACGACAAUUUGAACAUCAUGGAGCAUAUGAGAUGUUCCAGGAGUUGAAGUUUAUAUUUCAAGCAAAUGCCCGGACUGAGAGAUAUGAAGACUCCAAUAAGUUCUAAAGUUGCAAGAUGGAGGAGAAUAGUUCUGUCAGUGAACAUAUACUCAGAAUGUCUGGGUACCACAACCACUUGACUCAACUAGGAGUUAAUCUUCCUGAUGAUUGUUUCAUUGACAGAGUUCUUCAAUCACUACCACCAAGCUACAAAAGCUUCAUGAUGAACUAUAAUAUGCAAGGGAUGGAUAAGACAAUUCCCAGCUCUUUGCAAUGCUAAAAGCUGCGGAGGUAGAAAUCAAGAAGGAGAAUCAAGUGUUGAUGGUCAAAAAGACCACUAGUUUCAAGAAGAAGGGCAAAGGGAAGAAGGGGAACUUCAAGAGGAAUGGCAAGCAAGUUGCUGCUCAAGUGAAGAAGCCAAAGUCUGGACGUAAGCCUGAGACUGAGUGCUUCUGCUGCAAAGGGACUGGUCACUAGAAGCAGAACUGCCCCAAGUAUUUGGAGGAUAAGAAGGAUGGAAAAGUAAAAGGUAUAUUUGAUAUACAUGUUAUUGAUGUGUACCUUACUAAUGCUUGCAGUAGCGCCUGGGUAUUUGAUACUGGUUCCAUUGCUAAUAUUUGCAACUUGAAACAGGGGCUAUGGAUUAAGGGAAGAUUGGCUAAGGAUGGGGUGACGAUGCACGUGGGAAAUGGUUCCAGAGUCGAUCUGAUCGCGGUCGGCAUGCUACCUCUACAUCUACCUUCGGGAUUAGUUUUAGACAUGUAUAAUUGUUAUUUGGUGCCCGCGUUAAGCAUGAACAUUAUAUCUAGAUCUUGUUUGAUGUGAGAUGGUUAUUCAUUUAAAUCAGAGAAUAAUGGUUGUUCUAUUUAUAUGAGUAAUAUCUUUUAUGGUCAUGCACCCUUGAUGAGUGGUCUACUUUUAUUGAAUCUCGAUAGUACUGAUACACAUAUUCAUAGUAUUGAAGCCAAAGAUAUAAGUUUAAUAAUGAUAGUGCAACUUAUUUGUGGCAGUGCCAUUUAGGUCAUAUUGGUGUAAAGCGCAUGAAGAAACUACAUGCUCAUGGGCUUUUGGAAUCACUUGAUUAUGAAUCACUAGAUGCUUGCAAAACAUCCCUCAUUGGCAAGAUGACUAAGACUCUGUUCUCCAAAACAAUGGAGCGAGCAACAGAACUAUUAGAAAUAAUACAUACUGAAGUAUGCAGUCCGAUGAGUGUUGAUGCUCGCGGCGGGUAUCGUUAUUUUUUGACCUUCACAGAUGAUUUGAGCAGAUAUGGGUAUAUCUACUUGAUGAAGCAUAAGUCUGAAACUUUUGAAAAGUUCAAAGAAUUUCAGAGUGAAGUGGAAAAUCAUCAUAACAGGAAAAUUAAGUUUCUUCGAUCUGAUCAUGGAGGUGAAUAUUUGAGUUAUGAGUUUGGUCUUCAUUUGAAACUAUGCAGAUUAGUUUCGCAACUCACGCCACCUGGAACACCACAGCGUAAUGGUGUGUCCGAACAUCGUAAUCGCACUUUAUUAGAUAUGGUGUGAUCUAUGAUGUCUCUUACUGAGUUACCACUAUUGUUUUGGGGUUAUUCUUUAGAGAUGGAUGCAUUCACGUUAAAUAGGGCACCAUCAAAAUCCGUUGAGAUGACACCAUAUGAACUGUGGUUUGGCAAGAAACCCAAAUUGUCGUUUAUUAAAGUUUAGGGCUGCGAUGCUUAUGUGAAAAAGCUUCAAACAGAUAAGCUCGAACCCAAAUCGGAGAAAUGUGUCUUUAUAGGAUACCCAAAGGAGAUUAUUGGGUACACCUUCUAUCACAGAUCCGAAGGCAAGUUAUUCGUUGCUAAGAAUGGAUCGUUUCUAGAGAAGGAGUUUCUCUCGAAAGAAGUGAGUGGGAGGAAAGUAGAACUUGAUGAGGUAACUGUACCUUCUCCCUUAUUGGAAAGUAGUUCAUCACAGAAAUCAGUUCCAGUGAGUCCUACACCAAUUAGUGAGGAAGCUAAUGAUGAUGAUCAUGAAACUUCUAAUCAAGUUACUACCGAACCUCGUAGGUCAAUCAGAGUAAGAUCCGCACCAGAGUUGUACGGUAAUCCUGUUCUGGAAGUCAUGUUACAUGACCAUGACGAACCUACGAACUAUGAGGAAGCGAUGAUGAGCCCAGAUUCCAGAAAAUGGCUUGAGGCCAUCAAAUCUGAGAUGGGAUCCAUGUAUGAGAACAAAGUAUGGACAUUGGUUGACUUGCCCAAUGAUCGGCACGCCAUAGAGAAUAAAUGGAUCUUCAAGAAGACGACUGACGCUAACGGUAACAUUACUGUCUACAAAGUUUGACUUGUUGUGAAAGGUUUUCGACAAGUUCAAGGAGUUGACUACAAUGAUACCUUCUCACCCAUAGAGAAGCUUAAGUCUAUCCGAAUCAUGUUAGCAAUUACCGUAUUUUAUGAUUAUGAAAUUUGGAAAAUGGAUGUCAAAAUUGCAUUCCUUAAUUGAUAUCUCAAAGAAGAGUUGUAUAUGAUGCAACCACAAGGUUUUGUCGAUCCUAAAGGUGCUAACAAAGCAUGCAAACUCCAGCGAUCCAUUUAUGGACUAGUGCAGGCCUCUCGGAGUUGGAAUAUAUGCUUUGAUAGUGUGAUCAAAGCAUAUGGUUUUGUAAAGACUUUUGGAGAAGCCUAUAUUUACAAGAAAGUGAGUGGGAGCCUCUAUCAAGGAGGGAGACAUAGAGAUUUGCAAGAUACAUAUGGAUCUGAAUGUUGCAGACCCGUUGGCUAAGCCUCUCUCAUGAGCAAAACAUGAUCAACACCAAGACUCCAUGGGAGUUAGAAUCAUUACUAUGUAAUCUAGAUUAUUGACUCUAGUGCAAGUGGGAGACCGAAGGAAAUAUGCCCUAGAGGCAAUAAUAAAGUUGUUAUUUAUAUUUCCUUAUAUCAUGAUAAAUGUUUAUUAUUCAUGCUAGAAUUGUAUUAACUGGAAACUUAGUACAUGUGUGAAUACAUAGAAAAACAGAGUGUCCCUAGUAUGCCUCUACUUGAGUAGCUCGUUAAUCAAAGAUGGUUAAGUUUCCUAGCCAUAGACAUGUGUUGUCGUUUGAUGAACGGGAUCACAUCAUUAGAGAAUGAUGUGCUGGACAAGACCCAUCCGUUAGCUUAGCAUAAUGAUCGUUCAGUUUUUCUGCUAUUGCUUUCUUCAUGACAUAUACAUGUUCCUCAGACUAUGAGAUUAUGCAACUCCCGAAUACCGGAGGAACACGUUGUGUGCUAUAAAGGUCACAACAUAACUGGGUGAUUAUAAAGAUGCUCUACAGGUGUCUCCGAUGGUGUUUGUUGAGUUGGCAUAUAUCGAGAAUAGGAUUUGUCAGUCCGUGUUUUGGAGAUGUAUCUUUGGGCCCUCUCGAUAAUGCUCAUCAAUAUAAGACUUGCAAGCAAAGUGACUAAUGAGUUAGUUGCGGGAUGAUGCAUUACUGAACGAGUAAAGAGACUUGCUGGUAACGAGAUUGAACUAGGUAUGAUGAUACCGAUGAUCGAAUCUCGGGCAGGUAACAUACCGAUGACAAAGGGAACAACGUAUGUUGUUAUGCGGUUUGAUCGAUAAAGAUCUUUGUAGAAUAUGUAGGAACCAAUAUGAGCAUCGAGGUUCCACAAUUGGUUAUUGACCAGAAAUGUGUCUCAGUGAUGUCUACAUAGUUCUCGAACUCGUAGUGUCCGCACGCUUAACAUUCGAUGACAAUUUGUAUUAUCAGUUAUGUGAUUUGAUGUACCGAAGGUUGUUUGGAGUCCUGGAUGAGAUCACAUACAAGACGAGGAUUCUCGAAAUGAUCGAGACAUGAAUAUUGAUAUAUUGGACCAUGUUAUUCAGACACCGGAAGCAUUCUGGAUAGUUUCGGAUAAAACUAUAGUGCCAGAAGGGUUACUGAAACCCCCUGGGGAAGUAAUGGGCCUUAGUGGGCCUUAGGGGAGAGAGAGGGCACCACCCAGUAGGUGGUGCCUAUCGGAUCACGGGUUCCGGCAAAACCCUUAAGGUUCAAACUCUGGGGUGUGCGCGAAUACCUCCGCCCCCCUAUCGAUCCGUGUCCUAACUUAGCCUAGAUCUCACAAACUAACUCGACAAACUCGCAACACAAAGGACACAAGAUUUAUACAGGUUCGGUCCACCGUUGUGGUGUAAUACCCUACUCCAGUGUGGUGGUGGUGGAUUGCCUCUUGGGUUGAGGAUGAACAGUAGAAGGGGAAGAACAGCCUCCUGAGGUUGAGGUGUUCUUGUGCUUGGUGGACUUGUGUGGCUGGGGGUGACAUUGGAUCCUCUCCCUCCCUAUGGUGGUGGCUAGUCCUAUUUAUAGAGGCCCUGGUCCUCUCCCCAAAUAUUGAGCGGGAAGGGAGCCAACAACGGCCAAUUUGAAAGGGGACAUCUAGUACAAGCUAUCCUGACAAAAGGUGGUCUUCGCCUGCCAAAGGUUCUGGCGGUGACGCCGUCCUGGGCUCCAUGGUGACCUCUGUCUUGCCGUCCUUCUGGUCUUGGUCUCGUCGCACCAAUAUGGAAACCUUCGCUUGAUGCCUCGGUACUCCGCGCCUACGCUUGCCCCCUUAGCACCAAAGGGGAAACAAGGACGAUGCGCGUGCUGGCGCCCGCCUGGUCUCAAUCAUCAUGGCUUACGUCAGGGAAACCUCACGAGGUUUGCCCAACUUUGAACUCUCCGCCCCACACGAGCCAGCCUGAUGAGGCUACUCCUGAGGAGGUCUUGUGUCGUCCGCCUCGCGAGGCUUGGCCCCUCGCGAGGGUCUUGAUUCCUUGUUGAUGAAGAUGGUCCAUACAGGGCAGCCAGCAAAGCCAUGCCGUGGGCCGCAGGCAGGCAAGUCUGGGGACCCCCGUUCCCAGAAUGCUGACAGUAGCCCCCGGGCCCAAGGCGCGCUCGGGCUUGGCUUCGAGGUGAAGCCAAGGGUCAAGCUUGGAGUGCCGCGGGCCCUAAUAGCCUGCGGCCUUGGUCGACGCAUUUUAGUUGAUUGGACGUCGACGUCUCCGCUUCCGCACGCUGCCUUGAUACCCGCCUGGCUAAAUGGCCACCGCGGUCUACACGGUUAUUCUUCCAUCGCUUGCGCCAUUCUCUUCAGUUUCCCCUGCUUCCUCCAGACUCUGCUCCUCUUUCCAAUCUGACCUUAGCUCUGCUCGCCCCAUCGCCGUGGCACUGACGCAAGCGGAUAAAGGGAAGAAGCCUCUGUCUUCGGCUAGUGCGCCCCCGGCCGCCGAGCCCGCAAUAGGCCGAUCGCGGGUGCUCAAUGAUGAGGCCGUGGGCAAGGUGUGUCUCAUGCUCGCAUCCAGCUUCAACAAGCCGGGAGAAAUGGUGGCUUGGCAUGUUUCCCGUGCUCGCAUUGACCAGACGGCCUCUGAGGUCCCCUUCUUCAUUGACGCCCUCUGGGCCGGCUUGGUCCCUCCUUUCUCCGCCUUUCUCAAAGCAGUGCUUUCCCAUCACUAGAUCCACAUGCUGCACCUUGAUCCCCAAUCCGUGACCCUGCUUGCUGUCUUCGCCUUCGUUUGUGAGGCCAUGGUCGGCAUUGCUCCUUCCGUGGCUCUUUUUUGCCACUUCUUCUUGCUGCACCUGAUUGAUCCUAGGCAGAGCUCCAGGUGCCUGAGCUUUCUGGCUGUGGUGGCGACGACUGGCGAUGGGAUUGACUUCGAGCUUCCACCAUCCGCGAGCGGGUUCCAGACACGGUGGGUGUUUGUUGACGCUAGAGUGCUCAGCCCCCUGCUCUCUUCUCCGUCUAAGCCCGCCAUUCCUAACUCUGGCUGGUGCCACCGGAGGCUCGCCGAUCCACGCCUUGUCCCCGUCUGGCUGAGGUUAAGAUGGCUCAAAGACCUUGGCGUGACUGCGCCUAUGGUGGUGAGGGAGUUCGUCCGGCGUCAAAUUGCUCCGCUUCAGUGCCACUCCCGGCCGAUGUGGGCCUUGCUCAGCAGCCAGGACCACAUGAGACUUUAGGAGUCUAAGCUCCCCCAUGAGGCGCGGCGAACGGUGUUUGAGGUCCUAACGGGCGUCUCGUUGCCGGACGACAUGCCAAGGAAGAGUUGUGUUUUGUAUCGCUGCUCGAACAAGAUGUCCUUCGUGGAGCAGAUGCCCUCCUCCGACGAGUGGGGGUUGCGCCCAGCUGGCCUCGUGGGCCCCGCGAGAACCCCAUCAUCGUGGUUCCUUUCCUCGACGCUGGCGCAAAGCUCCCCCAAGUGUUGGAGCAGGGGGGCAUGCAUCGUUGGGGGCCGAUAGUGAAGGUGCUGAGAUGCUGAUGUCGCGCAGGGCUCCUAAAGCGUCGACCUCGGGGUCCCGUGACUCUUGCCCUGGGGCGACUGCUGAAGGUGCGGUGCAGCCCGCGUCUCCCGCGGCCGGGGCUCAUGAGGCCUUGGCAAGUCACUGUGAGGUAGAUGCGGCCAGCUCUCCUCAGCCUGGCGCAUCUAAGGCUGCCCCUCGGAGCACUUCUCCAGCCGCGCCUCAUGUCGGCCUCCAUGUCCAGUGCUUUGGCUGGCUAUGCAUGGACUUCGCAGAACUCCGCAAGAGAAAGGGGUCCCCAAGCUGCGGCAACGGUACCUUCGGGUCAUUGAAAUGGAGGAAGUAUAUCGCCGUUGACGAGUAAAUAUCUUAUCUUGGUGAUCUUCCGUGUGCUGCUUUCCUUCCUGACGAUCGUUCCCUCAUGACCCUUUUUGCCAAGGCUAUAAAAUCUCCUUAGAAGCAUCUCCCUCUCGCCCCGUUGCACACGCCAAGCUCGAGCGCCACAGGCUCGUGCAUCGCCCACGAUGUUGGGUCCACCACGGGAGUUGGCUGGUCAUCAGGGCAUCUUUAGCUCACGCCUUCGUCAUCCUUCCUUCGUGGCCAGGCUUGGAGCACGGCAAGUGUGCGAAGGGCUCCUCCCCUGAUCACUGCUGGCGGCUGGCUGGCUUUGUUCUUGGGGUCCUCUUCAAGUAGAGGGCCCCGUUUAGUUUGGGCCCCUCGCGAGACCCAGCCGGCGCCUGGGCAGCGCCAGCCCAUUGCCCCUGCUGAGAGGGGACGUACCGCGUCGGGCAUCACCCACAGCCCCUGUAGCGCAGGGCGAGAUGAUCCAUGCGCUCGAGUUCGAGCACGGGCAGAGCGUUGCUCGUCAUGAGCUCUUCCAGGAGGCGAUGGGCGCAAUGAACCGACUCAGUGAAGAACUUGAGGGUGUCGAUGCGUGCCUCGAGGCCGAGGGUCUUCGGUUGGCGGAGGAGUGGCACAAGAUGCGGGUGGCCAUCGACCUCGGGCUCCAACAGCGCGAGCGGGACAACAGGAAGGCCGAGGCUUCUCUUGUAGCCUCCCGUGAGGCCUGCUCACGAGCUCUGGAGGAGGCUCGGGAAGCUGACCGCCGUCGCGAGGCCGCGGAGAAAUGUGCGUGGGAGCUCCAAUCCUGGAGCGCUGUCUUGGAUCAGCAGGUGGAGGCACGCAGGGCUGCUCUUGCGUCUUUGAGGGGGUCGCCCGCCGAGGAGGAAUGUCACAGCCCUAGUUCAGCCCUUGCUUGUCUUUGCAUCAUCACCUUGCAUCAUGAUUAAAUUCCAUUAAAAUUUGGAAAUGGGGAUUGCCUAAACCCUAGCAUUAAAGGAAUUAACUAGGUUCAAACUUAAAACUUUUCAAUGAACCCAAAAUGCCCUUCAUAAAUGUCCACCAUCUUUGGUCCUGGCUAAACCCUCUGCCAAAAAUGGUUUCAUAUUUUUGGAGGCUAUUCGGGAUUUUUGAAUUAAAUCACAAGUUGUGUCAGGUCUGAUUCAUCAGAAAUGAAUCGGAGGUGUGUUAACAUGUCCUACUAUGUUUGAGCUAAGUGUGUGAACACGUUUUAGUAAAGGUAGCGGUGAGAGGCCAUGUAGGAGUACAUGGUGGGUUGUCUCAUUGAAACUGUCCUCAGGAAGUGAGUUCUGUGUCUGUGAUCCAUGAACAACUACUACCACUCAUUGGGAUCCUUAAUUGACCCUCUCGGCUUCUUAAUCACCCUAGUACUCUGUCCAGGAGUUGCAACUAGUUUCUGGUGUUUGUAGGUUAUGUGUUGGCGGCCGUGCGUAGCGCUGACCCUAGGGGUGGGCUAUGUUGCGGUAGAUACACCAUGGCACGGUGUACCGGGCGCCCGUUUGGUGACUCGGGAACCCUGUUCACAUCGUUCGGGGCCGUAUGUGGAAACCUCAGUCGGACUCCCUGCGGAUGGAACCUGGAUAGGCGAUAAACCUAGACUAGAGACUUAAGUGUUUAGGUAGGCCGUGGCCGACACCCUCGCCAGGCUUCCGCUUGAAGAUUGCCGAGAUACAUGACGUGUAUAUGGUGGUAAGUGGUGGGAGCGUGUGUGAAGAAGUACACCCCUGCAGGGUUAUCAUUAUCUAUUUGAAUAGCUGAAUUCCUCGGAUAUGGAAACUUGGACCCCUUGCAUAGUUCAUAGACAAGUGAAAGUGGAUACUCUAAAACUCGCAAGAUAAGUGUGAGUGCUAUGGAUGGCGUUCUCGUAGGGAGACGGGAACGGGUCCAUAGUGGUGUAUUGAUAUGGUGAAUGUGUGGACUCGUGUGCGCCACCUCAAAAGUGUUACUUGAAGUCAUAGUUUAAGAUAGCCACCGAGUCAAAGAUGGCUUGCUGCAGUUAAACUCCACCACCCCCUCCUUUGUUGAUACCAAUGCAUAUGUAGCUAGUUCUGAUGUAAGUCUUGCUGAGUACUUUUGUACUCACGUUUGCUUAAUUUAUGUUUUGCAGAGAGACUCCAGUCUCGCUAGUAAUUUCACGUGGACUUCGACGUUAGCUUGAUACCUCAGCUACGAUCUUGUGCCCUCGGCAGGAUCUGGUAGCUAGUCAGGCUUCUUAGCCUUUUUCAUUUGUACAUGUCUGUACUCAGACAUGUUAAGCUUGCGCUUGUGCCUUGAUUUGUAUGCUAUGUUUGUUGGGUCAUGAGACCCAUUUUUGUAAUUUCUCGCUCCUCGGAGUCUAAUGAAUAAAUACUUGAGUCGUAGAGUCUUGUUGUGAUGCCAAGUUGUAUGUACUCAUAUCGGGCAUAUUGUGUGUAUGAUUGAAAUGCUUGGUAUGAGUGGGAUCCGACAAUCUAGUUGUUUAUCCUUGGCAGCCUAUCAUAUGGGGAAAUGUAGUCUAGUGCUUUCUGAGCGAUAGUAGUCCGCUACAGCCCGGUUCACCGGAGUCCUGCUAGCCCAGCACUACUGCUCGGAACACUUGACUGGCCGGCAUGUGUUUCACUUUGUUCCUGUGUCUGUCCCUUCGGGGAAAUGUCACGCGGUGACAUCCGGAGUCUUGCCUAGCCUGCUACAGCCCGGGUUACCGGAGUCCUGUUAGCCCAGUGCUACAGCCCGGAUUCACACGCUGUUGACCGACAUGCUCGAAGUUGAUUCAUGUAUGCCUGUCCCCAUGGGUUAGUGCCGCUUUGGGUUCACGACUAGCCAUGUCGGCCCGGGUUCUCUGUCAUAUGGAUGCUAGCGACACCAUCAUAUACGUGAGCCAAAAGGUGCAAAUAGUCCCGGGCCAGGUAAGGUGGCACCCGUGGGAAUACCGUGCGUGAGGCCGCAAAGUGAUAUGAUGUGUUACAUGCUAGAUCGGUGUGACUUAGGAUCGGGGUCCUAACAGCGUUGGUAUCAGAGCCUGACUGCCUGUAGGAUUACCAAGCCAAGCUGGUCGAAGUCGUGUCUAGAAAUGCUUUAGUUAUGUAAGGGAAUCGAUUGUGGAAGGGAACGUAAGGCUCUUUUUACUCCUUUUACCUUAUGUCCUUCUGAUCUGAGUCAACCUCUUCUUUUCUACGGGGAUUAAGAACUAGGCCUUCUCAACUAUCUAUUAGGAUGACGUGUUACUAAACCGUAGUUGCCUAGGAUUCUUGAGUUUAAGCCCGAGUUCGGUUCCUACUUCUUCCAUGUGUUCUUAGUUGAUCUCAGAACAUUGAUAUUGUGAUGUUGAGUGGUUAUGCCACCAUUUUGCAGGAUGUCUCAAAUCUUUUUAAGCAUUUAUAGCCGUUAUGCUGUCCGAGUCACCCCAGGUUUCUAAACAAUCUGAUGCAUUUUCAAAUCCUUUCUUUCUGUUCCUGAUGUCCUUUUUGGUCAGAAUAAGCACACUAAUCGGUGAGUUGAGGUACUCUGUUGCCUCGACAUAUAUGUUCGAGUUAUUAUUAUGACCCUAGGUGUCUUAGGGGAUCACCUAGUAAUCUAGCCAUGUUUUGUGUUCCCAGUGUGAUGAUUCUGGCCACCAUUCUCGAAAGCAUCCCGUGAUGCCAUUUAGUAGUAGGUAUUCUACUCUUGGGCUUUUGAACCCGAGAUUCACUCUACUUACCCCAUGUUGAUAGUGUUUGCUAGUUCCUUUAUGAUAUUAGUAACCUUGCCUUAGUCCUCGAGGUCCGUGGUAUUUCCUUCUCCCAAAUACUAUGAACCACUUAUGGUAGAAGUUUGUUGGAUCAGAAGCUCACAACAAGAGUGCUCUCGAUGAGUUCCCCAUUCUAUAUUGUGAUUCUGCCAGUCCUACCUCUCUGCAUGGGUUAUCCAAAAGAAACAUGUUGAACUUGGUUCGGCAUACUAGUCUAUGCAUCCACAACUCAAAAAGAUAUAUGUUCUUUGAGUUGUCCCCCUUCAGUUAUAUUCCAACCUUCUUCUAUCAGUUGAUAGCCAAGAGUAUGUGUGCAUUUGUGUUCAUUGAUGCCUAUUAUUCUUGUGGUCCGUCCAGCCAUUCUAUUCCAGAAUGACUAGGAGAAACAAACUCCAGCACCUCAUCCAUAUCUAGGAUUGGGUCAAAGCAGUUGUAUUCCGCAGAUCAAAUGCAAUCAAGCUUUUGAGUCUAUUCUACCCUGAAGUAUUACCCACUUUAUGUCAAGAAUAUCAUGAGAAUUGCACCAUCUCUUAUGAAUUCUUGAUGUGGUGAUACUUCUUGCCAUCAUUUUUCAUUCCUCGGUCCCAUGUUGUCGCAACCGGAAUACCGACAAGUGAAUAGUGAUGUGUGAAAUCAAUACUCCUAGCAACCCUUUGCUUGGUAGUUAAUGGACAUUAAUAUCAUUCUUAGUGUGCUGAUUAUUGAAUCAUCAUUCUAAGAUAGAUUGUGCUACCUAGUCCUUAUUUCUAGUGCACUCUUCGACCAAUGAGUUAGGAUUAUUCAAUCCCUUGCUUAUUUGAUCAUAUCGUCUUGCCCUGAAAAGCAAGAUUGUUCUCGAUCUUAGUAACAUAUCGGUGGUUCGUGAUAUUCCGAAUAUCUUCUCGGAGGGAUCACCAGGUUGUCACCUAACCACUAUGUUGAGUUCGUGAUCAAGUUGGUUUCUUGUAACCACCCAUUCUCCAAGAAUCUGUGUUGGAUACCCUGAGCUAGUUGGUUAAGGUAAACACUUGGAGGGUUGGAAGGAUAAAGCUUUAUCUGACUUAGUUCAUUCCAAAGGUAUAUCUUUUGUGUGUGCGUGUUGAAGGAAGAUGAUAUCUUCAACAAUUGGUCCUCGUGAUCAGUUGUUGGAUCUAUUGCCUUGUCAAACCUUUGUCUUGAGUAUGGGCUAUCGUCAAGUCAAAUCAGAACCAACGAUGUUCGUAAUGGUGUCUUACCCGUGGUUGAUCCCUCGGGCAUACACCAUUAUAUCUUUUGGUCUGACCAAUGCUAUCACCGUGUUCACAUGAUGGUGGAAGUCCAGUGAUAUGGAAAUUCCGAUGAGUCGUUGUUGAGCCCAUCAGCAGCAUUUUGUCUCCCCCAUGAUUCAUGCUGAACAUCAACCUAAUGUUGAAAAUUUUAUAAGAAAUGCCUUCGUGUUCCGUUCAUGAAGCUUAUGCUUGGAUGGAAGAAGUGACUUCCUCGAAUUCAUGUGCAUUUGGUGCAAGUUACCAUCGUGAGUUCGAGAAAUAUUGUUUUUGUUUCCCCUGGAAUCAUCCCAAGUCAGUCAUGCAUAUGUGCGAAGUAUUCUGUGGUCUGGAGACUUGCAACCUUCAUUCUAUAUGUAUCCCUAGCACACCAAGCCACUGAUUGCAUUGUUCAAGGAGAAGAAGUUCCUUCUUAAGGCAUGCCUUAUACAAGGGCUUCAAUAUCCUCGUUGAUGGUUCCCAACCAGAAUUCGGUAGUGUUUCAUUGUAAGACUACCAUGUGGUCAUGCUUGUCUGGGACAGCAUGCUCACAUGUUUGUAGCGGAACCCGCUCAUGUUUUGGAGCAUGCUAUCGUAGUUCAUCUCCCGAGAUUCUCGCAAUAUCAUCUCGUCGAUUUGUGUUGCAAACUUUCUUCCCAGACAUGCCGAUGUUUGAAGUGUCCUGUUACCAAAUAGAUCUGAAUCUCAGGCAGAUAUGAUGGUUGGAAAAAUCCCCAACAUUUGCAUUUUGUUCCCAGCUUGCACCACCAUUGUGCCAUUUUUCCCAUGGACUACCUUCUCGGUAAUUCCUAGUCAGGAUCAUCUUCAAAAGUGGUACUACCAUGGGUUCCAUCCAUUUGCGAUGAUAAGCAAAGUCAUCCAUUGCAUUGUCUUCAACAAGGUAGUCCACAUCAUCCAUCCUAGUCCGAGUAUGCAAUUUCUUCGAGCUCUUUCAAACAAUCAAUUGUAAUUUGCCUUAAGCUGGUAUGAAAAGCUUCAAUGAUCUAUGGAUCAAAAGUAAUUAUUUUUGCCACUUAAGGGGAUAGUUCUUCGAGUCACCUUUUCCAAAGUGCCUCAUUACGGGAUCAUGGCAAUCAAUCUCCUCGCUACCUUGAAACCUAUGCACCAUCCUACUUAAGCGUGGGAGUGUUUUCUACCAAAUUGAACUUUCAUCAUUUGUUCAUUCCUUCCCUUUUGAUUUGUGUUUGUGUCUUGGAUCAAGAGAUGAUUCAACGUCUCAUUUCCAUGAGUUGAUCGUGUAUCGCUUGAUCUUUGAGAAGAUCAUUUUCUAUAGAGUUUCCUUCUGUCGUCAUCAUGUUGGAUGAAGAUCUCGAAAGCAAAGACGUCAAGAUCAAUUUGAAGCAAUGAGCCAACAUCUUCGAGAAGCAUAAUUGGAUCAUGAAGAUUGUGUUAGUUUGUGUUCCCCUUUGACCUCUUACCUCACGUCUUGAAUCUCGGGACGAGAUUCUUGUUUAGUGGGGGUGAGCUGUCACAGCCCCAGUUCAGCCCUUGCUUGUCUUUGCAUCAUCAUCUUGCAUCAUGAUUAAAUUCCAUUAAAAUUUGGAAAUGGGGAUUGCCUAAACCCUAGCAUUAAAGGAAUUAACUAGGUUCAAACUUAAAACUUUUCAAUGAACCCAAAAUGCCCUUCAUAAAUGUCCACCAUCUUUGGUCCUGACUAAACCCUCUGCCAAAAAUGGUUUCAUAUUUUUGGAGGCUAUUCUGGAUUUUUGAAUUAAAUCAUAAGUAUUUGAAUUUGGACAUUUAAAUUCUAUAAAAUAUUUUAAAUGUCCAAAUAAUCUUGAAAGCAUUUGAGGGCUAUUGGAAAUAGUUUCAAAAGUGCCCACAAUUAUUUUCAGGAUUUUAAAAAAUGAAUUAGUAUUUUUACUAAUUCCAAACAGAAAAGAAAAAAAAAUAGAAAACAGAAACUAAAUUAAGAGAGAGAGAGAGAGAGAGAGUAACCUCACCUGCAGCCCACCUGGCCAAAGCCAGCCCGACCCACCAGGGGCAGCACUGUCUUCUUCCUCCUGCUAGGAGGAGAAGCAGCUGCGUGCCUGAUGGCCGCCGAGCCGCGCUGGCUCCUCCCUGCCUGCGUGCCCCCCCCCCUCGACUGCCUGGUCGCCACCACGACACCCCUGACCCCCUCUCACUCCCCCUCUCUCGCUCUGGACUCCCUCCCCCUCCUCUGCUUCCUCUCCCGCGUUCGACCACGGGCACCCGAGAGCGCCGACGAGCACCACCGGGGCCAUCGUCCACCUCGCACCUCGCAGUUGCUUCCAGAGGAACCGCCAUCGCCCUCUGCGUCAUCUACACCAACCCAUUCGACUGCGGGAGCCCUGUAGCAUCGUCCCCGAGCUCGUCUUCUACCUUCGGCCUCCGGCAACCUCACCUUCGAUUCGCCGCCGUCUCCGCGUCCCCGAGCUCGCCGACUUGCUCGUCCGACUCGCCGUGAGCCACUGACCCUAACCCCCCUCCUUUGCACUCCAUUUGCAUGCUGUAGCCGUUGCUCCGCCGGAGACCGAACCACUCCGCCGCCCGAGCUUCUCGCCGCCGUGGCCAUAGUUGUCGAAGCUCCCAACUGAGCACACCCACGUGCUCACCGCGCCGCGUAGGUGCCGUAGGAGCUAAGCACAUCACUCCACGGCCACCGCAGCCCCGUUCCCGAGUGUGCCCGAACUCCGGCCGCCACCGAGGUCGAUGCCGCGCACAACCCCGGCCACCCUAGCUUCUACUGCUUGCUGCGCUGGAUGCGGGAGAGCUCCAGCUCCCCGCGGAUGCCCUCCGCCACUCGUUUCGUCGCAUGCGCUGCGUUUCCGAGACGCGCCGCCAUCUCGGGCCUCGCCGGCGUCAUGUCGCCGGUGGGGUUGACCCAUUUGACCAUGUGGGCCCCGCCCCCUGGUCAAACCUAGAUUAGGAGUUAAACUAACACUAAUUUAGUUAGGUUAGUCGCUGACAUGUGGGCCCUGACCCCACUGACAUUUUAGUUAGGCUUAAUUUAAGGUUAAUUAACCAUAUUAAUUAGCUGACUCAAUGACAUAUGGGUCCCGUAGGUCAGGUUUGACCUGGCCGACCAGUUGACCUGCUGACAUCACCCUUGCGCAAUGCUAACACAGUAAAGCUUUUCUGGGAUUUUAAAUAAAUCAGAAAUGAUUUAUUUAUUUGAGAAAAUAGCUAAAACUUUUAAAAACCAUAGAAAUUAAACCGUAACUCCAAAUGAAAAGAUUUAUAUAUGAAAAAUGAUCAGAAAAAUCCAAAGAAUCUGAAUAUGGCAUUUUCAUGCAUGUUUGAACAAUUAACCUCACUGUUUAGUCCAAAACAUGACAAUGCACUAUUUGAAUUCAUAGUUUGAAUUUGAAUUUGAACCUAGUGUUCAAACCAACUCCAUUUAACUUGUUGCUAGUUGCAUUAGCUCAAUCAACGGCAUAUUGCCAUGUCAUGAUCAUGCAUCAUAUUGUUGCAUCGCAUUGAUUGUAUUCUUCCUUGUUCGCCGGUAAAUGUCCCCUCUCGGUAGAUGCAACUCCGACGCUGUGAUCGAUGACACCGAUGAAGAACUAUAUUGUCUUCAGAAGUGCCAGGCAAGCAAAACCCCCCUUGUUCAUUCCGAUACAAUCCCACUCUCGCUCCUGCUCUCUUUUACUGCAUUAGGACAACAAUGAUUCAAUUGUUACAUGUUGCGGUAGUUGAACCCCUUUCCUUUGCAUGACCUGUCAUUGCCACAGUAAAUAGAUGAAACCCACUAGCAUGAGUAGGAGUUGUUUGAGCCCUGAUGUGCCUACUCAUUCAUGCUUGUUGUCAUGCCUGCUAUUGCAUGGAGUUGUGUCAGGUCUGAUUCAUUGGAAAUGAAUCAGAGGUGUGUGAACAUGUCCUACUGUGUGUGAGCUAAGUGUGUGAACACGUUUUGGUAAAGGUAGCGGUGAGAGGCCAUGUAGGAGUACAUGGUGGGUUGUCUCAUUGAAACCGUCCUUAGGAACUGAGUUCUGUGUCUAUGAUCCAUGAACAGCUACUACCACUCAUUGGGAUCCUUAAAUUGACCCUCUCGGUUUCUUAAUCACCCUAGUAUUCUGUCCAGGAGUUGCAACUAGUUUCUGAUGUUUGUAGGUUAUGUGUUGGCGGCCGUGCGUAGCGCUGACCCUAGGGGAGGGCUAUGUUGCGAUAGAUACACCGUGGCACGGUGUACCGGGCGCCCGUUUGGUGACUCGGGAACCCUGUUCACAUCGUUCGGGGCCGUAUGUGGAAACCUCGGCCGGACUCCCUGCAGAUGGAACCUGGAUAGGCGAUAAACCUGGACUAGAGACUUAAGUGUUUAGGUAGGCCGUGGCCGACACCCUGGCCAGGCUUCCGCUUGAAGGUUGCCGAGAUACAUGACGUGUAUAUGGUGGUAAGUGGUGGGAGCGUGUGUGAAGAAGUACACACCUGCAGGGUUAUCAUUCUCUAUUCGAAUAGCCGGAUUCCUCGGAUAUGGAAACUUGGACCCCUUGCAUAGUUCAUAGACAAGUGAAAGUGGAUACUCUAAAACUCGCAAGAUAAGUGUGAGUGCUAUGGAUGGCGUUCUCGUAGGGAGAUGGGAACGGAUCCGUAGUGGUGUAUUGAUAAGGUGAAUAUGUGGACUUGUGUGCGCCACCUCAAAAGUGUUACUUGAAGUCGUAGUUUAAGAUAGCCACCGAGUCAAAGAUGGCUUGCUGCAGUUAAACUCCACCACCCCCCUCUUUGUUGAUACCGAUGCAUAUGUAGCUAGUUCUGAUGUAAGUCUUGCUGAGUACUUUUGUACUCACGUUUGCUUAAUUUAUGUUUUGUAGAGAGACUCUAGUCUCGCUAGUAAUUUCGCGUGGACUUCGACGUUAGCUUGAUACCUCAGCUACGAUCUUGUGCCCUCGGCAGGAUCUGGUAGAUAGUCAGGCUUCUUAGCCUUUUUCAUUUGUACAUGUCUGUACUCAGACAUGUUAAGCUUCCGCUUGUGCCUUGAUUUGUAUGCUAUGUUUUUGGGUCAUGAGACCCAUGUUUGUAAUUUCUCGCUCCUCGGAGUCUAAUGAAUAAAUACUUGAGUCGUAGAGUCUUGUUGUGAUGCCAUGUUGUAUGUACUCAUAUCGGGCAUAUUGUGUGUAUGAUUGAAAUGCUUGGUAUGAGUGGGAUCCGACAAUCUAGUUGUUUAUCCUUGGCAGCCUAUCAUAUGGGGAAAUGUAGUCUAGUGCUUUGUAAGCGAUAGUAGUCCGCUACAGCCCAGUUCACCGGAGUCCUGCUAGCCCAGCACUAUUGCUCGGAACACUUGACUGGCCGGCAUGUGUUUCACUUUGUUACUGUGUCUGUCCCUUCGGGGAAAUGUCACGCGGUGACAUCCGGAGUCCUGCCUAGCCUGCUACAGCCCGGGUUACCGGAGUCCUGUUAGCCCAGUGCUACAGCCCAUAUUCACACGCUGCUGACCGACAUGCUCGAAGUUGAUUCAUGUAUGCCUGUCCCCAUGGGUUAGUGCCGCUUUGGGUUCACGACUAGCCAUGUCGGCCCAGGUUCUCUGUCAUAUGGAUGCUAGCGACACUAUCAUAUACGUGAGCCAGAAGGCGCAAAUGGUCCCGGGCCAGGUAAGGUGGCACCCGUGAGAAUACCGUGCGUGAGGCCGCAAAGUGAUAUGAUGUGUUACAUGCUAGACCAGUGUGACUUAGGAUCGGGGUCCUGACAGUGUUGGUAUCAGAGCCUGACUUCCUAUAGGAUUACCAAGCCAAGCUGGUUGAAGUCGUGUCUAGAAAUGCUUUAGUUAUGUAAGGGAAUUGAUUGUGGAAGGGAACGUAAGGCUCUUUUUACUCCUUUACCUUAUGUCCUUCUGAUCUGAGUCAACCUCUUCUUUUCUACGGGGAUUAAGAACUAGGCCUUCUCAUCUAUCUAUCAGGAUGACGUGUUACUAAACCGUAGUUGCCUAGGAUUGUUGAGUUUAAGCCCGAGUUCGGUUCCUACUACUUCCAUGUGUUCUUAGUUGAUCUCGGAACAUUGAUAUUGUGAUGUUGAGUGGUUAUGCCACCAUUUUGUAGGAUGUCUCAAAUCUUUUUAAGCAUUUAUAGCCGUUAUGCUGUCCGAGUUGUAACGCCCCGGAUAUAACUUUCCCAAUUUGUACUCCAACUCUUGCCGUUUCCGGCGUUAAGUUAUAUUUAUUUCUCGGGUUCGGGUCUUUUUCUCCGUGUGUUGUUUUCUUUGUCAUGCAUCUCAUAUCAUGUCAUCAUGUGCAUUGCAUUUGCAUACGUGUUCAUCUCAUGCAUUUGAGCAUUUUCCCCGUUGUCCUUUUUGCUUUCCGGCGCUUCGUUCUCCUCCGGUGGUCAUUUCUAGCUUUUCUUUGUGUGUGGAGAUUAAACAUUUCCGGAUUGGACCGAGACUUGCCAAGCGGACUUGGUUUACUACCGGUAGACCGCCUGUCAAGUUACGUACCAUUUGGACUUCGUUUGAUACUCCAACGGUUAACCGAGGAACCGAAAAGGCCUCGUGUGUGUUGCAGCCCAACACCCCUCCAAUUUGGCCCAAAACCCACCAAACUCUGCUCCAUGUCCUAGAGCGUUCGAUCACGAUCGCGUGGCCAAAAACCGGUCCUCAUUUGGACUCUCCUAGCUCCACUUAUGCCUAUAAAUAGCCCCCUCCAUUUUUGGAUCUCCCCUCUCCCCGAAACCCUAAAAUUCAUCCCUCCGCCGCCGGACAUGUCCGCCUCCUAGCGGACGAAGUCGCCGCCGCCACCCCACGCUAAUUGCGCGCCUACACGUGGCACCGGCCGCUCCCUCCGCCGCCAGCCCGCCGAAGCCCGCGGGGAGCCCUCGGGUCCAUCUUCCCCGACCCCGCGCCCGAGGCGCCCGACUCCUCGCUGCGCCGCCCGGGUCCCUCUGCCGCGCUGCCGCCCGCCAUUCCCUCCGCUGCCAAGCUCCGCCGCGCCGGCGUCGAGGCGUCCGCCGGCCGGACCCUGCCGCCUUCUCCUCGCCGCCUCACCGCACCGCCCACCGCCGCCGGGAGCACGCCGGCGCCGCCCUGGUCUCCCCCCCCUCGGAGAGCUCGAGCUCCGGCCACCACCACCAUCUCCGGCACCGGCCAUCAUCGUUUUUCGCGCCGGUGAACAGUGCAGAUCUGGAUAUGAAAAUCCCCCCGGUUGACUUUUAUCCCCGAAACCCUAAUUUUUGUGCAUACUUUGACUGGCAAUAUCUCCGCAUCUGUAGCUCCGUUUUGGACAUAUAGUAUAUCAAAAUGUUCGUCUCGACGAGUACAUCAUUUCAUUCCAUUGCAUCAUUUUCAUUUGAGUUCAUAUUGAUGCCCGAAAUACUGUUAGAAGAGGGCUUCGUGAGUUAAUUGUCAGAUCUGCUAGUUCAUCUUAGACUUUUGUCAUUUUUGCCAUGUUUAAUGUGUGCAUGCUAUGCCCGUGAGUCCUACAUAUGUUUUGUUAAGGGUUUUGUCAUCUUUCCAGAGGUGCAAACCAUGCAUUUUUAGGAUGUGUGUGGUGACUUGUGCAAGCUUGCAAAGUGGUGCACUUGCUAAUUCUGUUUUCAGGGACUUAGUAGUUUUCACUAAGUCUGGGAUUAUUUAGUUCAUGAUGCCAUAUGUUCAUGCUAUUUCCUAGUGAUCCGUGCCUCUUUUGAGGAUGAUCAGUAAAGGAGUUUUGUUAAUCUUGUUAUGCUCUAUCCAUCCAUGUCUUUGUUUGCAAUUAUGGAGCACCCUAGCGUGAGACAAUCGAGUUCUACUUUUGCUUCGUGGUGAAUCUGGGCAGAUCGUCAACUCGUUUGCGAUUUUGCCGGCGUUGUUGUGGUUGAUCCGUGCAUGCUAUGCCAUUGUUCUUGCCAUGUCUAGCUAGAAUUUUGUGUCUUCUUAAUGGUUAUAUGCUUGCCUUGCCAUGAUUUGCACCAUAGUGAGUGCAUCGAGCUCGUUUACAUGCCUUCGUAAGUUAUAUUUCAGCAUGUCUCAGUUUUCACUAAGUCUGAAAACUGAUUGUGUUUUAGCUAUGUUCGUGGGCUUGUUAGUAUAUUUUGUGAACCCUUUUGGCCCCGGGUCACUUUGGGUAUUUUGUUAAGCUUGUUGAGUAGCUCCAUGCCAUGUUAUUCCUUGUCAUAACCAGGUCAUGUAUCAUGUUGUUUUGGUGCUCCGAAGAGGGCUUCACGAUCUGAAAUUUCAGACAAGUGUUAAUUUCACUAAGUCUGGAAUCUGUUUUGCAUUUGCGUUUUUGCCAUGCUUGUUUGAACCUCAUAAAGGAUGAAUUGGCCGUGGCUCAGUGCUAGUCUUUUGUUAAGCUUCUUGUGUGCAUCCCUGCCAUGUAUUUUUUUGUCAUGUUUGGUGGCUGUAGCAUGUUCGUUUCGUUGCAUUUAGAUGCCUACUUGCUGUAAAUUGCAGACCGGUGUCAUUCUUAAAACGCUUGCCAUUUCCAAACAGUAACUCCGAUUCCAAUGAUCUUUAUAUCGUUUUCAAGCGAUUUCAUCCCCUCUUUCCAGUGGCACACUUGGUUUUCCUAGUUGAGGCCAGGUUCAUGCAUUUCCUGUCAUAUCUUGCAUUUUGCAUCCCGCAUCGCAUCCCGCAUAGCAUGUCAUCAUUGCAUCUUAUUGUUUGAGCUUGCACGUGGUUGAUUGUAUCCUUGUUGCUUGUUUGUCUUGUUUGGGUAGAUCCGGGAGACGAGUUCGCUAACGAGGAGCCUGUUGAGUUUGCUUUUGAGGAUCCAGUCAACUCUGACAGCUUUGCAGGCAAGAUGAUCAUACCCUCGAAAUCACUACUAUCUUUGAUAUGCUAGUUUGCUCGCUCUUUGCUAUGCGAAUGCUGCGAUGACUACCUUUUGCUUGUCAGCCACCCAAUUGCCAUGUCAAACCUCUAACCCACCAUGUCCUAGCAAACCGUUGAUUGGCUAUGUUACCGCUUUGCUCAGCCCCUCUUAUAGCGUUGCUAGUUGCAGGUGAAGAUUGGAGGCCGUUCCUUGUUGGAACAUUUUUUUACUUGUUGGGAUAUCAUUAUAUCGCUAUGUUAUCUUAAUGCAUCUAUAUACUUGGUAAAGGGUGGAAGGCUCGGCCUCUCGCCUAGUGUUUUGUUCCACUCUUGCCGCCCUAGUUUCCGUCAUAUCGGUGUUAUGUUCCUGGAUUUUGCGUUCCUUACGCGGUUGAGUUAUAAUGGGAACCCCUUGACAGUCCACCUUGAAUAAAAAUUCUCCAGCAAUGCCCAACCUUGGUUUUACCAUUUGCCACCUAGCCUUUUCCCUUGGGUUUCACGGACUCAANNNNNNNNNNNNNNNNNNNNNNNNNNNNNNNNNNNNNNNNNNNNNNNNNNNNNNNNNNNNNNNNNNNNNNNNNNNNNNNNNNNNNNNNNNNNNNNNNNNNNNNNNNNNNNNNNNNNNNNNNNNNNNNNNNNNNNNNNNNNNNNNNCUAAGUGUUGGUCCAACCUAGAGCACCGUGCGGGGUCGUCCCUUGGCAACUUGGGUUACGUUGGCUCCCGUACGCUUAGCUUAUCCUGUGUGCCCUGAGAACGAGAUAUGUGCAGCUCCUAUUGGGAUUUGUCGGCACAGCGGGCGGUGUUGCUGGACUUGUUUUACCAUUGUCGGAGUUGUCUUGAAUUACCGAGAUACCGAGUCUGAUCGGAACGUCUUGGGAGGAGGUCUAUUCCUUCGUUGACCAUGAUAGCUUGUCAUGGGCUAAGUUGGGACUCCCCUGCAGGGAUUGAACUUUCGAAAGCCGUGCCCGUGGUUAUGGGCAGAUGGGAAUUUGUUAAUGUCCGGUUGUAGAUAACUUGAACCUUAAUUAAGUAAAAUGAAUCAACUGAGUGUGUUGCCGUGAUGGCCUCUUCUCGGCGGAGUCCAGGAAGUGGACACGGAGUUGGAGUCAUGUUUGCACAGGUUGUCCUCUAGUUUCUCGCUCGCGCUUUGCUUCCUCUUCUCACUCUCCUUUGCAAAUAAGUUAGCCACCAUACUUGCUAGACGCUUGCUGCAGCUCCACUUAUAUUUACCCUUGCCACACCUAUAAGCUUGAAUAGUCUUGAUCGCGAGGGUGCGAGAUUGUUGAGUCCCUGUGGCUCACAUAUACUAUAACUCCAGAUGCAGGGCCUGACGAUUCCGCUCCAGGUGACGCGUAUGAGCUCAAGUGGGAGUUCGACGAGGACUCUCAGUGUUACUACGUGUCUUUUCCUGAUGAUCAGUAGUGGUGCCCAGUUGGGGUUUGAUCGGGACCGUGUCGCAUGUUGGGUUCUCUUUUAUUUAGGCGCCGUAGUCGGGCCUUGAGUGUAUGGUUGAUGUAAUGUUAUUUAUGAACUUGAUUGACGUGGCAAGUGUAAGCCAACUAUGUUAUCUCCCCUUUUAUUAUUACAUUAGAUGGGAUGUUUGUGAAGAUUGCCUAACUUGAGACAUAUGCCUUCAAUGCGAUUAUGUCUCUAAGUCGUGCCUCGACACGUGGGAGCUAUAGUCGCAUCGAGGGCGUUACACGAGUCGCCCCAGGUUUCUAAACAAUCUGAUGCAUUUUCAAAUCCUUUCUUUCCGUUCCUGAUGUCCUUUAUGGUCAGAAUAAGCACACUAAUCGGUGAGUUGAGGUACUCUGUUGCCUCGACAUAUAUGUUCGAGUUAUUAUUAUGACCCUAGGUGUCUUAGGGGAUCACCUAGUAAUCUAGCCAUGUUUUGUGUUCCCAGUGUGAUGAUUCUGGCCACCAUUCUCGAAAGCAUCCCGAGAUGCCAUUUAGUAGUAGGUAUUCUACUCUUGGGCUUUUGAACCCGAGAUUCACUCUACUUACCCCAUGUUGAUAGUGUUUGCUAGUUCCUUUAUGAUAUUAGUAACCUUGCCUUAGUCCUCGAGGUCAGUGGUAUUUCCUUCUUCCAAAUACUAUGAACCACUUAUGGUAGAAGUUUGUUGGAUCAGAAGCUCACAACAAGAGUGCUCUCGAUGAGUUCACCAUUCUAUAUUGUGAUUCUGCCAGUCCUACCUCUCUGCAUGGGUUAUCCGAAAGAAGCAUGUUGAACUUGGUUCGACAUACUAGUCUAUGCAUCCACAACUCAGAAAGAUAUAUGUUCUUUGAGUUGUCCCCCUUCAGUUAUAUUCCAACCUUCUUCUAUCAGUUGAUAGCCAAGAGUAUGUGUGCAUUUGUGUUCAUUGAUGCCUAUUAUUCUUGUGGUCCGUCCAGCCAUUCUAUUCCGGAAUGACUAGGAGAAACAAACUCCAUCACCUAAUCCAUAUCUAGGAUUGGGUCAAAGCAGUUGUAUUCCGCAGAUCAAAUGCAAUCAAGCUUUUGAGUCUAUUCUACCCUAAAGUAUUACCCACUUUAUGUCAAGAAUAUCAUGAGAAUUGCACCAUCUCCUAUGAAUUCUUGAUGUAGUGAUACUUGCCAUCAUUUUUCAUUCCUCGGUCUCGUGUUGUCGCAACCGGAAUACCGACAAGUGAAUAGUGAUGUGUGAAAUCAAUACUCCUAGCAACCCUUUGCUUGGUAGUUAAUGGACAUUAAUAUCAUUCUUAGUGUGCUGAUUAUUGAAUCAUCAUUCUAAGAUAGAUUGUGCUACCUAGUCCUUAUUUCUAGUGCACUCUUCGAUCAAUGAGUUAGGAUUAUUCAAUCCCUUGCUUAUUUGAUCAUAUCGUCUUGCCCUGAAAAGCAAGAUUGUUCUCGAGCUUAGUAACAUAUCGGUGGUUCGUGAUAUUCCAAAUAUCUUCUCGGAGGGAUCACCAGGUUGUCACCUAACCACUAUGUUGAGUUCGUGAUCAAGUUGGUUUCUUGUAACCACAAAUUCUCCAAGAAUCUGUGUUGGAUACCCUGAGCUAGUUGGUUAAGCUAAACAACAACUUGGAGGGUUGGAAGGCUAAAGCUUUAUCUGACUUAGUUCAUGCCAAAGGUAUAUCUUUUGUGUGUGCGUGUUGAAGGAAGAUGAUAUCUUCACCAAUUGGUCCUCGUGAUCAGUUGUUGGAUCUAUUGCCUUGUCAAACCUUUGACUUGAGUAUUGGCUAUCGUCAAGUCAAAUCAGAACCAGCGAUGUUCGUAAUGGUGUCUUACCCAUGGUUGAUCCCUCGGGCAUACACCAUUUUGGUCUGACCAAUGCUAUCACCAUGUUCACAUGAUGGUGGAAGUCCAGUGAUAUGGAAAUUCCGAUGAGUCGUUGUUGAGCCCAUCAGCAGCAUUUUGUCUCCCCCAUGAUUCAUGCUGAACAUCAACCUAAUGUUGAAAAUUUUAUAAGCAAUGCCUUCGUGUUCCGUUCAUGAAGCUUAUGCUUGGAUGGAAGAAGUGACUUCCUCGAAUUCAUGUGCAUUUGGUGCAAGUUACCACCGUGAGUUCGAGAAAGAUUGUUUUUGUUUCCCCUGGAAUCAUCCCAAGUCAGUCAUGCAUAUGUGCGAAGUAUUCUGUGGUCUGGAGACUUGCAACCUUCAUUCUAUAUGUAUCCCUAGCACACCAAGCCACUGAUUGCAUUGUUCAAGGAGAAGAAGUUCCUUCUUAAGGCAUGCCUUAUACAAGGACUUCAAUAUCCUCGUUGAUGAUUCCCAACCAGAAUUCGGUAGUGUUUCAUUGUAAGACUACCAUGUGGUCAUGCUUGUCUGGGACUGCGUGUUCACAUGUUUGUAGCGGAACCCGCUCAUGUUUUGGAGCAUGCUAUCGUAGUUCAUCUCCCGAGAUUCUCGCAAUAUCAUCUCGUCGAUUUGUGUUGCAAACUUUCUUCCCAGACAUGCCGAUGUAUGAAGUGUCCUGUUACCAACCAGAUCUGAAUCUCAGGCAGAUAUGAUGGUUGGAAAAAUCCCCAACAUUUGCAUUUUGUUCCCAGCUUGCACCACCAUUGUGCCAUUUUUCCCAUGGACUACCUUCUCGGUAAUUCUUGGUCAGGAUCAUCUUCAACAGUGGUACUACCAUGGGUUCCAUCCAUUUCCGAUGAUAAGCAAAGUCAUCCAUUGCGUUGUCUUCAACAAGGUAGUCCACAUCAUCCAUCCUAGUCCGAGUAUGCAAUUUCUUCGAGGUCUUUCAAACAAUCAAUUGUAAUUUGCCUUAAGCUGGUAUGAAGAGCUUCAAUGAUCUAUGGAUCAAAAGUAAUUAUUUUUGCCACUUAAGGGGAUAGUUCUUCGAGUCACCUUUUCCAAAGUGCCUCAUUACGGGAUCAUGGCAAUCAAUCUCCUCGCUACCUUGAAACCUAUGCACCAUCCUACUUAAGCGUGGGAGUGUUUUCUACCAAAUUGAACUUUCAUCAUUUGUUCUUUCCAUCCCUUUUGAUGUGUGUUUGUGUCUUGGAUCAAGAGAUGAUUCAACGUCUCAUUUCCAUGAGUUGAUCGUGUAUCGCCUGAUCUUUGAGAAGAUCAUUUUCUAUAGGGUUUCCUUCUGUCGUCAUCAUGUUGGAUAAAAUCUCGAAAGCAAAGACAUCAAGAUCAAUUUGAAGCAAUGAACCAACAUCUUCGAGAAGCAUAAUUGGAUCAUGAAGAUUGUUUUAGUUUGUGUUCCCCUUUGACCUCUUACCUCACGUCUUGAAUCUCGGCACAAGAUUCUUGUUUAGUGGGGGUGAGCUGUCACAGCCCCAGUUCAGCCCUUGCUUGUCUUUGCAUCAUCAUCUUGCAUCAUGAUUAAAUUCCAUUAAAAUUUGGAAAUGGGGAUUGCCUAAACCCUAGCAUUAAAGGAAUUAACUAGGUUCAAACUUAAAACUUUUCAAUGAACCCAAAAUGCCCUUCAUAAAUGUCCAUCAUCUUUGGUCCUGGCUAAACCCUCUGCCAAAAAUGGUUUCAUAUUUUUGGAGGCUAUUCUGGAUUUUUGAAUUAAAUCAUAAGUAUUUGAAUUUGGACAUUUAAAUUCUAUAAAAUAUUUUAAAUGUCCAAAUAAUCUUGAAAGCAUUUGAGGGCUAUUGGAAAUAGUUUCAAAAGUGCCCACAAUUAUUUUCAGGAUUUUACAAAAUGAAUUAGUAUUUUUACUAAUUCAACACAGAAAAGAAAAAAAAUAGAAAACAGAAACUAAAUUAAGAGAGAGAGAGAGAGAGAGUAACCUCACCUGCAUCCCACCUGGCCAAAGCCAGCCCGGCCCACCAGGGGUAGCACUGUCUUCUUCCUCCUACUAGGAGGAGAAGCAGCUGCGUGCCCGAUGGCCGCCGAGCCGCGCUGGCUCCUCCCUACCUGCGUGCCCCCCCCUCGACUUCCUGGUCGCCACCACGAAAUCCCUGACCCCCUCUCACUCCCCCUCUCUCGCUCUGGACUCCCUCCCCCUCCUCUGCUUCCNNNNNNNNNNNNNNNNNNNNNNNNNNNNNNNNNNNNNNNNNNNNNNNNNNNNNNNNNNNNNNNNNNNNNNNNNNNNNNNNNNNNNNNNNNNNNNNNNNNNNNNNNNNNNNNNNNNNNNNNNNNNNNNNNNNNNNNNNNNNNNNNNNNNNNNNNNNNNNNNNNNNNNNNNNNNNNNNNNNNNNNNNNNNNNNNNNNNNNNNNNNNNNNNNNNNNNNNNNNNNNCCACGGGCACCCGAGAGCGCCGACGAGCACCACCGGGGCCAUCGUCCACCCCGCACCUCGCUGUUGCUUCCAGAGGAACCGCCAUCGCCCUCUGCGUCAUCUACACCAACCCAUUUGACCACGGGAGCCCUGUAGCAUCGUCCACGAGCUCGUCUUCUACCUUCGGCGCCGGCAACCUCACCUUCGAUUCGCCGCCUUCUCCGCGUCCCCAAGAUCGCCGACUUGCUCGUCCGACUCGCCGUGAGCCAUUGACCCUAACCCCCCUCCUUUGCACUCCAUUUGCACGCUGUAGCCGUUGCUCCGCCGGAGACCGAAACGCUCCGCCGCCUGAGCUUCUCGCCGCCGUGGCCAUAGUCGUCGAAGCUCCCAACUGAGCACACCCACAUGCUCACUGCGUCGCGUAGGUGCCGUAGGAGCUAAGCACACCACUCCACGGCCACCGCAGCCCCGUUCCCGAGUGUGCCGGAACUCCGGCCGCCGCCGAGGUCGAUGCCGCGCACAACCCCGGCCACCCUAGCUCCAGCUCCCCGCAGAUGCCCUCCGCCGCUCGUUUCAUCGCCUGUGCUGCGUUUCCGAGACGCGCCGCCGUCUCGGGCCUCGCCGGCGUCAUGUCGCCGGUGGGGUUGACCCAUUUGACCACGUGGGCCCCGCCCCCUGGUCAAACCUAGAUUAGGAGUUAAACUAACACUAAUUUAGUUAGGUUAGCCGCUGACAUGUGGGCCCCAACCCCACUAACAUUUUAGUUAGGCUUAAUUUAAGGUUAAUUAACCAUAUUAAUUAGCUGAGUCAAUGACAUAUGGGUCCCGCAGGUCAGGUUUGACCUGGCCGACCAGUUGACACGCUGACAUCACCCUUGCGCAAUGUUGACAUAGUAAAGCUUUUCUGGGAUUUUAAAUAAAUCAGAAAUGAUUUAUUUAUUUCAGAAAAUAGCUAAAACUUUUAAAAACCAUAGAAAUUAAACCGUAACUCCAAAUGAAAAGAUUUAUAUAUGAAAAAUGAUCAGAAAAAUCCAAAGAAUCUGAAUAUGGCAUUUUCAUGCAUGUUUGAACAACUUAACCUCACUGUUUAGUCCAAAACAUGACAAUGCACUAUUUGAAUUCAUAGUUUGAAUUUGAACCUAGUGUUCAAACCAACUCCAUUUAACUUGUUGCUAGUUGCAUUAGCUCAAUCAACGGCAUAUUGCCAUGUCAUGAUCAUGCAUCAUAUUGUUGCAUCGCAUUGAUUGUGUUCUUCCUUGUUUGCCGGUAAAUGUCCCCUCUCGGUAGACGCUGCUCCGACGCUGUGAUCGAUGACACCGAUGAAGAACUAUAUUGUCUUCAGAAGUGCCAGGCAAGCAAAACCCCCCUUGUUCAUUCCGAUACAAUCCCACUCUCGCUCCUGCUCUCUUUUACUGCAUUAGUACAACAACGAUUCAAUUGUUACAUGUUGCGGUAGUUGAACCCCUUUCUCUGCAUGACCUGUCAUUGCCACAGUAAAUAGAUGAAACCCACUAUCAUGAGUAGGAGUUGUUUGAGCCCUGAUGUGCCUACUCAUUCAUGCUUGUUGUCAUGCCUGCUAUUGCAUAGAGUUGUGUCAGGUCUGAUUCAUCGGAAAUGAAUAUGAGGUGUGUGAGCAUGUCCUACUGUGUGUGAGCUAAGUGUGUGAACACGUUUUGGUAAAGGUAGCGGUGAGAGGCCAUGUAGGAGUACAUGGUGGGUUGUCUCAUUGAAACCGUCCUCAGGAACUAAGUUCUGUGUCUGUGAUCCACGAAUAGCUACUACCACUCAUUAGGAUCCUUAAUUGACCCUCUCGGCUUCUUAAUCACUCUAGUACUCUGUCCAGGAGUUGCAACUAGUUUCUGAUGUUUGUAGGUUAUGUGUUGGCGGCCAUGCGUAGCGCUGACCCUAGGGGUGGGUUAUGUUGCGAUAGAUACACCAUGGCACGGUGUACCGGGUGCCCGUUUGGUGACUCGAGAACCCUGUUCACAUCGUUCGGGGCCUUAUGUGGAAACCUCGGCCGGACUCCCUACGGAUGGAACCUGGAUAGGCGAUAAACCUGGACUAGAGACUUGAAUGCUUAGGUAGGCCGUGGCCGACACCCUCGCCAGGCUUCCGCUUGAAGGUUGCCGAGAUACAUGACAUGUAUAUGGUGGUAAGUGGUGGGAGAGUGUGUGAAGAAGUACACCCCUGCAGGGUUAUCAUUAUCUAUUCGAAUAGCCGGAUUCCUCGGAUAUGGAAACUUGGACCCCUUGCAUAGUUCAUAGACAAGUGAAAGUGGAUACUCUAAAACUCGCAAGAUAAGUGUGAGUGCUAUGGAUGGCGUUCUCGUAGGGAGACAGGAAUGGAUCCAUAGUUGAUAUGGUGAAUAUGUGGACUCGUGUGCGCCGCCUCAAAAGUGUUACUUGAAGUCGUAGUUUAAGAUAGACACCGAGUCAAAGCUGGCUUGCUGCAGUUAAACUCCACCCCCCCCCCCUUGUUGAUACCGAUGCAUAUGUAGCUAGUUCUGAUGUAAGUCUUGCUGAGUACUUUUGUACUCACGUUUGCUUAAUUUAUGUUUUGCAGAGAGACUCCAGUCUCGCUAGUAGUUUCGCAUGGACUUCGACGUUAGCUUGAUACCUCAGCUACGAUCUUGUGCCCUCAGCAGGAUCUGGUAGAUAGUCAUGCUUCUUAGCCUUUUCAUUUGUACAUGUCUGUACUCAGACAUGUUAAGCUUCCGCUUGUGCCUUGAGUUGUAUGCUAUGUUUGUUGGGUCAUGAGACCCAUGUUUGUAAUUUCUUGCUCCUCGGAGUCUAAUGAAUAAAUACUUGAGUCGUAGAGCCUUGUUGUGAUGCCAUGUUGUAUGUACUCAUAUCGGGCAUAUUGUGUGUAUGAUUGAAAUGUUUGGUAUGAGUGGGAUCCGACAAUCUAGUUGUUUAUCCUUGGCAGCCUAUCAUAUGGGGAAAUGUAGUCUAGUGCUUUCUGAGCGAUAGUAGUCCGCUACAGCCCGGUUCACCGGAGUCCUACUAGCCCAGCACUACUGCUCAGAACACUUGACUGGCCGGCACGUGUUUCACUUCGUUCCUGUGUCUGUCCCUUCGGGGAAAUGUCACGCGGUGACAUCCGGAGUCCUGCCUAGCCUGCUACAGCCCAGGUUACCGGAGUCCUGUUAGCCCAGUGCUACAGCCCGGAUUCACACGUUGCUGACCGACAUGCUCGAAGUUGAUUCAUGUAUGCAUGUCCCCAUGGGUUAGUGCCGCUUUGGGUUCAUGACUAGCCAUGUCGGCCCGGGUUCUCUGUCAUAUGGAUGCUAGCGACACUAUCAUAUAUGUGAGCCAAAAGGCGCAAACGGUCCCGGGCCAGGUAAGGUGGCACCCGUGGGAAUACCGUGCGUGAGGCCGCAAAGUGAUAUGAUGUGUUACAUGCUAGAUCAGUGUGACUUAGGAUCGGGGUCCUGACAAGGAAGAGAGCCGGAAGUGCGAGGAGGUGCUCGUGCUGGAAGCCGUGGAGCGCAGCCUUGAACUCGAAUGGCUCGAGACGAGGUAGCGCCAGGUUCCUCAGGCGGAGGACGACGUCGGCGCGCGCGAGGUCAGGGCCCAGGAGGAGAUCGACCGCCGUGUGGCCGAGGCUCGCGUGGAUCUCGAGAGAAGGCAGAACAUGAAGCUGAAGCUCAUGGAAGCUGGGGCCGCUGGUAGGACUGCCGCCCUCAUGUCCCGUCUGGUCGAGGUGGAGCGGCGUGAGGAGGCCACUGCAUCAGCUCUGGCCACGGCGCAGGCUGGGCUGGUUUUAUCCCACGCCGAGCUACUCUUCGGCAGCGGGUCGCCGAUGCCGAGUCCGUCGCGUGGCAGAACAGGGACGAAGUGCUUGAGCGGCGAACAUUGGAGCGUGUGCACGCCUCCAUGUUCGAGGACCUCAGGAACAGGGCCAACACCGCCCUGGGCCAUAUCUGCAAUGAAAAUGCUCCUCAUCCCCAAGAAAACGACUACGCCAGCCACCUCCGCUUCUUUGGGGAUGUGCUGAUGCGCCUGCAGAACCGUUCCGAGAGGGCUCGCCAACUUGUUGAGGAGAGGAGUCGCAGUCUGCUCAGGCGCACGUUCUCCCGCGUCUUCAGCCACCUCUGGAACAUCGACCCCAACUUCGAUUUUGAUGCCGCCAUUGCUCCCUUACCGGAAGCCAUCCGGGGCGAUCUAGCACGAUGGGUUGAAAACAAUGUGGAUGUGCUAGUCAGGGCCUUCGCUUCUGACGAUGAUGGGGUAGUGGUCGUGGCAGAUGAAGGUGUGGUGGUUGAUGACGGCGAUGCCAACGCCGGUGAAGGUGGAGGAAACGACAAUGAUGGCGACAGCGACGCCAACGAUGGCGCCAGCGAUGCUAGCGGUGCAUCAGAAGAUGAUAUGGGAGAUGCGGCGAGCGACAUAUCCGGCUGGUUCCUCGUUCCCCUGCCGUUUACCCUAUAAAAACAUGGGCAUGGCCCCAGAAGAUUGUAAGAGCAUUUUGAGAAUGGGAGCCCCUCAUGUAAACAAUCGUAGCUUUUAUCCUUCUGUGUCAAAUUGAGUAUGCGUCUUCAUGAGCUUACGCAUGCCGGGGCAAGGUUGUUGUUGCGGUUUAACUUAGCUUGGACGAGCCCAAAAUCGGCCCGAGAGAUUGCGGGUUUUUUAUGAGCACCUGAGGAGUUUGUCGACACGCCUGAGGGAGGCGACAAGGCAUGCAACGCCACGUAAGCUGGCGGGCUGCUAAGACGGCGUGGAGGUAGGGUCUUCACGAAGAUCUGCAUGCCACCACAUAGGUACUUGCUGGGUUGUCCUGGAGGCCGCGUGUCGCCACGCAGGUGCCUGCCCAGCUGGUUGGGCUGGCGGCUGCAUGGGAACGGCGGUGGGGACUUGGCAGACGUGGGCCUGGCUGUGGCCCCGUAGGUGUCCUCGGCAAGGGUCUUGCCGGGGCCCCGGCAAGGGUCUUGUCGUGGCAUCGCGGUCGUCCCCGGCAAGGAUCUUGCCGUUGAUUUCCUCGGCACGGAUCUGGUCGAGGAUCGUCAUCUUCUGGUCCUCAUCCGAUCUUCUGUGCUUAUGAUCUUCACAAAGAUCUGUAUGCCACCAUGGAGGUGCCUCCCGAGCCUUGGUUCCAAUGUGGUUGAUGGUGUUGGAACCCUUGGGCUCAAGGGUGGCACGCUCUGUUGGCAUUGGGCAAGUUCCCCCGGCAAGGCUCUUGUCGGGGUUGCGGAGGCCGCCCCGGCAAGGGCCUUGCCGGGGGAGUCCACCUCGCCCUCUUCUCUUUGUGUCUCUGGUCUCGGCGUUGUUCUGGUUGCCUUGUGCUUUUGCUCCCUCUGCCCCACUAGGUAUGGUCGUACGCGUGGCUCUAACUGUCCGCGCAAAAGUAAAGGGGUACAAAAGUGAGCCCCUACUUUUCUGCACCGACACAAUGCAUGAUCAUGUAGUUGACAUCAUAUUUGUGGCGAAGCCACCGUUCAUCCUAUUUUUUAUACAUGUCACUCUUGAUUCAUUGCACAUCCCGGUACACCACGGGAGGCAUUCAUAUAGAGUCAUAUUUUGUUCUAGUAUCGAGUUGUAAUUUUUGAGUUGUAAGUAAAUAAAAGUGUGAUAAUCGUCAUUAUUAGAUCAUUGUCUCAUGCGAGGAAAUAAAAAAAGGGGAGAGAAAGGCCAAAUAAAAAAAAUGCCCAAAAAAUGAGAGAAAAAGAGAGAAGGGACAAUGUUACUAUCCUUUUGCCACACAUGUGCUUCAAAGUAGCACCAUGAUCUUCAUGAUAGAGAGUCUCCUAUAUUGUCACUUUCAUAUACUAGUGGGAAAUUUCCAUCAUAGAACUUGGCUUGUAUAUUCCAACGAUGUGCUUCCUCAAAAUUCCCUAGGUCUUCAUGAGAAAGCAAGUUGGAUGCACACCCACUUAGUUUUUUUUGAGCUUUCAUAAACUUAUAGCUCUAGUGCAUCCGUUGCAUGGCAAUUCCUACUCACUCACAUUUAUAUCUAUUGAUGGGCAUCUCCAUAGCCUGUUGAUAUGCCUAGUUGAUGUGAGACUAUAUCCUUCUCUUGUCUUCUCCACAACCACCUUCUAUUCCACCUAUAGUGCUAUGCCCAUGGCUCACGCUCAUGUAUUGCAUGAAAGUUGAAAAAGUUUGAGAACAUCAAAAGUAUGAAACAAUUGCUUGGCUUGUCAUCAGGGUUGUGCAUGAUUUGAAUAUUUUAUGUGAUGAAGAUGGAGCAUAGCCAGACUAUAUGAUUUUAUAGGGAUAAGCUUUCUUUGGCCAUGUUAUUUUGAGAAGACAUAAUUUUUUUGUUAGUAUGCUUGAAGUAUUAUUGUUUUUAUGUCAAUAUUAAACUAUUGUUUUGAAUCAUACGGAUCUGAACAUUCACGCCACAAUAAAGAGAAUUACAAGGAUAAAUAUUAGGUAGCAUUCCACAUCAAAAAUUCUAUUUUUAUCAUUUACGUACUCAAGGAUGAGCAGGAAUUAAGCUUGGGGAUGCCUGAUACGUCUCCAACAUAUCUAUAAUUUUUGACUGUUCCAUGCUAUUAUAUUAUCUGUUUUGGAUGUUUUACAUGCAUUAAUAUGCUACUUUAUAUGAUUUUUGGGACUAACCAACUAACCUAGAGCCAGUGCCAGUUUCUGUUUUUUCCUUGUUUUAGAGUUUCGCAGAAAAGGAAAUACCAAACAGAGUCCAAACAGAAUGAAACUUUGGCGAUGAUUUUUCUUGGACCAGAAGACAUCCAGAUGACUUGGAGUGCACGUCAGGGGAGCCACGAGGCGGCCACAAGGACGGAGGGCGCGUCUAGGUGGGUAGGGCGCGCCCCCACCCUUGUGGGCCCCUCGUGACUCCACCAACCUAUUUCUUCCGCCUAUAUAUUCUCAAAUACCCCAAAACCUUCCAGGGGAUCCAUGAAACCACUGUUCCACCACCGCAAUCUUCUGUACCCGUGAGAUCCCAUCUAGGGGCCUUUUCCGGCGUUCUGCAGGAGGGGGAUUCGAUCACGGAGGGCUUCUACAUCAACACCAUUGCCUCUUCGAUGAAGCGUGAAUAGUUUACCAUAGACCUACAAGUCUAUAGCUAGUAGCUAGAUGGCUUCUUCUCUCUCUUUGAUUCUCAAUACCAUGUUCUCGUCAAUGUUCUUGGAGAUCUAUUCGAUGUAAUACUUUUUUGCUGUGUGUUUGCCGAGAUCCGAUGAAUUGUGGAUUUAUGAUCAGCUUAUCUAUGAAUAUUAUUUUAAUCUCCUCUGAAUUCUUAUAUGCAUGAUUUGAUAUCUUUGCAAGUCUCUUUGAACUAUCAAUUUGGUUUGGCCAACUAGAUUGGUUUUUCUUGCAAUGGGAGAAAUGCUUAGCUUUGGGUUCAAACUUGCGGUGCUCGAUCCUAGUAACAUAAGGGGAACCGACACAUAUUGUAUUGCUGCCAUCGAGGAUAACAAGAUGGGGUUUUCAUCGUAUUGCUUGAGUUAAUUUCGCUACAUCAUGUCAUGUUAUUUAAUGCGUUACUCUGUUCUUAUGAACUUAAUACUCUAGAUGCAUGCAGGACUCGGUCGAUGUGUGGAGUAAUAGUAGUAGAUGCAGAAUCAUUUCGGUCUACUUGAUACGGAUGUGAUGCCUAUAUUCAUGAUCAUUGCCUUAGAUAUCAUCAUAACUUUGCGCUUUUUUCUAUCAAUUGCUCGACAGUAAUUUGUUCACCCACCGUAAUAUUUUCUAUCUUGAGAGAAGCCUCUAGUGAAACCAAUGGCCCUCGGGUCUAUUCUCCAUCAUAUAAUCUUCUAUUUUCCAUCAUAUAAGUUUCCGAUCUACAAUUUUAGUUUCAUAUUUACUUUCUUUGCAAUCUUUUACUUUCCGAUCUAUAAACCAAAAAUACCAAAAAUAUUACUUUACUGUUUAUCCAUCUAUAUCAGAUCUCACUUUGUAAAUAACCAUGAAGGGAUUGACAAACCCUUUGUUGCGUUGGGUGCAAGUUGGUGUUUGUUUGUGCAUGUAUUUGGUGGCUUGUUGCAUUGUCUCCUACUGGAUUGAUACCUUGAUUCUCAAAGUUGAGGGAAAUACUUACUCUACUUUGCUGUAUCACCCUUUCCCCUUCAAGGGAAAAACCAAUGCAAGCUCAAGCGGUAGCAAGAAGGCUUGGUGAAGCCUGACUAUCUACAUGGCCCUUCACAGGCUCGAGGCUGCCACCUGAGUAGCAAGCUAUUCAUCAACAUCGAGAUCUACAUAGAAUCCAUCAGAGGGGGCGGUGUUCUCCUCUACAAUAGUUUAUUAAGCAAACAUGGGUACUAAGGUACUCAGCAAGUCUUACACCAGAUCCUAUCAUAUAAGCAACAUUAUCAACAAGGGUAGUGGAAUUUAUGCAGCAAGCUAGCUCUGACUCUUGGCUAUUCUAUCCUUCGUAUAACAGUAGUUUGAAUAAGAUGAGAUAGGGCACAUGAGUCCACUAAUCACCACAACAACACUCCAUCGUGGAUCCUCUCCCGUCUUCCUACGAGUGGGCCAUCCAUGGCACUCACACUUGUCUUGAGUCUUCUAUGGGUAACCGUUAACUUGUCUAUGAACUGCAUAAGCAACCAAGUGGUCCAUUACUGCAGAUGUGGCUAUUCAAAUAGUUUGAUAACCCUGCUGGGGUGUACUUCUUCACACAUGUGUCCACCACUUAGCGCUUGCACACGUCAUGUGCUCGACAGACUUCAAGUGAAAGCCGGCGAGGGUGUAGACAAUGACCUAACCAACCACACAAGUCUCUAGUCCAGGUUUAUUGCCUAUUCGGGUUCCAUCCACAAGGAGAUCCAGCUGGUGUUUCCAGUACAGCCCCAAACGCUGUGUGUAGGGUUCCCGAGGCACCAAACUGGCAUGCCGGUACACCGUGCCAGGUACUUGCCCAAUCACAGUCCACCCCAAGGGUCAGCGCUGCGCACAGCCUCCAGUAUACUAUAGACACCAGAAACUACUUGUAACUACUGGACCGAGAUCAUGGCAGUCAAUAAUUCGAGCGGGGUCAUAUUUCAGGGCCCAAUGUGUCAUAGUAGCUGGUGUUGAAUCACACACACAGAACUCAAUUCUUAGGGACGGUUCCGUGGCAAAGACAGGUCAUGUAUAGGAAAGGGGUUCAACUACUGCAGCAAACAGCAGUUUGAAAUGUUGUUGUUUUAAUGCAGUAAAAGAGAGCAAGAGUGAGAAGAUGGUAUUGUAUCGAGAUGAUCAAUGGGGGUUGCUUGCCUGGAAGGGUGGUGGAAGUGUACUGCCCUUCGGUUGGAUAUAUUCACGGAUAUCCUCGGGUGUAGGACCUACCACGAAGAUCACACCGGUAACACAAUCAAUACAUGGCAAUAUGCAACAAUAUGAUGCAUGCAUAUGACAUGGCAAAGUGAGUGUGUUGGGCUAAUGCAACUAAAACCAGAGGGGUUGAGUCAAUUUGAACCAAAGGUUCAAAUUCAAACUCAAACUAUGAAUUUAUAAAGUGCGGUAUCAUGUUUUGAUGUAUACAGCAAGGUUAAGUUGCUUUGUCAUGCAUGAAACCAAUGCUAAUGGAUGGAUUGGAUUUUUCUGAUCAUUUUUCAUAUGUAAAUCUUUUCCAUCUAAGCUAUAGAUUAAUUUCUAUGAUUAUUUGAAGUUUAAACCUUUUUCUGGAUUUUUUGAUUAAUUAGAAAUAAACUAAUUCCAGAAAAGGGAAUUACCACGUCACCAUGACGUCAGCGAGUCAAUGGGGCGGCCCAGGUCAAACUGACCAGUGGGUCCCGCAUGUCAGUGACCAACUAAACUAACCUAAUUUAAUUAGUACUAACCUAGGUUAAUUAGCAGGGCGGCCCCACACGUCAAUGACCCAGGGGAGGUCAAACCCCUGUUCAACAGGGGCUAACACGCCGGCGCUUAGCCAUCGGUGAUAAAGGAUGCGGCGGGGCGCUUUGAGAACGGGUUGUGGUGCCCCGUUCGCAGUGCAGCUGGGCUCGUUCGAGAGCCUAGACCAGCGCGCGUCGGGCGAUGACGCCAGUCGGGCCUGAGGCGGCCAGAUGCAACGGCGGGGAGCUCGACUGCGGCGGCCGGAGCUCGGUCGCAGGCGCGGGCGGCACUGCGGGGCAUAGGCGGGCGAGCUAGCACGCUAGGGACGGCAUGCGCGAAGCGGCGAGUGCAAAGGACACGAUGGGCGAACCAUUUGGUCACCGAAGUUGUGUCGGCAGUGAUCGCAGCCGGUGGCGCAUGCGGGUGAGAGCGGCGGUGUGGCUACGUAGUGCGGCAGCGAGAACAAAGAGGUAAAGAAGGGGCAGCGGCUCACGGCGAUCGUAGUGGAGUGGACGGCGAGCUCGAAGGUGGUCGGAGCUGAGCGCGGUGGCGAGGGGGGUCUCCGGCGAUGGGCGAUGAAGGUGGGGUUAGGGAGGCAUAUCCAGGGCAUGUGAGCGCUCGUGGCUCGGCUGGCUCGGUGCAGUGGACGGCAAGGAAGCUCAUGAGCACAUCGAGGCGACGAGGGAGCGGUGGUGGCUGUGGCUUCACGGUAGCGUGGUAGUGGCUACAUCGGCCACGGCGAUCAGAGGGCAAGAGAGAGAGGGCAGGGGGAGAGUGAGGUGUCGGGGAGCUCGGGGCGGCACCGAGGAGGCGUUUCGACGCAUCUGCGCACUGUCCAGGUGACACAGGCGAGCAGGGAGCUGCACGGCGAGCUCGGGCGCGCGUGCGCUGUCCCCCUCUGCCUACUGGAAGAGGUAGGGGUGACUGGCACCAGGCCAGGUGGGUCGGCCCAGUUCAGGUAAGUUGUCUGGGGGCCUUCUCUCUCUGCCUUUUCUGUUUUUCUUUUUUUUCCGUCUUUCUUUCUGAUUUAGCACAAACGCCAAACCUCUUUGUAAAAUGCUGAAAAUAUUUGUGGGCACUUGUGAAAUUAUUUCCAACAGCCCUCAAAUGCUUUCAAGAUUAUUUCGACAUUUAAAAUUAUUUAUAAGAUUUAAAUGUCCAAAUGUAAAUACUAUAUGGAUUAGUUCAAAAAUCCAGAGUGUCCUAGAAAUAUGUGCACCAUUUUUGGUAGAGGUUCUAUUCCACUUCAAAAAUGAUGAACUUUUAUGAAGGGCGGUUUGCGUUCAUUGAAAUCAUGUUUUAGUUGAACCUGGUAUUUUCUUGGGGGUGCUAGGGUUUGUUGAUCCCAUUUCAAGUUUAAGAAAAUUUAAACAUGAUGCAUCACUCUAGCUAGUCCUAAUGCAAGCACUGACUAGGGCUGUGACAAGAGAAAUGGGAGAAAAUCAAGCGAAGAUAAUGCGAGUGAUCCUCCAUUAGUUAGGGCCUGGCUAAUUUAGCCGAUCCCUUAAUUUUGGGAUAUGGGAGAAAAUCAACUGAAGAACGCUACUGCUCGAUCCCCAUCCAACACUGGAAAUGCGUUUGGAUUUGUCCCAAAAAAAUUGUUGUUUGCCAGUUUUCUAUGCAUGUUAAUCGGUACUAAGAAAUGGGAGGAGUAGAACCUUUCCUCGCGAAUUAUCUUCAGGCAGAUAUUAUUGCAAUAGGAGGAUUCCAACGUUUCCUUACGAACUAAGUUACGUAAUAUUUAAAUUCUUUCCAUAUAUGGUUUCCAAUUAAGGAAUUUUGUAAAUGCAAGGGAAAUUGGGAAUUUUUUACCUACCACUGCUUUUCCUUCCACUACUGCCAAGGGGGACAUUUUCUCGCGAAAUACAGAGGCCCUUCCGAUGGGUCUGAGCUGUGAGGUGGAGGAAUCAUUAUUUUUUGCGUAAUAAGGAGGCACUUGCUUGCGUGUGGCCAUGGACCUAGCUGUCAGCCUCUCCACAUACAGUCCUCUUCUGAUGGCUGUCAUUCGUUGAUCGCGUUGACCACGCCGCGCGAAGAGCACCCAGGCGGUGGACGACGGUGAGGCACGGAACGACGUGGAGCCCGAGAACACGCAGAGGCUAGUAUGAUGGUUGACUGGUUCGGCUGCGGUAUGAGGCUGUCGUGGUGGCUGGAGCGAGGCAGUCGACGCUGAAUGAACAGUAGCCCGUGGAGUCCCGUUUUGCGGUACGCCACACCCCUCCCGAUGAACAGGACUCCAUUUCGAUCGUAGGCGCUCCAACACAAGUCCAUUUCCUCCGUUUUGCGAUACGCCACACCCAUCCCGAUCAACAACACCAUGUUACAACCGUAUGCACUCGAACACAGGUCCAUAUCCUGUGUUCUAUGGUACGCCAGACCCUUCCCAAUGAUAAGAACACCGUUUGGACCGUAUGCGGUCAAACAGAAGGCCAUUUCCUUUGUUCUGCGGUACUCCAGAGCUUGUUUCAGCUAUUCCAUCCAAGCCGGUUGGCUCCUAAUGAAAACGCGACGCUGUUUACUCUGUUCCGACCUAGCCGGUAGGCUGGCGAUGAACAUGACACUGUCGCUGUAUGCAUUAGAGACCCAACACAUAUGUACGUACGUAGCCGUAUUUACUAUCUUGUAGCAUGGUUGUACGUACGUGUACACGAUAUAGACGGGACUGCGUGACAUGCUAUGUCAGCGCCUCUACUCCAACACGUGUCGCUCCUUACUCGGCCAUGGUACGUCGCUGCAGAGAGACCGUUUGACCGCUAUGUACAUACACGUUCUUAGCAAGACAGAUAACGCUACCUUCGCUUCAACCCGGUGGGUCCCAUCUGUCAGGGGGGAAGAAGUCACUUCCUUCCAUGCAAAGGUAAAGCCGGUGGGUCCUAACAGUCAGGGGGGACAUUUUUUUGCAAAAUACAAAGGCCCUUCUGGUGGGUCCGAGCUGUCAGGUGGAGGAAUCAUUAUUUUGCGCGUAGUAAGGAGGCACUUGCUUGCGUGCAGCCAUGGACCUAGCUAUCAGCCUCUCCACGUACAGUCCUCUUCUGAAGGCUGUCAUUCAUUGACCGCAUUGACCACGCCGUGCGAAGAGCACCCAGGCGGUGGACGACGGUGAGGCAGGGAACGACGUGGAGCCCGAGAACAGGCGGAGGCUAGUAUGAUGGAUGACUGGUUCGGCUGUGGUAUGAGGCUGUUGUCGCUGCAAAAUAACAGGGGGUGUAGGUGAGUAGAGGGAUGGCCUGGCCAGUGGUGGGAGUAGGGUAGGGCGGUGAGGCCUGCGCGGCAGCACAACCGUCCAUGGAGGCAGGAACAGGCGGUCCCGCCGAUGCUGGUUUACGCGGUUGGUGCAAGAAGAUCAGAUAUUGAAGAAGCAGCGGGACCAUUUGAUUAAAAUCGAAUGGUCACUGCUCGUUUGUUGACUAAGUUGAUAAAUCCCUACGUGCGCAUCAACUUAGUAGGCCCACAGGCCAACCUCCGAACCGGUGCGCCGAAGAUGUCAGUGGGAGGAAUCAUUUUUUCGCAUAAUAAGGAGGCAGUUGCUUGCGUGCGGCCAUGGACCAUGGGGGUCCCUAUUGUCAGCCUCUUGACAUACUAUAUGAUUAUAUGAUUUUGUAGGGAUAAGCUUUCUUUGGCCAUGUUAUUUUUAGAAGACAUAAUUAUUUGUUAGUAUGCUUGAAGUAUUAUUGUUCUUAUGUUAAUAUCAAACUUUUGUUUUGAAUCUUACAGAUCUGAACAUUCAAGCCACAAUAAAGAGAAUUACAUGGAUAAAUAUGUUAGGUAGCAUUCCACAUCAAAAAUUGUGUUUUUAUCAUUUACCUACUCGAGGACGAGCAAGAUUAAGCUUGGGGAUGCUUGAUACGUAUCCAACGUAUCUAUAAUUUUUGAUUGUUCCAUGCUAUUAUAUUAUUUGUUUUAGAUGUUUUAUAUGCAUUAAUAUGCUAUUUUAUAUGAUUUUUGGGACUAACCUAUUAACCUAGAGCCCAGUGCCACUUUCUAUUUUUUUUCCUUGUUUUAGAUUUUCGCACAAAAGGAAUACCAAAUGGAGUCCAAACGGAAUAAAAUUUUCGCGGUGAUUUUUCUUGGACCAGAAGACACCCAGGAGACUUGGAGUGCAAGUCAAAAGAGCCACGACGCAGCCACAAGGGUGGAGGGCGCGCCCAGGGGGUUGGGCACGCCCCCCGCCCUUUUGGGCCCCUCGAUGACCCCCCUGACGUAGAUCGUCCUCCUAUAUAUUCUCAUAUACCCCGAAAACUUCCAAGAGAGCCAUGAAACCAUUUUUCCACUGCCACAACCUUCUGUACCCAUGAGAUCCCAUCUAGGGACCUUUUCCGGCAUCCUGCCGGAGGGGGAUUCGAUCACGGAGGGCUUCGACAUCAACACCAUUGCCUCUCUAAUGAAGCGUGAGUAGUUUACCACAGACCUACCGGUCCAUAGCUAGUAGCUAGAUGGGUUCUUCUCUCUCUUUGAUUCUCAAUACCAUGUUCUCCUCGAUGUUCUUGGAGAUCUACUUGAUGUAAUACUCUUUUGCAGUGUGUUUGCUGAGAUCCGAUGAAUUGUGGAUUUAUGACCAGCUUAUAUAUAAAUAUUAUUUGAAUCUCCUCUCUAUUCUUAUAUGCAUGAUUUGAUAUCUUUGCAAGUCUCUUCGAACUAUCGAUUUGGUUUGGCCAACUAGAUUGGUUUUUCUUGCAAUGGGACAAGUGCUUAGCUUUGGGUUCAAUCUUGCGGUGCUCGAUCCUAGUGACAGAAGGGGAACCGACAUGUAUUGUAUUGUUGCCAUCAGGGAUAACAAGAUGUGGUCUUCAUCAUAUUGCUUGAGUUAAUCCCGCUACAUCAUGUCAUCUUACUUAAUGCGUUACUCUGUUGUUAUGAACAUAAUACUCUAGAUGCAGGAAGGAGUCGGUCGAUGUGUGGAGUAAUAGUAGUAGAUGGAUAAUCGUUUAUGUCUCCUUGACAUGGACGUGAUGUCUAUAUUCAUGAUCAAUGCCUUAGAUAUCGUCAUAACUUUGCGCUUUUCUAUCAAUUGCUCGGUAGUAAUUUGUUCACCCACCGUAAUAAUUUAUAUCUUUCAGAGAAGCCUCUAGUGAAACCUAUGGCCCUCGGGUCUAUUUUCCAUCAUAUAAGUAUCCGACCAGGGGUUGUGUACAUGGAGAGGCAACGGACGACAGCAACGGCAUCCUGUUCAUCAGGCAGCGAACCGGCUGGGUUGGAAUGGAUAAACAUCAUCUUGUUCAUCGGGAAACAACCGACUAGGUCGGAAUGCAUCCUGUUCGACGGGAGCCAGCCGGCUUGGACAGAAUAGCCGAAAUGGGGUCUGGUGUAUCGCGGAAUGGAGGGAAUGGCCUUUUGUUUGACCGGCCAUGGUCGAAACGAGAUCCUGUUCAUUGGGAGGGGUCUAGCGUAUCGCAAAAUGGAGGAAAUGGACUUGUGUUGUAGUUCCUACGAUCGAAACAGGGUCCUAUUGAUCGGGAGGGGUGUGGCAUACCGCAAAACGGAGGAAAUGGACUUGUGUUGGAGUGCCUACGGUCGAAACGGGGUCCUGUUCAUCCACUGUCUACUGCCUCACUCCAGCCUCCACGGGUUACUUUUCAUCCACCGUCGACCUCCUCCACCCUCCACGGGCUACUAUUCAUCAUCAACUACUGCUCGUCCAGCCUCCAACAGCUGGUGUUCAUAGAGCCUCCACGGGGUCCUAUUCAUCCACCCCCAACCGGCUGGGGUGCGGAGGCCUCCUCGUGGUCUUGUUCAGCCAGCGACAAUGGCCUACUACCACAAGGUCCUGUUCAUCCAACCCCCACCGGGAACUGUUCAUCCAUAGCCAACCACUCGGCUCGACUCACCACGUCUCGAAUCGUUCUACGUGCCGCUCAGACGAUAGCAACAGUCACUCUUCAUAUAGAGGCAACCGAACACUGGUUGGCUAGCUACAUCUCGCACGGAGGCUCGAUCAGCUUCAGUAAGCAGCAACAGUGAUCGAUCGCUUGGGUUCAGUUAGCAGCAGCAGCGAAGGAAUCACUCGGGUUCAGUCAACAGCGAGUGAAUCGCUUGGGUUCAGUUAACAUCCAAGGGAUUGAUCACUCGGGUUCAGUAAUGUGUGAUCGCUCCGGAUUCAGUAAGCCAACGCCUCGCACACACACGCGUCCACAAGAGAAACGCGCAAACCAUAGUGCAUCGCUCAGCCCCGACCACCCACCGUAACCAGUAACUACGCGAUAUUUCCUCUCCCUCGCUUCAACCAUGAUUCUUUCCGUCAUGGACGGCCCAAAUAGUUAAAGGAAAUAUGCCCUAGAGGCAAUAAUAAAGUUGUUAUUUAUAUUUUUUAUAUCCUGAUAAAUGUUUAUUAUUCAUGCUAGAAUUGUAUUAAUCAGAAACUUAGUACAUGUGUGAAUACAUAGACAAACAGAGUGUCGCUAGUAUGCCUCUACUUGACUAGAUCGUUAAUCAAAGAUGGUUAAGUUUCCUAGCCAUAGAUAUGUGUUGUCAUUUGAUGAACGGGAUCACAUCAUAAUAGAAUGAUGUGAUGGACAAGACCCAUCCGUUAGCUUAGCAUAAUGAUCGUUUAGUUUUCCUGCUGUUGCUUUCUUCAUGACUUUUACAUGUUCCUCAGACUAUGAGAUUAUGCUACUCCCGAAUAACGUAGGAACACCUUGUGUGCUAUCGAACAUCACAACGUAACUGGGUGUUUAUGAAGAUGCUCUAUAGGUGUCUCCCAUGGUGUUUGUUGAGUUGGCAUAGAUCGAUAAUAGGAUUUGUCACUCCGUGUUUCGGAGAGGUAUCUCUGGGCCCUCUCGAUAAUGCUCAUCACUAUAAGCCUUGCAAGCAAAGUGACUAAUGAGUUAGUUGUGGGAUGAUGCAUUACCGAACGAGUAAAGAGACUUGCCGGUAAUGAAAUUGAAUUAGGUAUGAUGAUACCGACGAUCGAAUCUCGGGCAGGUAACAUACCGAUGACAAAGGGAACAACGUAUGUUGUUAUGCGGUUUGACUGAUAAAGAUCUUCAUAGAAUAUGUAGGAACCAAUAUGAGCAUCCAGGUUCCGCAAUUGGUUAUUGAUUGUAGAUGUGUCUCGGUCAUGUCUACAUAGUUCUCGAACCCGUAGGGUCCGCACGCUUAACGUUCGAUGCUGAUUUGUAAUAUGAGUUAUGUGAUUUGAUGUACUGAAGGUUGUUUGGAGUCCUGAAUGAGAUCACGGACAUGACGAGGAGUCUCAUAAUGGUCGAGACAUAAAGAUUUAUAUAAUGGACCAUGUUAUUCAGACACCGGAAGCAUUCCGGAUAGUUUCGGAUAAAACCGGAGUGCCGGAAGGGUUACCGGAACCCCCCGGGGAAGUAACGGGCUUUAGUGGGCCUUAGGGGUGAGAGAGGGCAGCAGCCAGGUGGUGGCACCCCCCAAGGAGAGUCCAAAUAUGACUAGGGGAGGGGGCGCGACCCCUCUUUCCCUCUCCCUCUCCCUUUCCUUCCUUCUUCUCCUACUUGGACUAGUAAAGGGGGAGCCGAUUCCUACUUGAAGUAGGACUCCCCCCUUGGGCGCGCACAUAGGGCCGGCCGGCCUCCUCCUCCCCUCCUUUAUAUACGGGGAGGGGGCACCCCAUAGACGCACAAGUUGAUCUUUUAGCCAUGUGCGGUGCCCCCCUCCAAAGUUACACACCUCGGUCACAUCAUUGUAGUGCUUAGGCGAAGCCCUGCAUAGGUAACUUCAUCAUCACCGUCACCACACUGUUGUGCUGACGGAACUCUCCCUCGGCCUCAACUGGAUCAAGAGUUCGAGGGACGUCAACGAGUUGAACGAGUGCUGAUCACGGAGGUGACGUGCGUUCGAUACUUGGAUCGGUUGGAUUGCGAAGACGUUCGACUACAUCAACCGCGUUACUAAACGCUUCCGCUUUCUGUCUACGAGGGUACGUAGACACACUCUCCCCUCCCAUUGCUAUGCAUCUCCUAGAUAGAUCUUGUGUGAUUGUAGGUAAAUUUUUUGAAAUACUGCCUUCCCCAAAAGUGGUAUCAGCGCCAGGUUUAUGCGUAGAUAUUAUAUGCAUGAGUAGAACACAAAGAGUUGUGGGCGAUAAUAGUCAUACUGCUUACCAGCAUGUCAUACUUUGAUUCGGCGGUAUUGUUGGAUGAAGCGGCCCAAACCGACAUUAGAUGACCGUGUUCAUGAGACUGGUUCUACCACCGUGCUUCGCACACAGGUGGCUAGUGGGUGUCUGUUUCCCCAACUUUAGUUGAAUCGAGUGUGACUACGCCUGGUCCUUGUUGAAGGUUAAAACGGCACACUUGAUGAAAAAUUGUUGUAGUUUUGAUGCAUAGGUAAGAACGGUUCUUGCUAGAAGCUCGUAGCAGCCACGUAAAACUUGCAACAACAAAGUAGAGGACGUCUAACUUGUUUUUGCAGGGCUUGCUGUGAUGUGAUAUGGUCAAGACGUGAUGGUAUAUAAAUUGUUGUAUGUGAUGAUCAUGUUUUGUAACAGUUAUCGACAACUGGCAGGAGCCAUAUAGUUGUUGCUUUGUAAUUGCUUUACUUUAUCACUAAGCGGUAGUGAUAGUCGUAGAAGCAAUAGUUGGCGACACGAAAACGAUGCUUCGAUGGAGAUCAAGGUGUCAAGCCAGUGACGAUGGUGAUCAUGAUGGUGCUUUGGAGAAGGAGAUCAAAGGCACAAGAUGAUGAUGCCCAUAUCAUAUCACUUAUUUGAUUGCAUGUGAUGUUUAUCUUUUUAUGCAUCUUAUUUUGCUUAGUUUGGCGGUAGCAUUAUAAGAUGAUCUCUCACUAAAUUUCAAGGUAUAAGUGUUCUCCCUGAGUAUGCACCAUCGCUAUAGUUUGUUGUGCCGAGACACCACGUGAUGAUCAGGUGUGAUAAGCUCUACGUUCACAUAUAAUGGGUGCAAUCCAGUUUUGCACAAGCAGAAUACUUAGGUUAAACUUGAUGAGCCUAGCAUAUGCAGAUAUGGCCUCGGAACACGGAGACCGAAAGGUCGAGCGUGAAUCAUAUAGUAGAUAUGAUCAAGAUAGUGAUGUUCACCAUUGAAAACUUCUCCAUCUCACGUGAUGACCGGACAUGGUUUAGUUGAUAUGGAUCACGUGAUCAUUUAGAUGACUAGAGGGAUGUCUAUCUAAGUGGGAGUUCUUAAGUAGUAUGAUUAAUUGAACUUUAAUUUAUCAUGAACUUAGUACCUGAUAGUAUUUUGCAUGUCUAUGUUGUUGUACAUAAAUGGCAUGUGCUACUGUUCCUUUGAAUUUUAAUGCAUUCCUAGAGAAAGCUAAGUUGAAAGAUGAUGGUAGCAACUACACGGACUGGGUAUGUAACUUGAGGAUUAUCCUCACUGCUGCACAGAAGAAUUAUGUCCUGGAAGCACCGCUAGGUGUAAAGCCCGCUGCAGGAGCUACUCCAGAUGUUAUGAAUGUUUGGCAAAGCAAAGCCGAUGAUGUAACGCCCUCGAUGCGGCUAUAUCUCCUACGUGUCGAAGCACGACUUAGAAUCAUAACCGCAUUGAAAGCAAUGUCACAAGUGAGGUAAUCUUCACACAACCCAUUUAAUCCAUAAGGGAAAGAGAUACAUAGUUGGCUUACAAUCGCCACUCAUACAAUUACAUGAAUAAAGCAUUACAUCAUCCAGAUACAAUCAAGGUCCGACUACAGAACCAAAAUAAAAGAAGAACCCCAAAAGCGACAAGGUCCCCGAUCGACCCCAACUGGGCUCCACUACUGAUCGACUGAAACGAAACAACACAAAGGACAAGAUCUUCAUCGAGCUCCUCCUUGAGCUCGGUUGCGUCAUCUGCACGGACUCAUCGGCACCUGCAAGCUGGUUUUGGAAGAAUCUGUGAGCCACAGGGACUCAGCAAUCUCGCACCCUCGCGAUGAAGACUAUUUAAGCUUAAGGGUAAGGCAAAAGGUAUGAGGUGGAACUGCAGCAAGCGACUAGCAUACAUGGUGGCUAACAUACGCAAAUGAGAGCGAGAAGAGAAGGCAAAACACGGUCGAUAAAAGUAUGAUCAAGAAGUGAUCCUAAAACAACCUAUGUCAAGCAUAACUCCAACACCGUGUUCACUUCCCGGACUCCGCCGAAAAGAGACCAUCACGGUUACACACGCGGUUGAUGCAUUUUAAUUAAGGUCAACUUCAGGUUUUCUACAACCGGACGUUAUCAAAUUCCCAUCAGCCCAUAACCGCGGGCACGACUUUAGAAAGUUUAAUUCCCUGCAGGGGUGUCCCAACUUAGCCCAUGACAAGCUCUCACGGUCAGCGAAGGAAUAGACCUCCUCCCGAGACAUUCCGAUCAGACUCGGUAUCCCGGUUCUACAAGACAUUCCGACAAGGUAAAACAAAACCAGCAACACCGCCCGAAUGUGCUGACAAAUCCUGAUAGGAGCUGCACAUAUCUCUUUCUCAGGGCACACUCAGAUUGUCCAAACUUCCGUUAGGCCAGCCCAGAGUUGCCCCUGGUGGCCACCGGCGGCUGACAGUUUGGACCAACACUCAGAGGAGCACUGGCCCGGGGGGUUUAAAAUAAUGAUGACCCUCAGGAGCGCGACUCCCAAGGGAAAAGAAAAGGCUAGGUGGCAAAUGGUAAAACCAAUGUUGGGCAUUGCUGGAAGAGUUUUACUCAAGGCGAACUGUCAAGGGGUUCCCAUAAUAGCCCAACCGCGUAAGGAACACAAAAUCCGGGAACAUAACACCGAUAUGACGGAAACUAGGGCGGCAAGAGUGGAACAAAACACCAGGCAUAAGGCCGAGCCUUCCACCCUUUACCAAGUAUAUAGAUGCAUUAAUUUAAAUAAGAGAUAUUGUGAUAUCCCAACAAGUAAACAUGUUCCAACAAGGAACAACAUCUCCAUGUUCCAAAAAGGAACAAACUUCAAUCUUCACCUGCAACUAACAACGCUAUAAGAGGGGCUGAGCAAAGCGGUAACAUAGCCAAACAACGGUUUGCUAGGACAAGGUCGAUUAGAGGCUUGGUUCAACAAUAUGGGAGGCAUGAUAAGCAAGUGGUAGGUAUCGUAGCAUAGGCAUAGCAAAAGAGCGAGCAACUAGCAAGCAAAGAUAGAAGUGAUUUCGAGGGUAUGAUCAUCUUGCCUGAAAUCCCACAAGGAAGACGAACGAGUCCAUGAAGAAGACAAACGAACGUAGACGAACGGGUCCACACAAACGCGACGUUAUCGGAAUCAACCCGAAGAAGCAAACACCAGAAAGAAGCACACAACAUAGUAAACAACCAACACAUGAACAUGAUAUGAUAUGCGGGAUGCGGUAUGCAAUGCAUAUGCAUGAUUUGACAAGAGAUGAAUGAACCUGGCCUCAACUUGGAAAUCCAAGUGUGCCACGGGAAAGGUGAGAUGAAAACGCUUGAAAACAAUAUGAAGAACGCCGGAAUCGGAGUUACGGUUUGGAAAUGACAAGCAAUUCAAAUAUGGCACCGGUCUGCGAUAUACCGCAAGUAGCCAUCUAAAUGCAACAGGUUAACCAUGCUACAUCACUCAAACAUGGCAACAAAAUACAUGGCAGGGAUCCAUUCAUGAUGCUUAACAAAAGAUGAACACUAAGCUAUGGCUAAUUCAUCCAUUAACAGGUUCAAACAAGCAUGGCAAAAGUGCAUUUGGUAAACAGAUCUCAGACUUAGUGAAAUUAACACAAGCCUGGAAUUUCAGAUCAGGUAGCACACUUUGGAGCAUGAAAACUAUAUGCUACAGGACCUGAACAUGGCAAAGUAAAGCAUUUCAUGGAGCUACUCAAAAAGCUUAACAAAAGUCCCUUAGUGACCUUGAGCCAAAAGGGAUCAGAAAAUACAAUUGCAAACAUGUGAACAUGGCAAAAACAUAAUCAGUUCUCAGGCUUGGUGAAAACUGGAGCAUGCUGAAUCAGAUAUCAAUUAGGCAUGUUCACGAGCUCGAUGCACUCACUACAGAGCAAGUCAUGACAAACUAAGCAUACACCCAUCAAGAAUAAACAAAAUAAAAGCUAGACAUGGAAAGAACAAUAACAUAGCAUGCACGGAUCAACUACAACAUCCUCGGCAAAAUCGCUAACAAGUAGACAAUCUGCCCAGAUUCACGAAAUAGCAAAAGUAGAGCUCGAUUGACUCAAGCUAGGUUGCUCCAGAAAUGCAAACAAAGACAUGGAUGGAUAGAGCACGACAAGAUUAACAAAACAUCCUUACUGAUCAUCCUCAAAAGAGGCACGGAUCGCUAGGAAACAACAUGAACAUAUGGCAUAUUGAGAUAAACAGCUCAAGGACUUAGUGGAAAUGCUAAGUCCCUGAAAUCAGCAUUAAUGAAUGCACCACUUUGCAAGCUUGUGUAAGUCACCACACACAUCACAAAAAUACAUGGGUUGCACCUCUGGAUAGAUGACAAAACAUAUAACAAAACUCAUGUAGAGCUCAGGGGCAUAUCAUGCACACAAUAAUCAUGGCAAAAAUGACAAAUAGCUAAAUGGAGCAGCAGAUCUGACAAUUAACUCAAAUAGCACUUUUCCAACAGCAUUUCGGGAAUCAAGAUGCACCCAAAAGAAAAUGACGCAAUGGGAUGAAAUGAUGUACUCUCUAAGAUGAACAUUUUGAUAUGCUAUAUGCCCAAAAUGGAGCUACGGAUGCGAAGUUACGAUGCGAUGAACAUGGGCAUAUGAAACAUGGAAAACUCGGGGACUUAGUGAAAAUAUAGACCUCCAGAUCUAGGGUUCAUCCGGCGCGUGAACCGAGGCGACGGCGGAUCUCGCCGGAGAUGGAAGGAAGAGGAGUGGACCUCGCCGGAGAUGGCGGAUCCGGGCCGGAUCUCGCCGGAUCCGGCCGGAUCCUGGCGCGGGCGGCGUAGGGAGGUCNNNNNNNNNNNNNNNNNNNNNNNNNNNNNNNNNNNNNNNNNNNNNNNNNNNNNNNNNNNNNNNNNNNNNNNNNNNNNNNNNNNNNNNNNNNNNNNNNNNNNNNNNNNNNNNNNNNNNNNNNNNNNNNNNNNNNNNNNNNNNNNNNNNNNNNNNNNNNNNNNNNNNNNNNNNNNNNNNNNNNNNNNNNNNNNNNNNNNNNNNNNNNNNNNNNNNNNNNNNNNNNNNNNNNNNNNNNNNNNNNNNNNNNNNNNNNNNNNNNNNNNNNNNNNNNNNNNNNNNNNNNNNNNNNNNNNNNNNNNNNNNNNNNNNNNNNNNNNNNNNNNNNNNNNNNNNNNNNNNNNNNNNNNNNNNNNNNNNNNGAGGAGAGAGAGGCGGCGCCACAUGGCGUGCCGUGAGUGGAUGUGGGCGGAGCAGCGGCUGAGGUGGCGGCCAGUGAUAGGUCCAGGUGAGGUGGCGGCGGCGGUGGACAUUGUCCGGCGGCGCGGGACGAAAUGUCCGGUGGCGCGCGGGGGAGUUUUAGGGUUUCGUCUGCACAAAUUUCGGAGGGGAACACACACACACACACACACACACACACACAGAUAUAUAUAUAUAUAUAUAUAUAUAGGUAGAGGGAGCUAGGAGAGUCCAAAUGAGGUGCGGUUUCCGGCCACGCGAUCGUGAUCGAACGACCGAGGGGAUGGAAGGGGUUUAGGUGGGUUUUGGGCCACUUUGGAUGGGUGUUGGGCUGCAACACACAUGAGGCCUUUCGGUCCCUCGGUUAACCGUUGGAGUCUCAAACGAAGUCCAAAUGGCACGAAACUUGACCGGCGGUCUACCGGUAGUAAACCAAGGCCGCUUGGCAAGUCUCGGUCCAAACCGGAAAUGUUUAACCCCCACACAUGAGAAGAAGGUAGAAUUGACCACCGGAGGAGAACGGAGCGCCGGAAUGCAAAACGGACAACGGGGAAAAUGCUCGGAUGCAUGAGACGAACAUGUAUGAAAAUGAAAUGUGCAUGAUGACAUGAUAUGCAAUGCAUGAAACGCAAGCAAUGACAACGCAACAAUAGCGAAUAACUGGAGGACACCUGGCACAUCGGUCUCGGGGCGUCAGAGAUGACUACUCGAUAGUUCAGUGUGCCAUGAUUUACGACUUAGAAUCGGGAAUUCAGCAACGUCUUGAACAUCAUGGAGCAUAUGAGAUGUUCCAGGAGUUGAAGUUAAUAUUUCAAGCAAAUUCCCAGAUUGAGAGAUAUGAAGUCUCCAAUAAUUUUUAAAUUUGCAAGAUGGAGGAGAAUAGUUAUGUCAGUGUACAUAUACUCAGAAUGUCUGGGUACCCUAACCACUUGACUCAACUGGGAGUUAAUCUUCCUGAUGAUAGUGUCAUUGACAGAGUUCUUCAAUCACUGCCACCAAGCUACAAAAGCUUCAUGAUGAACUAUAAUAUGCAAGGGAUGGAUAAGACAAUUCCUGAUCUCUUCGCAAUGCUAAAAGCUGCGGAGGUAGAAAUCAAGAAGGAGAAUCAAGUCUUGAUGGUCAAAAAUACCACUAGUUUCAAGAAGAAGUACAGAGGGAAGAAGGUGAACUUCAAGAAGAACGGCAAGCAAGUUGCUGCUCAAGUGAAGAAGCCAAAGUAUGGACCUAAGCCUGAGACUGAGUGCUUAUACUGCAAAGGGACUGGUCACUGGAAGCAGAACUGCCCCAAGUAUUUGGAGGAUAAGAAGGAUGGAAAAGUGAAAGGUAUAUUUGAUAUACAUGUUAUUGAUGUGUACCUUACUAAUGCUCACAGUAGCGCCUGGGUGUUUGAUACUGGUUCUGUUGCUAAUAUUUGCAAGUAGAAACAAGGGUUAUGGAUUAAGGGAAGAUUGGCUAAGGACGAGGUGACGAUGCACGUGGGAAAUGGUUCCAAAGUCGAUGUGAUCGAGGUCGGCAUGCUACCUCUACAUCUACCUUCGGGAUUAGUUUUAGACCUGUAUAAUUGUUAUUUGGUGCCAGCGUUAAGCAUGAACAUUAUAUCUGGAUCUUGUUUGAUGUGGGACGGUUAUUCAUUUAAAUCAGAGAAUAAUGGUUGUUCUACUUAUAUGAGUAAUGUCUUUUAUGGUCAUGGACCCUUGAUGAGUGGUCUAUUUUUAUUGAAUCUCGAUAGUAGUGAUACACAUAUUCAUAGUAUUGAAGCCAAAAGAUAUAAGUUUAAUAAUGAUAGUGCAACUUAUUUGUGGCACUGCCGUUUAGGUCAUAUUGGUGUAAAGCGCAUGAAGAAACUCCAUGCUCAUGGGCUUUUGGAAUCACUUGAUUAUGAAUCACUAGAUGCUUGCAAACCAUGCCUCAUGGGCAAGAUGACUGUAAGUGCAUCUAGUGCCACCCCUAGUUGGUUUUGGAGUAUUGACGACAAACCUAGUUGAGGGACCAAUGUGUUUGUGAGAAUUGCAGGAAAACACAGGUAAAAGUCCCUCAUUGAUUCGGUUUUACUACCAGAGAUGACCCCUAAAAAUGCAUGAAGACAUUGAAGACAAAGGUGGUAUAUGAAGAUAUUCACAUUGAAGACUAUGACAAAAGAAGACACGUUAUGAAGCUUAUGGAGCUCGAAGACUUAGAUCUUUCGUAGUUCUUUUUCUUUUGUGUUGAGUCAUAGGAACCACCAUACUGUUAAGUGGGGUCCAGGAGAACCAGUCGGAAUGACUGAAGUGAUGCCUAAAUCAAAAACCUAUGUCUUCGAGUGAAGACAAUGAAAGCGAAUCUUGUCCAGAGCCGGACAAGUCAGCUUUGCUUGUAGCCCAAGUAAAGUUGCCAUGAGAGUUCGAAAUCUGACCAUUGAGACACGUGUCAGUUCCUUAGUGACCCAGGGUCAUUUUGGACAAAUCAGGUCGGGUUGCCAAGUGGCUAUAAAUAGCCCACCCCCUACAACCAUAAACGGUCGGCUGCUCAGAUUUCAGUGCAUGGCUUUUGUCGUUUGAGAGCAACCCACCUCGAAGCCUUUGAGAGAAAAUUCCUAGCGAGGAGAAAAGCCCUAACCACCCAGAGCCAGAGUAAAUUGGGCAUCACUUAAGUCUUCUUGUCUGUGUGAUCUAAAGACUUAUUACACUUGAGGACUGUGAAUCCUCCAGACGUUUAGGCGUCUCGUUCAGAGCAUCCAAGAGACAUUGUGGAUUGCCAGUGAACGAAGUCUGUGAAGGUUUGGGAGUCUACCUUGAAGACUUACCAGAGUGAUUGGGCGAGGACUAAGUGACCUUAGCUCAAGGAGAAUACGGUGAGGACUUGGUGUCCUGAACUGUGUGUUCAGGACUGGGUGUCCGGGACUGUGUGUCCUAAGGUUUAAAUACCUAGACGCUCCAACCAGACGUACAGUUGUCACAGCAACUGGAACUGGUCCAACAUAUCAUUGUCUUCAACGAGUCACUGGUUUCAUCUUCACUUCCUUUUCUUACUGUUACUCAUUGUGAAGCCAUUGCAUGCUUGCUUUAUCUUUUGUCUUCACAACGUGAAUGUAUGAUCUAUUUGUCUUCAUAACUUCUUCCUACCUGAUCCUUAUUACACUACAGUUGUUUGUCAUUGUGCUUUCACUCUAUUGAAUACCUAACCAUGGCUGGCUUAGUGUAAUCUAACUUCUGCUGCAUAGUAAUAGGCAUAAUCUUCGCUGGUUGUCUUCAUAACUCCCAUGUUUUGAAGACUUUCAUAAAAAUCGCCUAUUCACCCCCCCCCCUCUAGUCGAUAUAACGCACUUUCAAUUGGUAUCAGAGCAAGGUGCUCCCUUGUUCUGUGUGAUUCGGUUUCACCACCUGGAGUUUUAGCUAUGUCGACUGCAGGGAUAAUCAAAGUCUCCGAUGCGUGCCCCGUCUUUGAUGGAACUGAAUAUCCUACUGGAAGAAUAAGAUGCGCAUGCAUCUUGAAGCCAUUGACGUCGACCUACGGUAUGUCGUCGAGAACAGCGUUCCCAAGGCUGGAGAAGGUGUCACUGCUGUUGAUGUCAAGAAGUUCACUCAACUGGACUCUACUGCCAAAAAUAUCAUCUGUGGUCAUCUUACAAAAGGACAGUAUGGCCGUGUGAGUGCCUUGAAGACAUCCAAGAUGGUGUGGGACUGGCUCUCCAAGGUCAAUGAAGUCUCAACCCGGAGAGAUCAAAGAAUCAGUGUUCUUCGCAACCUCUUCAAUCGCUUCAAGCGAAAUGACAAUGAGAAUGUCCAGCACACAUUUGACCGACUCACUGACAUCACAAAUGAGCUUCAAGCCCUCGGUGCCACUGAGAUCACCAAACAUAAAAUCAUCAAGACGCUGCUGAGAUCACUUGAUAGAUCGUUUGACAUCCUAGCCCUGAUGAUUCAAGAACGUCCUGAUUUCAAGACACUCGAUCCAUCUGACAUACUUGAGAGGCUCAACACACAUGAGUUUUAGCUUUCUGAGAAAAGAGAUAUCUACGGUCCAAACUAUGGGCGAACUCGUGCCUUGAAGGAAAAAGCUGUUUCCUCAUCUAAAGAAGAAUCUGACAGCAGUUCUGAUGAUCCUGAAGACAUUGGAAGGGAACUUGCAAUGCUAGUGAAGAAGUUCCAAAAAUUCACCAAGAAGAAAGGCUUCAGAAAAUCUUCACGAUCAAGCUCAAGGAAUGAUGAAGCUUCUGCUCAUGACUACAAGAAGAAAACAUGUCACAAGUGCAAGAAAACUGGACACUUCAUCUCUGAGUGUCCACAGUGGGACAAUGAGAACAGAAGGAAGAAGAAGAGCAAGGAAUAUGAUUCUGACGACAAAAAGAAGAAGAAAUACUCAAAGUCUUCUUCCAAGUCUUCCUCAAAGACUUCAUCACACAAGAAGAGCUCAUCUGGCAAGGCACAUGCGUUUGUUGGCAAGGAAAUGGAUUCAGAGGAGGAGUCCGCUUCUGAGGAGGCAGAGGUGGAGUCUGAGGAGGAGUCUGAUUCUGGCAUUGCGAGUCUGGCUACAGCAUACGUCGCCAAGUCCAUCUUCAACACUGAAGACAAUGACUUCAUCACCGACACCAAUGCAAAUGACAAGAACGACUCCACUCCUACCUACUGCUUCAUGGCACGCGGUGCCAAGGUAAACACAUGCACUACUCGCUAUCAAACAUCUAGUGACGAUGACUCUGACUGUGAUUCAAAACCCAGCUACAAAACACUUGCUAAAAUUGCAACUGAACAACAGAAAGCUAUGGAACAUAUUCAAAAACUGUUAGACAGAAGCGAUGAUCUGUUGGGUGCUGAAAUGACUCGAUCUGAAUCCUUAAUUGAAGACAUAAAAAAUCUUCACGUUAAGUAUCAGGAACUUGAAGAUCAUCUUGAUACUCUCUCAACAACUCAUGAAAAGCUUUCCCAUGAUUAUCUUCAAAGGAAGCAAGAACUUAAGAAAUUGAGAGCGGCUCAUCAAGAUCUUCAAAAGGAAAACGAGUCACUUCGCGCUGAACAGAUCAGUUCCGCUCAGGAAGGAUUUGAACCACCAUGUCUUAAAUGCAUUGAGCAUGAUAAUGCUACUUCUGUUGCUGAAUGUUCCACUGCUACUACUGUUGCAAUAUCCUCAACUGUUGAUGUGGUAACUAACCCCUCUGCUGAGGAUACCACUGCUAUUGCUGAUGAGAAUGCUAGGUUGAAGACAUUGCUUGAAACAGGGAUGUACAAAAGUCUCAAAGGACAUCAGACAUUAUGUGAUGUCCUCAAGAAGCAGAUUCUGAACCGAAACCCUAGGAAAGAGGGUGUUGGGUUCGUAAGAAAAUAAAUGCAAAUGGCUCUUACUAGAAACCUGAGCAGUACCCCAAAACCACAUGGGUUGCUGCAAAAGGAACUUUCAGCAGAUCCAUCCAAUUUAUCUGGCUUCACUUGUGCUAACCCCAUCAUCAUUGAUGAAUCCUUUGAUGCAAACUAUAAACUGUUUAAGAAUCAGAAUGGUGAAGUGUUUGCCAGGUACAUUGGUACUAACUGCAGGAAUGGACCUCCUAUGAAGAAGAUCUGGGUUUCAAAAAGGUGUCUGGAAAAUCUUCCUGUGAAUGUCUUCAUGACACCUCACUUGAAGAAGACAAACCUCAGACCAAAGGCUUCAUACGGUCCAAAGGCUUCAUACAAACAGAGGAAUCACCUGAGUCACACUAACGCAAAUGUUUUGCAGGGAAACCAUACUCAGGCAUAUGAAUAUGAGAGCGGUUCAUCGAACCGUCAUGUUCAUAUGACCAAAAAUUAUUCUGCUUAUUCCUAUGAGUAUUAUUGUCCACCUGCAAGAUUGUUUGCUAAGGCUUCAAAGCCAAAAUUCUCAGAUGCUGCACUUAGACUUAUUGCUUCUAAGCCACCCUUGAAGAUGUGGGUGGUUAAGAAAGCUUAACUCUCUCUUGCAGGGAAAGGUCUCCAGCAGAAAAACAAAAUCUUCUGACGCCAUUGCUGGGGACCUUAAAAAUCUUGUAGGGCGCAAGAUAAAAUGCCCGAAUGGCAUCAUUAUGUACUUCAUUCCUGAAUCGCAUGCUACUCUCCCUAUUAGUCCUAAUCUAGAUCUAAGUUUUCAUAACCCACUGGUUCGUCAAAUGUUUUUGCUUCACAAUUCUCUUCGUGAAGCCUAUCCCCCUAACUGCACUGUAGGGUACGACACCAGCGACUUCAAAGUCUUCAGAAUGGAUUAUUGACAGUGGGUGUACAAAUCACAUGACUGGCAAAAGAAACCUUCUUAUGGACUCAACAUUACGUCCAUCCGACAAGAGCCACAUCACAUUUGCUGACACUGGUAAAAGUAAGGUAUUGGGUCUAGGUAGAGUUGCAAUCUCAAAGGAUCAACACAUGGAUAAAGUCAUGCUUGUUGAAUCCCUUGGCUUCAACUUAAUGUCUGUCUCAAUGCUUUGUGAUUUGAAUAUGAUUGUAAUGUUUGGAAAAUAUCGUUGUCUGGUACUAAUGGAAUCUGACAAGUCUCUAGUGUUUGAAGGGUAUCGCAAAGGUGAUUUGUACGUGGUAGAUUUCUCAGCAGGGCCACAACUUGUAGUAUGUCUUCUUGCAAAAGCUUCAGAAUGCUGGCUUUGGCAUCGGAGGCUUGGGCAUGCUGGCAUGAGGAACCUCCACACCCUUGCGAAGAAGAAGCAUGUCAUAGGCAUCGAGGGCGUCAAGUUCAAGAAAGAUCACUUAUGCGGUGCCUGUGAAGCAGGGAAGAUGACAAGGGCAAAACAUCCUUUGAAGACAAUCAUGACAACUACACAACCCUUCGAACUACUCCACAUGGAUCUUUUCGGUCCCACUCACUACUCAACUUUUACUACUUCUGCUUGCCUCUAUGGCUUUGUCAUUGUUGAUGAUUACUCUAGAUAUAUUUGGGUGCACCUAAUCCUUUACAAGACUGAAGUGCAGGAUGUCUUCAGACGCUUCGCCAAUCGAGCUAUGAACAAUUUUGGCGCCAAGAUAAAGCACAUCAGAAGUGACAAUGGCACUGAAUUCAAGAACACUGGCCUUGAUACAUAUCUUGAUACCUUGGGCAUCACACAUGAAUUCUCAGCUCCGUACACGCCACAGCAGAAUGGCGUCGUCGAACGCAAGAACAGAACACUCAUUGAGAUGGCCAGAACAAUGCUAGAUGAAUACAAGACUCCAAGAAAAUUCUGGACUGAAGCCAUUGACACUGCAUGCCAUACAAUCAAUUGUGUUUAUCUUCACAAGCUUCUGAACAAGACAUCUUAUGAACUCCUAACUGGCAAGAAGCCAAAUGUCAGUUACUUCAGAGUAUUUGGAGCAAGGUGCUGGAUCAAGGACCCACACCACACCUCAAAGUUUGCACCAAAAGCACAUGAGGGCUUUAUGCUUGGAUAUGGAAAGGAUUCGCACUCUUACAGAGUCUUCAAUCUCUUUCAUUAAAAAGUGAUUGAAACAGUGGAUGUGCGGUUCGAUGAGACAAAUGGUUCACAAAGAGAGCAACUGCCAAAUGUGCUAGAUGAAAUUCCAGCUAAUGAAUCAAUCAAGUUAUGGGAACUGGAGAGAUUAUACCUUCUGAAGCUCAUCCUGAAGAAGAACUUAUCAUCUCAGCACCUGAUCAACAUGAAGACAUUGCUCAGCCUGAAGACAUUCCUCCCAACAACAACACAGAUCAGCAAGAGCAAAGUCUUCGCCCUGUACAUCCUCGUGUUGCCAAUGAAGUGCAGAUUGACAGAAUAAUUGACAGCAUCAAUGCACCUGGUCCACUCACUCGUUCAAGGGCAACUCAGCUAGCAAAUUUCUGUGGGCACUUCGCAUUCGUAUCAAUAUCAGAACCCAAGAAAGUUGAAGAAGCCUUCAUGGAACCUGAAUGGAUUCAAGCUAUGCAAGAAGAGCUUCAACAGUUUGAACUGAAUAAUGUAUGGGAACUGGUCAAGCGUCCUGAUCCACGGAAGCACAACAUAAUAGGCACCAAAUGGAUAUACCGCAACAAGCAAGAUGAGCAUGGUCAAGUUGUCAGAAAUAAAGCUCGUCUCGUUGCUCAAGGAUAUGCUCAAGUGGAGGGCAUUGACUUCGAUGAAACAUUUGCUCCUGUGGCUAGGCUUGAAGCCAUACGCAUACUGCUGGCCUAUGCAAAUCAUCAUAACAUACUUCUAUAUCAAAUGGAUGUGAAAAGUGCCUUUCUCAAUGGCAAGAUUGAAUAAGAAGUGUAUGUUGCACAACCGCCUGGCUUUGAAAAUCCAAAACAUCCUGACAUGGUAUACAAGCUCAACAAGGCACUGUAUGGCCUCAAACAAGCUCCCAGGGCCUGGUAUGACACACUCAAAUACUUCCUGAAGAGCAAAGGCUUCAUACCUGGUUCCAUGGAUCCCACUCUUUUCACGAAGACAUAUGAUGGUGAACUGUUUGUGUGCCAAAUAUAUGUGGAUGACAUUAUCUUCGGCUGCACCAAUCAGAAGUACAGUGAAGAGUUUGGAUAUAUGAUGCAAGAGCAAUAUCAGAUGUCCAUGAUGGGGGAGCUGAAGUUCUUCCUUGGUCUUCAAAUACGACAAUAGCGCAAUGGCAUCUUCAUAUCUCAAGAGAAGUAUCUCAAAGAUUGCCUGAAGAAGUUCGGUAUGCAAGACUGCAAAGGCUUCAGAACACCAAUGCCAGCCAAACAUCAUCUAGGUCCUGACGACAAUGGUAAAGAGUUCGAUCAAAAGGUAUACCGCUCCAUGAUUGGGUCUUUGCUUUAUUUAUGUGCAUCUAGGCCAGAUAUUAUGCUUAGUGUUUGCAUGUGUGCUCGAUUUCAAGCGGCACCAAAGGAGUCGCAUCACUUAGCUAUGAAGCGAAUUCUUCGAUAUUUGGCUCACACCCCAGCUCUAGGAUUAUGGUAUCCAAAGGGCUCAGAGUUUGAUUUGGUUGGAUUUUCGGAUGCUGAUUAUGCUGGUGAAAAAGUUGAUCGCAAGUGUACAUCAGGCACAUGUCACUUUCUGGGAUGAUCACUUGUAUGUUGGUCUUCGAAGAAGCAGAACUAUGUAUCUCUCUCAACUGCUGAAUCUGAAUACAUUGCUGCUGGAUCUUGCUGCGCUCAGCUUCUGUGGAUGAAGCAAACACUCAAGGAUUAUGGCAUUCAUCUGAAGCAAGUGCCACUUUACUGCGACAACGAAAGCGCCAUCAAGAUUUCCAACAACCUAGUUCAGCACUCGAAGACAAAGCACAUUGAAAUUCGUCAUCACUUUCUCAGAGAUCAUGUUGUGAAGGAAGACAUUGAUAUCAUACACGUCAACACUGAAGAGCUAUUGGCAGAUAUCUUCACCAAGCCCUUGGAUGAGAAGAGGUUUUGCAAGUUACGGUGUGAGCUAAAUAUCUUGGAAUCCUCAAAUGUCCUGUGAUCAGGCACACAUCCUAACACUUAUGCAUAUUGAUAACUUAGAUGUGCAACACACAAAGUAAAGUAUAUCUUCAAUCAAUGAAGACAUACAUUCUAAGUUUGAAUACAUUAAUGUGGAAUUUGACUUCGGAGCGCCACGAUAAUUGUGUGCCGUGUCUGGGUCUAAUACUUCCUAUACGGUGGGUAACGCCACCACCAAAUGUUCCAUUUUGAAGUGUUUCACUCAUGGCGUUACCUUGCAAUAUCUUCACAUUUGGUUUGACUUCGAACUCAACAUGUCUUCAUGAUUAUCUUCACUACGUUGAUUAUAUAGAUAUAUACAUACUAGUGUUCUAUCCUCUACAACAUUCACUUAUAGCUAUGUCUUCUUGGUUGAAUCUUUUGAACUAAGUGAAUGUGAUCGGACCCUAAUCUCUUUAUGCUUUCUAUCUCAAAUUCUAUCUCUCCAAGUCAUAUGCAUUCUACUGAAACUGUCGAAUGUCUUCACUGUGUCCUUGUCAGCUGAAGAUAUAGAGACAACCAUAAAGUCCGUUUUUAAUGCUCAUUCCUCCACAUAAAAUCCGGAGAAGCAGGAACGACCGCCCGACAAUUUAGGCGUGCGUGGGACGUGGAACAAACCCCAAACUUCCGCUAACUGGCCACGCGUUCCUCAGAUGCGAACCGCCAGGGGCACCUGUGUAAUAGCAUAGUGCCGCCCCUGAGCCUAUAAAUUCACACUUACCGCGGUCAUUAUCUCCUUCUUCCACCCUCGCACGAACCCUAGCGCCACCGCUAGCACUCGACGACGCCGGAGACGAAGCGCUUCGCUGCCGCAACCUCUCCAAUGCCGUCCUCACGCCGACCGCGGACAUCGUCCUCUCUGCCGUCACCGUAGGUGUUUUCCGUCGCCAAGUUAGGGCACGGAGGACUGAACUGCUCGGCAUCAACUCCCACUUCCGUCUAGCAGUUCCAGUGUGGUAAAUAAAACUUCUUUUUACAGCCCCUUUGAUCUCAUGGUUCUGUCACUUUCUACCAUAAGAAGUUUCUCUUCACACUAGAUAGAUCUCUCGCUGCAUCUCAUAACAUGCCUAGUAUAUUCACUUGUGCUUCAUAAAGUAGUUAGAUUCCUCACUUGUACUGAUCUGUGGGUUCGUACAAAUCUGGAACCAACUUCUUAUCUAUGAGUGAAUGUCUUCGCAUGAUGAGGUCAAUGUCUUCUAAACUGAUUAAUCUUCAAAACCUUCUGAGAAUGCAUAUGACCUCUUCCCCUUCCCUCGCACCUUAAUGUUCUCACAGGUACAUGUCCGUGGGAGAAUUCUUCGGUUCUCAUAGUCUGCAUUCAUUUGCAGAAUUCCUACAGCAUCACAUAAACUCUCCUGAAGCCAGUUCCUAUUGGUCCAGAAAAGGAAAGCCUUUGAAGCCUUUGAAAGUUUUGAAGCCUUUCAAGUUAAAGUUUAUGGCUUCAGAAGCAGCAGCAAGGAAGGGGGGCAGACAGAGACGUGAGGGAACUUCCAAAGAUCUGCCUGAAGACUUGGCAGAAAUGUAUAAAACAGAUCCUGAAGAGAGCUAUGGGCAGCGCAAGACCCGAAUCCAAUGGAUUCGACGCUAUUGGGCAGAACAAUGGUUCAAAUACCGCUUCGUCACCCAGGAGUAUGCUGAAAAGAGUGCCAUCAAGAGACCAUGGGGGAUAUCUUAUACAAGAACCUUGUACCCAGGACCAGAGAUGAAGCCAUUGCUCAAGGCUUCUACCCAUGCAUGGUCCGAGGACCACAGCCUGAUGAUGCACACCCGUCGUCACUUCUCUGGUGUCGUGACGACAAUCUAUUCAAGCGCAACUACCAGUUUGCCCAACAGUCAGCAAAGCAGGACAAGAAGAAAUAUGGGUUAGACUUCAACCCUGGCCCCUCCGCACCAAGGGCAGAUGGCACACGCUACGCAGAACCAAAUAUCAUUGGUCCGUUUGCCAACCUUGAGGGCCUCAUCACCCACAUCUUAGUCCAAAGGGCUGCCGUGAAUGACCCUCAAGCUGACUCAGAGUCUAAUGAAGCUCCUGCUGUGCCGAAGCCAAAGCAGACGAAGAAACCAAAAGCUUCAAGGCCGGCCCCUGCCUCAAAAAUCUCAAGGGCGAAGCCAUUGAAAACUGCACCUCCUGAAGUUAGUGUGCAGUCUGAAGAAGUAUCCCGCAUCUCCAAGCCCCGGAAGGAAAAGGAGCCCCAGCAACAAACAGGCAAAGAGCUCACUGCUGCUGCCAUUCUGCGCAGCAAAGCCAUUGAUCUAUCAAGCGAUGAAGAUCUUGGAGAUGACGCUCUAGAGCAGCUUAUCAAAAGCAAGGAAGAAGCUGAAAUCUUCAACAAUUUGUCUCUCUUUGAUGUCGCCAUCAUCCACAACUUCAUCGAUGAAUGGUUUGCCUCACCAGACAUCAGCUUCGAAGAUCUGCAGCUGCUCGUUGGCCUCAGCGUCGCCUUCCAAGGUGCAAUUGCUUCAGAACUGGCCAUUGCUCAGCGCAUUGUUGAGCUGAAGCAGAAAAUUGAUCAUGAAAAGGCUUAGUUCAAGAAGCACAUGGCCAGGCUCAGCAUGCAGGAAGUGAAGAGCUUCAAAACCAUGUUGCAUGAGCUCAAGGAAAAUUUUCUGAACAAGCAUGCUGAAGCUCAGGGCUCGCGUGAGCGGAUGAAGUCUCUGGCAGAACGAUGUGUGCAGGCCUACAAUGAGGCCGAGAAGCGCAAGGCACUUGGGCGUCCUGGCAUCGACCCCAAGAUGGCCGCGAAGAAGAAGAAGCAGCCUACUGUGAAUGAACCAGAGGCACCAAGACAAGAAGCUAUGCCGAUUGUCUUCCCAACCGCCACGACUGGCUCGAAGCCAAAGAGCCGGUCAACCGCUUCAGAGCUUAAGAAGACACGGAAUGCAGAGGCUGAAGCUAGGAAGAGGAAACACUCUGAAGCCUCUCCUUCUGACCCCACCAAGAAGAAGCGCAAGAUCAAGAAAGCUCGGGAUGCUCCCACAGAGCCCUUGAUGGUUGAACCCCUCUCUGUCAUUCACCCCAACGUAGAACGUUAGCUGACAGUUCAUGAGCCUGCUCCCACAGAGGCUCCUGAAGCUGAAGAUAUUCCAGCAGCCGACCCCAUAGCUGCUGAAGACAUUGGUCACCAAGACAAUGUACAAGAUGAUGCAGCCCUUCCUCAGCUUGAAACAAGCGAACUCAUCAGUAUUGGUCGUCCUCUGAAGCCAAUGGCACAAGAUGAGUCAUGGGCGGAUCGCCCUCAGGAGGAAGAAGACUUUGAGGCCCAGCCCACUCCGACCCCACAAGCGUCGUCUGUGUUCCGUAGGCUUCGCAAAGGUCCACGGCCUCAAGUCCAUACUGAAGAAGUUCUGGCUGCAUCAGCCGAAGACAAUGAAGAAACACCACCAGAACCCACUCCCCCGCUCCAUCAAGAUGCAGUUCUCCAGGAGAACGUGCCUGAGGUUGUCCCUCCAACUACACAAGCGGAGGAAGAAAAUGUUGAGGCUGCCACCACAAACACUGAAGCCAAUGUGGAGCCCGCCCCACCAAAUGCUUCAGCGGACAGCGAAGCUACUGAGCUAGACACUUCUGUUCCUGAGUCUGCUGCAGGUCCACAGUUUGAUUAUCAUAUUGAGCAUAGGCCUCAUGUCCAGAAGCCAGUCCCAAGGCUUCCAAGGUUCCCAGGUCCUGCAUCAGCACCUGGCUCCUUUGAUAUUAACAGCUUCAAGGCAGACAAUACAUUUUUCAACAGCUCCAAGAACCCCUAUUCAAGGGCAAGGAUUGUAUCAGACAGGUUCUGGAGCUAUUCUCAGCGUAGCUAUUAUUCAUGCAUCCUAUAAAACCAAGGUCGCAUCUUCCCGCACAAGCGCCUUGAGGUUGAAGCCAUUGCUGGUCUGCCCUGCUUAGAGGAAGCACUGGAUUGCUUCAGGCAAGUGGGUCUGCUACCGUUUGUGACUGAUGAAGAGGAGUGGAAUGAAGAGCUUCUGCUUCAGUUCUAUGCCACCCUCCAUAUAAAAGGAUACAACAGAGAUCCGAAGACUUGGAUCCUGGAGUGGAUGACCGGCAAUGUCCAUCAUGAAGCCAAUGCAUUUGAUAUCAUUGAGCUCACCGGCCUGCCCACUCCAGGCGAAUUCUUCAAGGAAGGCUGUCAACUACAUUCUGAAGCGAUUGAGAGCAUAUUCCAGAGGCCUGAACCCAAAAUGAGUCAGAUGCUCUCAAUGAUGAAGCCAUUGCCCCAUGAUGCACCCUAUCCUACUGAGUUCUUCGUUGAAGACCUAGAGUACCUUCCCAGGACCAUAUAUCACAUCAUCCGGCGGACUCUCUGGCCCAUUAAGGGACACUCUCCACAUGCCAAGAUUGAGGGCACAAUGAAGACUCUCAUAUUCUAUAUCCUGCAUGGCAAAUUCUUCAACGCACAGGAUCUCUUCAUACGCCAACUUGCAGCGUCAGGCUCAGAAUUAUUUGGUUUGAAGUUCUAUGCUCCUUGGGUGAUGAGGCUAAUCAAACUGCACUCUGCGAUCACGUAUCAGCCCUCUGCCCGAAACCAUCAGAUCUUCUUGCCAGAUGUGGAUACCUCUGCUGAAGCAAUAUAUCCUGAGCCUGCCAAGCAACCGAUAAGUCUUCAGAAUGCAGAACACCAGAGCUUCACACAGAAUGUUGAAGGUGUUGAAGCCAUAUCCAGGGUAUAUCCGUUGGCUGGCACUACACGUGCACCAGCAUCUACUGAAGCCACAGACAGCACAAAUGCUCCAAGACCCAAGAAGCGUGCUCGUGUCCUCAAUGACCGAGAGCUUCUUGUGGCCCUUCACCAAUAGCAGGAUAGGCAUCACGACUGGCUAAAACGUCAGAUGAAGAGCCUCUUGGUGGAUGUCAAUCGUCUUCGAAACCUUGCCACCAAGAAUGCCUUCGUUACACACGAAACCUGCCAUCGUACAUGGAAAGGGCUCUCAAUGAUAUGCACUGAAGCUGAACUUGAAGAGGAUGGCUUCACAGAGCGCUUCAUGUUUGACACCACACCUCCUAGAAGGGCUGUGAUGCGCAACACACCAUCACUUGAAGAAUCUGAGUUUUCUUCAUCUGCUGCCACAGUUACUGCAAGGAUCAUUGAUGAAGACGACGAUGCUACAUCACCACCACAUGCUUCAACACCUCCAAGCUCCUCUGCACCGCCAACCACCUCCAACGACCCUGCUGCUCCUGGAAACGAGUAGAAAACUCUAUGUCCUCAAACCUUUUUGGUCAUUACUGACAAAAGGGGGAGAAGCAUAUGAUGUUUAUAGUCUUUAAGUGGGUCAAUAUGGGCGGGUGCCUUAUGUUUUGUUAUAUUUUUCUUCAUGUUUACAACUCUUGUUUUUGCUUCAUUUGGUUCUUUGAGUUGUAAACACUAAAACUCGAUGGUCGUCUGCUACUUGUUUGCCACUCUGUUUGCGAAGAUAAAUUCCGCAUGUGCGACGAUAAAUUUCGCACUUAUCUCAUUCUGCAGACGUCCAUUUUCCAUUAUGCAUGUCAUUAUCUUCAUAUACUUUCACAUGCAUAGUGGAUUGUAAUCAUAAGCUGAAGUGGAUCUCCACAAGUACAACCUGCCAUGUGCAUUUGCAUUCCAAAAGCAAAUUAACUUAUAUGCACAUCUUCAGGGGGAGCCCUUGCAACUUAUGAAGACAAUUCCCUAUCCUUUACAAACUUCACACUUUAUAUUCCCCGUUGAAAACUUCAACUAGUUUGUCAUCAAUCACCAAAAAGGGGGAGAUUGUAAGUGCAUCUAGUGCCACCCCUAGUUGGUUUUGGAGUAUUGACGACAAACCUAGUUGAGGGACUAAUGUGUUUGUGAGAAUUGCAGGAAAACACAGGUAAAAGUCCCUCAUUUAUUCAGUUUUACUACUAGAGAUGACCCCUAAAAAUGUAUGACGACAUUGAAGACAAAGGUGGUAUAUGAAGAUAUUCACAUUGAAGACUAUGACAAAAGAAGACAUGUUAUGAAGCAUAUGGAGCUCGAAGACUUAGAUCUUUCGUAGUUCUUUUUCUUUUGUGUUGAGUCAUAGGAACCACCGUACUGUUAAGUGGGGUCCAGGAGAACCAGUCAGAAUGACUGAAGUGAUGCCUAAAUCAAAAACCUAUGUCUUCGAGUGAAGACAAUGAAAGCGAAUCUUGUCCAGAGCCGGACAAGUCAGCUUUGCUUGUAGCCCAAGUAAAGUUGCCAUGAGAGUUCGAAAUCUGACCAUUGAGACACGUGUCAGUUCCUUAGUGACCCAGGGUCAUUUCGGACAAAUCAGGUCGGGUUGCCAAGUGGCUAUAAAUAGCCCACCCCCUAUAACCAUAAACGGUCGGCUGCUCAGAUUUCAGUGCACGACUUUUGUCGUUUGAGAGCAACCCACCUCGAAGCCUUUGAGAGAAAAUUCCUAGCGAGGAGAAAAGCCCUAACCACCCAGAGCCAGAGUAAAUUGGGCAUCACUUAAGUCUUCUUGUCUGUGUGAUCUGAAGACUUAUUACACUUGAGGACUGUGAAUCCUCCAGACGGUUAGGCGUCGCGUUUAGAGCAUCCAAGAGACAUUGUGGAUUGCCAGUGAACGAAGUCUGUGAAGGUUUGGGAGUCUACCUUGAAGACUUACCAAAGUGAUUGGGCGAGGACUAAGUGACCUUAGCUCAAGGAGAAUACGGUGAGGACUUGGUGUCCUGAACUGGGUGUUCAGGACUGGGUGUCCGGGACUGUGUGUCCUAAGGUUUAAAUACCUAGCCGCUCCAACCAAACGUACAGUUGUCACAGCAACUGGAACUGGUCCAACAUAUCAUUGUCUUCAACGAGUCACUGGUUUCAUCUUCACUUCCUUUUCUUACUGUUACUCAUUGUGAAGCCAUUGCAUGCUUGCUUUAUCUUUUGUCUUCACAACGUGAAUGUAUGAUCUGUUUGGCUUCAUAACUUCUUCCUACCUGAUCCUUAUUACACUACAGCUAUUUGUCAUUGUGCUUUCACUCUAUUGAAUACCUGACCAUGGCUGGCCUAGUGUAAUCUAACUUCCGCUGCAUAGUAAUAGGCAUAAUCUUUGCUGGUUGUCUUCAUAACUCCCACGUUUUGAAGACUUUCAUAAAAAUCGCCUAUUCACCCCCCCUCUAGUCGAUAUAACGCACUUUCAAUGACUAAGACUCCGUUCUCCAGAACAAUGGAGCGAGCAACAGACUUAUUAGAAAUAAUACAUACUGAUGUAUGCGGUCCGAUGAGUGUUGAUGCUCGCGGUGGGUAUCAUUAUUUUCUAACCUUCACAGAUGAUUUGAGCAGAUAUGGGUAUAUCUACUUGAUGAAGCAUAAGUCUGAAACUUUUGAAAAGUUCAAAGAAUUUCAGAGUGAAGUGGAAAAUCAUCGUAACAAGAAAAUUAAGUUUCUACGAUCUGAUCGUGGAGGUGAAUAUUUGAGUUAUGAGUUUGGUCUUCAUUUGAAACUAUGUGAAUUAGUUUCGCAACUCAUGCCACCUGGAACACCACAGCGUAAUGGUGUGUCCGAACAUCAUAACCGCACUUUAUUAGAUAUGGUGCGAUCUAUGAUGUCUCUUACUGAUUUACCACUAUUGUUUUGGGGUUAUGCUUUGGAGAUGGAUGCAUUCACGUUAAAUAGGGCACCAUCGAAAUCCGUUGAGACGACACCAUAUGAACUGUGGUUUGGGAAGAAACCCAAAUUGUAGUUUCUUAAAGUUUAGGGCUGCGAUGCUUAUGUGAAAAAGCUUCAACCAGAUAAGCUCGAACCCAAAUCGGAGAAAUGUGUCUUUAUAGGAUACCCGAAGGAGACUAUUGGGUACACCUUCUAUCACAGAUCCGAAGGCAAGUUCUCUCGAAAGAAGUGAGUGGGAGGAAAGUAGAACUUGAUGAGGUAACUGUACCUUCUCCCUUAUUGGAAAGUAGUUCAUCACAGAAAUCAGUUCCACUGAGUCCUACACCAAUUAGUGAGGAAGCUAAUGAUGAUGAUCAUGAAACUUCUGAUCAAGUUACUACCGAACCUCGUAGGUUAACCAAAGUAAGAUCCGCACCAGAGUGGUACGGUAAUCCUGUUCUGGAAGUCAUGUAACAUGACCAUGACGAACCUACGAACUAUGAGGAAGCGAUGAUGAGCCCAGAUUGCACAAAAUGGCUUGAGGCCGUCAAAUCUGAGAUGGGAUCCAUGUAUGAGAACGAAGUAUGGACUUUGGUUGACUUGCCCGAUGAUCGGAACACCAUAGAGAAUAAAUGGAUCUUCAAGAAGAAGACUGACACUUACGGUAACAUUACUGUCUACAAAGCCCGACUUGUUGCGACAGGUUUUUGACAAGUUCAAGGAGUUGACUACAAUGAGACCUUCUCACUCGUAGCGAAGCUUAAGUCUAUCCGAAUCAUGUUAGCAAUUGCCGCAUUUUAUGAUUAUGAAAUAUGGCAAAUGGAUGUCAUAAUUGCAUUCGUUAAUGGAUAUCUCAAAGAAGAGUUGUAUAUGAUGGAACCAGAAGGUUUUGUCGAUCCUAAAGGUGCUAACAAAGUGUGCAAACUCCAGCGAUCCAUUUAUGGACUGGUGCAGGCCUCUCGAAGUUGGAAUAUAUGCUUUGAUAGUGUGAUCAAAGCAUAUGGUUUUGUAUAGACUUUUGGAGAAGCCUGUAUUUACAUGAAAGUGAGUGGAAGCCUCUCUCAAGGAGGGAGACAUAGAGAUUUGCAAGAUACAUACGGAUCUGAAUGUUGCAGACCCGAUGACUAAGCCUCUCUCAUGAGCAAAUCAUGAUCAACACCAAUACUCCAUGGGUGUUAGAAUCAUUACUAUGUAAUCUAGAUUAUUGACUGUAGUGCAAGUGGGAGACCGAAGGAAAUAUUCCCUAGAGGCAAUAAUAAAGUUGUUAUUUAUAUUUUCAUAUAUCAUGAUAAAUGUUUAUUAUUCAUGCUAGAAUUGUAUUAACUGGAAACUUAGUACAUGUGUGAAUACAUAGACAAACAGAGUGUCCCUAGUAUGCCUCUACUUGACUAGCUCGUUAAUCAAAGAUGGUUAAGUUUCCUAGCCAUAGACAUGUGUUGUCGUUUGAUGAACGAGAUCACAUCAUUAGAGAAUGAUGUGAUGGACAAGACCCAUCCGUUAGCUUAGCAUAAUGAUCGUUUAGUUUUUCUGCUAUUGCUUUCUUCAUGACAUAUACAUGUUCCUCAGACUAUGAGAUUAUGCAACUCCCGAAUACCGAAGGAACAACUUGUGUACUAUCAAAUGUCACAACAUAACUAGGUGAUUAUAAAGAUGCUCUACAGGUGUCUCCGAUGGUGUUUGUUGAGUUGGCAUAGAUCGAGAAUAGGAUUUGUCACUCCGUGUUUUGGAGAUGUAUCUCUGGGCCCUCUCGAUAAUGCUCAUCACUAUAAGCCUUGCAAGCAAAGUGACUAAUGAGUUAGUUGCGGGAUGAUGCAUUACUGAACGAGUAAAGAGACUUGCUGGUAACAAGAUUGAACUCGGUAUGAUGAUACCGACGAUCGAAUCUCAGGCACGUAACAUACCAAUGACAAAGGGAACAACGUAUGCUGUUAUGCGGUUUGAUAGAUAAAGAUCUUUGUAGAAUAUGAAGGAACCAAUAUGAGCGUCUAGGUUCUGCUAUUCGUUAUUGUCCGGAGAUGGGUCUCGUUCAUUUCUACAUAGUUCUCGAACCUGUAGGGUCCGCACGCUUAACGUCCGAUGACAAUUUGUAUUAUGAGUUAUGUGAUUUGAUAUACUGAAGGUUGUUCGGAGUCCCGGAUGAGAUCACAUACAUGACAAGGAGUCUCAAAAUGGUUGAGACAUGAAUAUUGACAAUUGGACCAUGCUAUUCGGACACCGAAAGCGUUCUGGAUAGUUUCGGAUAAAACUAGAGUGCCGGAAGGGUUAUUGGAACCCCCCGGGGAAGUAAUGGGCCUUAGUGGGCCUUAGGGGAGAGAGUGGGCACCACCUAGGAGGUGGUGCCUAUCGGAUCACGGGUUCCAGCAAAACCCGUAAGGUUCAAACUCUGGGGUGCGUGCGAAGACCUCCACCCCCCUAUCGAUCCGCGUCCUAACUUAACCUAGAUCUCACGAACUAACUCGACGAACUCGCAACACAAAGGACACAAGAUUUAUACUGGUUUGGGCCACCGUUGUGGUGUAAUACCCUAGUCCUGUGUGGUGGUGGUGGAUUGCCUCUUGGGCUGAGGAUGAACGGUACAUGGGGAAGAACAACCUCCUUAGGUUGAGGUGUUCUUGUGCUUGGUGCACUUGUGGGGCUGGGGGUGACCUUGGAUCCUCUCCCUCCCUAUGGUGGUGGCUAGUCCUAUUUAUAGGGGCCGUGGUCCUGUCCCCAAAUAUUGAGCGGGAAGGGAUCCAACAACGGCCAAUUUGAAAGGGGACAGCUAGUACAAGCUAUCCUGACUAAAGGUGGUCUUCGCCUGCCAAAGUUUCUGGCGGUGACGCCGUCCUGGGCUCCAUGGUGACCUCCGUCUUGUCGUCCUUCUGGUCUUGGUCCCGUUGCACCAAUAUGGAAACCUUUGCUUGAUGCCUCGGUACUCCGUGCCUGUGCUUGCCCCCUUAGCACUAAAGGGGAAACAAGGACGCUUCGCGUGCUGGCGCCCGCCUGGUCUCGAUCAUCAUAGCUUACGUCACGGAAACAUCACGAGGUUUGCCCAACCUUGAACUCUCCGCCCCUCACGAACCGGCAUAAUGAGGCUGCUCCUAAGGAGGUCUGGUGUCAUCCGCCUUGCGAGGCUUGGCCCCUCGCGUGGGUCUUGCUUCCUUGUUGAUGAAGAUGGGUCGUACAGGCCUACCAACAGAGCCACGCCAUGGGCCGCAGGCAGGCAACUCUGGGGACCCCCGUUCCCAGAACACCGACACUAGCCCCCAGGCCCAAGGCGUGCUCGGGCUUGGCUUCGAGGCGAGGCCAAGAGUCAAGCACGGAGCGCCACGGGCCCCAAUAGCCUGCGGCCUCGGUCGACACGUGGCGGUUGAUUGGAUGUGGGCGUCUCCGCUUCCGCACGCUGCCUUGAUACCUGCCUGGCUAAACGGCCACCGCGGUCUACAUGGUUAUUCUUCCAUCGCUUGCGACAUUCUCUUCCAAUUUGUCUGCUUCCCCCAGACUCUGCUCCUCUUUCCUAUCUGACCUUAGCUCUGCUUGCCCCAUCGCCAUGGCACCGACCCAAGCGGAUAAAGGGAAGAAGCCUCUAUCUUCGGCUAGCGCGCCCCCGGCCGCCGAGCCUGCAGUAGGUCGAUCGCGGGUGCUCAAUGAUGAGGCCAUGGGCAAGGUGCGUCUCAUGCUCGCAUCCAGCUUCAAUGAGUGGGGAGAGAUGGUGGCUUGGCCUUCUUCCCGUCGCAUUGAUCAGACGGCCUCUGAGGUCCCCUUCUUCAUCGGCGCCCUCUGGGCCGGCUUGGUCCCUCCUUUCUCUGCCUUCCUCAACGCAGUGCUUUCCCAUUACCAGAUCCACAUGCUGCACCUUGAUCCCCAAUCCAUGACCCUGCUUGCCGUCUUCGCCUUCGUUUGUGACCCUGCGCUCCUUUCGUGGCUCUUGUCCGCCACUUCUUCUUGCUGCACCUGAUUGAUCCUAGGCAGAGUUCCGGGUGCCUGAGCUUUCAGGCCGUGGCGGCGACGGCCAGCGAUGGGAUUGACUUCGAGCUUCCACCAUCCGCGAGCGGGUUCCGGACACGGUGGGUGUUUGUUGACGCCGCAGUGAUCAGCCCCCUGCUCUCUUCUCCGUCUGAGCCCGCCAUUCCUAACUCCGGCUGGUGCCACCGGAGGCUCGCCGAUCCAUGCCUUGUCCCCAUCUGGCUGAGGUUGAGAUGGCUCAAGGACCUUGGCGUGACUGCGCCUAUAGUGGUGAGGGAGUUCGUCCGGUGCCGAAUUGCUCCGCUUCAGCGCCACUCCCGGCCGAUGUGGGCCUUGCUCAGCAGCCAGGACCACAUGAGACUUCAGGAGUCUAAGCUCCCCCAUGAGGCGCGGCGAACGGUGUUUGAGGUCCUGACGGGCGUCCCAUUCCCGGACGACUUGCCGAGGAAGAGUUGUGUUUUGUACUGCUGCUCGAACAAGAUGUCCUUCGCGGAGCAGAUGCCCUCCUUCGACGAGUGGGGGUUGCACCCAGCUGGCCUCGUGGGGCCCCACGAGAACCCCAUCAUCAUGGUUCCUUUCCUCGACACUGGCACAGAAAUCGCCCCAAGUGUUGGUGCAGGGGGCGUGCACCGCUGGGGGCCGAUAGUGAAGGUGCCGAGAUGUGGAUGCCAUGUAGGGAUCCUAAAGCGUCGACCUCGGGGUCCCGUGACUCUUGCCCUAGGGCGGCUAUUGAAGGGGCGGUGCAGCCCGCAUCUCCCGCGGCCGGGGCUCCUGACGCCUCGGCAAGUCACUGUGAGGUAGAGCCGGCCAGCUCUCCUCAUCCUAGUGCUUCUGAGGCUGCCCCUCCGAGCACUUCUCCAACCGCGCCUCGCGUCGGCCUCCAUGUUCAGCGCUUCGGCCGGCUGUGCGUGGACUUCACAGAACUCCGCAAGAGAAAGGGGUCCCCAAGCUGCGGCAGCGGUACCUUCGGGCCAUUGAAAUGGAGGAAGUAUAUCGCCGUUGACGAGUAAGUACCUUAUCUUGGUGAUCUUCUAUGUGCCGCUUUCCUUCCUGAUGAACAUCCCCUCAGGACCCCUUCUGACAAGGCCGUAAAAUCUCCUAAGAAGUAGCUCCCUCUCGUCCUGUUGCACACGCCAUGCUCGAGCGCCACAGGCUCGUGCGCCGCCCACGAUGCUGGGUCCACUGCGGGAGUUGGCCCGUCAUCAUGGCAUCUUGAGCUCGCGCCUUCGACGUCCUUCCUUCGCGGCCUGGCUUGGAUCACGGCAAGUGUGCCAAGGGCUCCUCCCCUAAUCACUGCCGGCGGCUGGCUGGCUUCGAUCCUGGGGUCUUCUUCAAGCAGCGGGCCCCGUUUAGUUUGGGCCCCUCACGAGACCCAGUCGGUGCCUGGGGCAGCACCAGCCCCCUGCCCCCUGCUGAGAGGGGACGUACUGUGUCGGGUGUCACCCACAGCCCCCGUAGCGGAGGGCGAGAUGAGCCAUGCACUCGAGUUCGAGCACGGGCGGAGUGUUGUUCGUCAUGAGCUCUUCCAGGAGGCGAUGGGCGCAAUGAACCGACUCGGUGAAGAACUUGAGGGUGUCGAUGCGUGCCUCGAGGCCGAGGGUCUUCGGUUGGCGGAGGAGUGGCACAAGCUGCAGGUGGCCAUCAACCUCGGGCUCCACCAGCGCGAGCUGGACAACAGGAAGGUCGAGGCUUCUCUUGUAGCCUCCCGUGAGGCCUGCUCACGAGCUCUGGAGGAGGCUCGGGAAGUUGACCGCCAACGCGAGGCCGCGGAGAAAUGUGCGUGGGAGCUCCAAUCCUGGAGCGCUUUCUUGGAUCAGUAGGUGGAGGCGCGCAGGGCUGCUCUUGCGUGAUUGAGGGGGUCGCCUGCCGAGGAGGAAGAGAUCCGGAAGUGCGAGGAGGUGCUCGCGCUGGAAGCCGUGGAGCGUAGCCUUGAACUCGAACGGCUAGAGAUGAGGUAGCGCCAGGUUCCUCAGGCGGAGGACGACGUCGGCACGCGCGAGGUCAGGGCCCAAGAGGAGAUCGACCAGCGUAUGGCCGAGGCUCACACGGAUCUCGAGAGAAGGCAGAACAUGAAGCUGAAGCUCUUGGAAGCUGGGGCUGCUGGUAGGACUGCCGCCCUCAAGUCCCGGCUGGUCGAGGUGGAGCGGCGCGAGGAGGCCACUACAUCAGCUCUGUCCUCGGCACAGGCUGAGCUGGUUUUAUCCCGCGCCGAUCUGCUCUCUCUUCGGCAGCGGGUCGCCGAUGCCGAGUCUGUCGCGCGGCAGAACAGGGAUGAAGUGCUUGAGCGGCAGACAUUGGAGCGUGUGCACGCCCCCAUGCUCGAGGACCUCAGGAACAGGACCAACACCGCCCUGGGCCAUAUCUGCGAUGAGAAUGCUCCUCAUCCCCAAGAAAACGACUACGCCAGCCACCUCCGCUUCUUUGGGGAUGUGCUGAUGCGCCUGCAAAACCGUUCCGAGAGGGCUCGCCAACUUGUUGAGGAGAGGAGUCGCAGUCUGCUCAGUCGCGCGUUCUCCCACGUCUUCAGCCACCUCUGGAACAUCGACCCCAACUUCGAUUUUGACGCCGCCAUUGCUCCCUUACCGGAAGCCAUCCGGGGCGAUCUGGCGCGAUGGGUUGAAGACAAUGUGGAUGUGCUGGUCAGGGCCUUCGCUUCUGACGACGACGAGGUAGUGGUCAUGGUAGGCGAAGGCGUGGUGGUUGACGACGGCGACGCCGGUGCCGGUGAAGGUGGAGGAAACGCCAACGAUGGCCACAGCGACGCCAACGAUGGCACCAGCGACGCCAGCAGUGCAUCAGAAGAUGAUAUGGGAGACGCGGUGAGCGACAUAUCCGGCUGGUUCCUCGUUCCCCUGCUGUUUACCCUAUAAAAACUUGGGCGUGGCCCCGAAAGAUUGUAAGAGCAUUUUGAGAGGGGGAUCCCCUCAUGUAAACAACCGUAGCUUUUAUCCUUCUGUGUCAAAUUGAGUACGCGUCUUCACGAGCUUACGCAUGUCGGGGCAAGGUUGUUGUUGCGGUUUACCUUAGCUUGGACGAGCCCAAAACCGGCCUGAGAGAUUGCAGGUUUUUGAGGAGCUCCUGAGGAGUUCGUCGACAUGCCUGAGGGGGGCGACAAGGCAUGCAGUGCCACGUAAGCUGGCAGGCUGCUAAGAUGGCAUGGUGGUAGGGUCUUCACGAAGAUCUGCAUGCCACCACAUAAGUACUUGCUGGGUUGGCCUAGAGGCCGCGCGUCGCCACACAGGUGCCUGCCUAGCUGGUUGGGCUGGCGACUGCAUGGGAACAGCGGUGGGGACUUGGCAGAGGUGGGCCUGGCUAUGGCCCCGCAGGUGUCCUCGGCAAGGGUCUUGCCGGGGCCCCGGCAAGGGUCUUGUCGUGGCAUCGCGGUCGUCCCCAGCAAGGAUCUUGCCGUUGAUUUCCUUGGCACGGAUUUGGUCAAGGAUCGUCAUCUUCUGGUCCUCAUCCGAUCUUGUGUGCUUAUGAUCUUCCAAAGAUCUGUAUGCCACCAUGGAGGUGCCUCCCGAGCCUUGGUUCCAAUGUGGUUGAUGGUGUUGGAACCCUUGGGCUCAAGGGUGGCGCGCUCUGUUGGCAUUGGGCAAGUUUCCCCGGCAAGGCUCUUGUCGGGGCUGCGGAGGCCGCCCCGGCAAGGGCCUUGCCGGGGGAGUCCACCUCGCCAUCUUCUCUUUGUGUCUCUGGUCUUGGCGUUGUUCUGGUUGCCUUGUGCUUUUGCUCCCUCUGCCCCACUAGGUAUGGUCGUACGCGUGGCUCUAACUGUCCGCGCAAAAGUAAAGGGGUACAAAAGUGAGCCCCUACUUUUGUGCACCGACACAAUGCAUGAUCAUGUAGUUGACAUCGUAUUUGUGGCGAAGCCACCGAUCAUCCUAUUUUUUAUACAUGUCACUCUUGAUUCAUUGCACAUCCCGGUACACCAUGGGAGGCAUUCAUAUAGUCAUAUUUUGUUCUAGUAUCGAGUUGUAAUUUUUGAGUUGUAAGUAAAUAAAAGUGUGAUAAUCUUCAUUAUUAGAGCAUUGUCCCAUGUGAGGAAAUAAAAAAAGGGGAGAGAAAGGCCAAAUAAAAAAAGAAUGCCCAAAAAAUGAGAGAAAAAGAGAGAAGGGACAAUGUUACUAUCCUUUUGCCACACUUGUGCUUCAAAGUAGCACCAUGAUCUUCAUGAUAGAGAGUCUCCUAUAUUGUCACUUUCAUAUACUAGUGGGAAUUUUCCAUUAUAGAACUUGGCUUGUGUAUUCCAACGAUGAGCUUCCUUAAAAUGCCCUAGGUCUUCAUGAGCAACCAAGUUGGAUGCACACCCACUUAGUUUUUUUGAGCUUUCAUAAACUUAUAGCUCUAGUGCAUCCGUUGCAUGGCAAUCCCUACUCACUCACAUUUAUAUCUAUUGAUGGGCAUCUCCAUAGCCCGUUGAUAUGCCUAGUUGAUGUGAGACUAUAUCCUUCUUUUGUCUUCUCCACAACCACCUUCUAUUCCACCUAUAGUGCUAUGCCCAUGGCUCACACUCAUGUAUUGCGUGAAGAUUGAAAAAGUUUGAGAACAUAAAAAGUAUGAAACAAUUGCUUGGCUUGUCAUCAGGGUUGUGCAUAAUUUGAAUAUUUUAUGUGAUGAAGAUGGAGCAUAGCCAGACUAUAUGAUUUUGUAGGGAUAAGCUUUCUUUGGCCAUGUUAUUUUGAGAAGACAUAAUUAUUUUGUUAGUAUGCUUGAUGUAUUAUUGUUUUUAUGUCAAUAUUAAACUAUUGUUUUGAAUCAUACGGAUCUGAACAUUCACGCCACAAUAAAGAGAAUUACAAGGAUAAAUACUAGGUAGCAUUCCACAUCAAAAAUUCUAUUUUUAUCAUUUACGUACUCGAGGACGAGCAGAAAUUAAGCUUGGGGAUGCCUGAUACGUCUCCAACGUAUCUAUAAUUUUUGACUGUUCCAUGCUAUUAUAUUAUCUGUUUUGGACGUUUUACAUGCAUUAAGAUGCUAUUUUAUAGGAUUUUUGGGACUAACCAAUUAACCUAGAGCACAAUGCCAGUUUCUAUUUUUUCCUUGUUUUAGAGUUUCGCAGAAAAGGAAUACCAAACGGAGUCCAAACAGAAUGAAACUUUGGCGAUGAUUUUUCUUGGACCAGAAGACAUGCAGAGGACUUGGAGUGCACGUCAGGGGAGCCACGAGGCGGCCACAAGGACGGAGGGCGCGUCCAGGGGGGUAGGGCGCGCCCCACCCUUUUGGGCCCCUCGUGACUCCACCAACCUAUUUCUUCCGCCUAUAUAUUCUCAAAUACCCCAAAACCUUCCAGGGGAGCCACGAAACCACAGUUCCACCGCCGCAACUUUCUGUACCCGUGAGAUCCCAUCUAGGGGCCUUUUCCAGUGUUCUGCCGGAGGGGGAUUCGAUCACGGAGGGCUUCUACAUCAACACCAUUGCCUCUCCGAUGAAGCGUGAAUAGUUUACCACAGACCUACAGGUCCAUAGCUAGUAGCUAGAUGGCUUCUUCUCUCUCUUUGAUUCUCAAUACCAUGUUCUCGUCAAUGUUCUUGGAGAUCUAUUCGAUGUAAUACUUUUUUGCUGUGUGUUUGCUGAGAUCCAAUGAAUUGUGGAUUUAUGAUCAGCUUAUCUAUGAAUAUUAUUUUAAUCUCCUCUGAAUUCUUAUAUGCAUGAUUUGAUAUCUUUGCAAGUCUCUUCAAACUAUCAAAUUGGUUUGGCCAACUAGAUUGGUUUUUCUUGCAAUGGGAGAAAUGCUUACCUUUGGGUUCAAACUUGCGGUGCUCGAUCCUAGUAACAUAAGGGGAACCGAUACGUAUUGUAUUGCUGCCAUCGAGGAUAACAAGAUGGGGUUUCCAUCGUAUUGCUUGAGUUAAUUUCGCUACAUCAUGUCAUGUUAUUUAAUGCAUUACUCUGUUCUUAUGAACUUAAUACUCUAGAUGCAUGCAGGACUCGGUCGAUGUGUGGAGUAGUAGUAGUAGAUGCAGAAUCAUUUCGGUCUACUUGAUACGGACGUGAUGCCUAUAUUCAUGAUCAUUGCCUUAGAUAUCAUCAUAACUUUGCGCUUUUUUCUAUCAAUUGCUCGACAGUAAUUUGUUCACCCACCAUAAUAUUUUCUAUCUUGAGAGAAGCCUCUAGUGAAACCAAUGGCCCUCGGGUCUAUUCUCCAUCAUAUAAUCUUCUAUUUUCCAUCAUAUAAGUUUCCGAUCUAGAAUUUUAGUUUCCUAUUUACUUUCUUUGCAAUCUUUUACUUUCCGAUCUAUAAACCAAAAAUACCAAAAAUAUUACUUUACCGUUUAUCCAUCUAUAUCAGGUCUCACUUUGAAAAUAACCAUGAAGGGAUUGACAACCCCUUUGUCGUGUUGGGUGCAAGUUGGUGUUUGUUUGUCCAUGUAUUCGGUGGCUUGUUGCAUUGUCUCCUACUGGAUUGAUACCUUGGUUCUCAAACUUGAGGGAAAUACUUACUCUACUUUGCUAUAUCACCCUUUCCCCUUCAAGGGAAAAACCAAUGCAAGCUCAAGCGGUAGCAAGAAGGCUUGCUGAAGCCUGACUAUCUACAAGGCCCUUCAUAGGCUCGAGGCUGCCACCUGAGUACAAGCUACUCAUCAACAUCGAGAUCUACAUGUUUAUUAAGCAAACAUGGGUACUAAGGUACUCAGCAAGUCUUACAUCAAAUCCUAUAAUAUAUGCAACAUUAUCAACAAGGCUAGUGGAAUUUAUGCAGCAAGCUAGCUCUGACUCUUAGCUAUUCUAUCCUUCGUAUAACAGUAGUUUGAAUAAGAGGAGAUAGCGCACAUGAGUCCACUAAUCACCACAACAAUACUCCACCGUGGAUCCUCUCCCGUAUUCCUACGAGAGGGCCAUCCACGGCACUCACACUUGUCUUGAGUCUUUUAUGGGUAACUGUUAACUUGUCUAUGAACUGCAUAAGCAGCCAAGUGGUCCAUUAUCGCAGACGCGGCUAUUCAAAUAGUUUGAUAACCCUGCUGGGGUGUACUUCUUCACACAUGUGUCCACCACUUAGCGCCUCCACACGUCAAGUGCUCGGCAUACUUCAAGCGAAAGCCGGCGAGGGUCUAGACCACGACCUAAGCAACCACAUAAGUCUCUAGUCCAGGUUUAUUGCCUAUUCGGGUUCCAUCCACAAGGAGAUCCGGCUGGUGUUUCCAGUACAACCCCAAACGCUGUGUGCAGGGUUCCCGAGGCACCAAACUGGCAUGCCGGUAUACCGUGCUAGGUACUUGCCCCAUCACACUCCACCCCAAGGAUUAGCGUUGCGCACAGCCUCCAGUAUACUAUAGACACCAGAAACUACUUGCAACUACUAGACCGAGAUCAUGGUAGUCAAUAAGUCAAGCGGGGUCAUAUUUUAGGGCCCAAUGUGUGGUAGUAGCUGGUGUUGAAUCACACACACAGAACUCAGUUCUUAGGGACGGUUCCAAUGAAACAACCCAUCAUGUACUCCUACAUGGCCUCUCAUCGAUACCUUUACCAAAACAUGUUCAACACUUCACUCUCAUUACUGGACACAACCUUUUCACUCCAAUCCAUCACCCAGAUGAAUCGGACCUAACACAACUCUAAGUAUAGCAGGCAUAGCAUGGUAGGAACACAACAUGGCUCAAUCAACUCCUACACAUGCUAGUGGGUUUCAUCUAGUUACCGGGGCAAAGACAGGUCAUGCAGAGGAAAGGGGUUCAACUACCGCAGGAAACAGCAGUUUGAAACGUUAUUGUCUUAAUGCAGUAAAAGAGAGCAAGAGCAACAAGAUGGUAUUAUAUCGAGAUGAUCAAUGGGGGUUGCUUGCCUGGAAGGGUGGUGGAAGUGUACUGCCCUUCGGUUGGAUAUAUUCACGGAUAUCCUCGGUGUAGGACCUACCACGGAGAUCACACCGGUAACACAAUCAAUACAUGGCAAUAUGAAACAAUAUGAUGCAUGCAUAUGACAUGGAAAAGUGAGUGUGUUGGGCUAAUGCAACUAAAACAAGAGGGGUUUGAGUCAAUUCAAACCAAAGGUUCAAAUUCAAACUCAAACUAUGAAUUUAUAAAGUGCGGUAUCAUGUUUUGAUCUAUACAGCAAGGUUAAGUUGCUUUGUCAUGCAUGAAACCAAUGCUAAUGGAUGGAUUGGAUUUUUCUGAUCAUUUUUCAUAUGUAAAUCUUUUCCAUCUAAGCUAUAGAUUAAUUUCUAUGAUUUUUUGAAGUUUAAACCUUUUUCUGGAUUUUUUGAUUAAUUAGAAAUAAACUAAUUCCAUAAAAGGGAAUUACCGCGUCAGCAUGAUGUCAGUGAGUCAACGGGGCGGCCCAGGUCAAACUGACCAGUGGGUCCCGCAUGUCAGUGACCAACUAAACUAACCUAAUUUAAUUAGUACUAACCUAGGUUAAUUAGCAGGGCGGCCCCACACGUCAGUGACCUAGGGGAGGUCAAACCCCUCUUCAACAGGGGCUAACACGCAGGCGCUUAGCCGUCGGUGAUAAUGGAUGUGGUGGGGCGCUUCGGGAACGGGUUGUGGUGCCCCAUUCGUAGUGCAGCUGGGCUCGUUCGAGAGCCUAGACCAGCGCGCGUCGGGCGAUGACGCCAGUCGGGCCUGAGGUGGCCAGAUGCAACGACGGGGAGCUCGGCUGCAGCGGCCGGAGCUUGUUUGCAGGCGCGGGCGGCGCUGCGGGGCAUAGGCGGGUGAGCUAGCACGCUAGGGACGGCGUGCGCGAAGCGGCGAGUGCAAAGGACACGAUGGGCGGACCAUUUGGUCACUGAAGUUGUGUCGGCGGCGAUCGCAGCCAGUGGCGCAUGCGGGUGAGAGCGGCGGUGUGGCUACGCAGUGCGGCAGCGAGAACAGAGAGGGAAAGAAGGGGCAGCAGCUCACGGCGAUCAUAGUGGAGUGGACGGUGAGCUCGAAGGUGGUCGGAGCUGAGCGCGGUGGCGACGGGGGUCUCCGGUGAUGGGCGAUGAAGGUGGGGUUAGGGAGGCAUAUCUAGGGCAUGUGAGCGCUCGUGGCUUGGCUGGCUCGGUGCAGUGGACGGCAAGGAAGCUCAUGGGCACGUCGAGGCGAUGAGCGAGCGGCGGUGGCUGUGGCUUCACGGUAGCGCGGUAGUGGCUGCAUCGGCCACGGCGAUCAGAGGGCAAGAGAGAGAGGGCAGGGGGAGAGUGAGGUGUCGGGGAGCUCGGGGCGGCACCGAGGAGGCGUUUCGACGCAUCUGCGCACUGUCCAGGCGACACAGGCGAGUAGGGAGCUGCACGGCGAGCUCGGGCGCGCGUGCCCUGUCCCCCUCUGCCUACUGGAAGAGGUAGGGAGUGACUGGCACCAGGCCAGGUGGGUCGGCCCAGUUCAGGUAAGUUGUCUAGGGGCCUUCUCCCUCUGCCUUUUCUGUUUUUCUGUUUUAUUUUCUGUCUUUCUUUCUGGUUUAGCACAAAUGCCAAACCUCUUUGUAAAAUGCUGAAAAUAUUUGUGGGCACUUGUGAAAUUAUUUCCAACAGCCCUCAAAUUCUUUCAAGAUUAUUUGGACAUUUAAAAUUAUUUAUAAGAUUUAAAUGUCCAACUGUAAAUACUAUAUGGAUUAGUUCAAAAAUCCAGAGUGUCCUAGAAAAAUGUGCACCAUUUUUGGUAGAGGUUCUAUUCCACUUCAAAAAUGAUGAACUUUUAUGAAGGGCGGUUUGCGUUCAUUGAAAUCAUGUUUUAGUUGAACCUGGUAUUUCCUAGGGGGUGCUGGGGUUUGUUGAUCCCCAUUUCAAGUUUAAGAAUAAUUUAAACAUGAUGCAUCACUCUAGCUAGUCCUAAUGCAAGCACUGACUAGGGUUGUGACAAGAGAAAUGGGAGAAAAUCAAGCGAAGAUAAUGCGAGUGAUCCUCCAUUAAUUAGGGCCUGGCUAAUUGAGUCAAUCCCUUAAUUCUGGCAUAUGGGAGAAAAUCAACUGAACAACGCUACUGCUCGAUCCCCAUCCAACGCUGGCAAUGCGUUUGGAUUUGUCCCAAAAAAGUUGUUGUUUGCCAGAUGCAAAUUUUGUUUAAUUUAAGCUAUUGAUAUUGGGGGGAGAUACUAUGUUAGUUUUCUAUGCAUGUUAAUCAGUACUAAGAAAUGGGAGGAGUAGAACCUUUCCACACGAAUUAUCUUUGGGCAGAUAUUAUUGCAAUAGGAGGAUUCCAACGUUUCCUAACGAACUAAGUUACGUAAUAUUUAAAUUCUAUCCAUAUAUGGUUUCCAAUUAAGGAAUUUUGUAAAUGCUAGGGAAAUUGGGAAUUUUUUUACCUAGCACUGCUUUUCCUUCCGCUACUAAGGAAUUGCCGAGCUAUAUAAAUAGGCACCUAGACCCGUAUGUUUUCCUCACCCAAUGAAAUUUAGUUCAUAGUGAUCUAGACAUGGCGAUCAAGCUUAUACCAGUAGCCUUUUUCUUGCUCAUCCUGGCCUUUGCUGAGUCCAGCGACAGGGGCGAACCUCCAUCUUCUCGUAAGUACUACUACUAGCUUUACCAAGUCGAGGGUCUCUCAUGUCUGAAUCACCUCAUAUAGUUUAUUAUUUCCUGCAGAAGAAAAUGCUUUUGAUACGAGUGCUUAUGCGGUUCAUUGGGAUCCACCUGCUGGUAAAUACUUGUGCUACCUUGUCAAGUUGCGAAAUUUGUUAAUUGUGAGUCAACACCUAAUUUGUCAGUUACUGCAAAGGGAAAUGGUUUUGGUGAAAGUGCUUAUGCGGUUCAUUGGGAUCCUCCUUCUCGUAAGUAAUUGUGCUACCUUGCCAACUCGGGAAGUUUGUUAACUGUGAAUUAACUCAUUGGUCAUUAUUUCCUAUAGAAAAAGAUGGCUUUGGUGAAAGUGCGUAUGCGGUACAUUGGGAUCCCCCUUCAAGUAAGUACUUGUGCCACCUUCCCAUGUUGAGAAUGUGUUAAUUCUGAAUAAGCUCAUAGUUUGUUAUUUGCUACAGAAGAAGGAGGUUCUGGGGCAAGUCCUUAUAAGGUGAAUUGGAGCCCAGAAGAUGCACCUUCUAGUAAGUACUUGUGAUACCUUACCAAGUCGAGAACGUGUUAGUUUUGACUGAAAUCAUGGUUUGUUAUUCCUAUAGAAGAAAAAGGUUUUGGGGCAAGUGCUUAUGCGGUACACUAGGACCCAGAUCGUCCACCAUCUGGUAAGUACUUCUCCUACCUUACCAUGUUGAGAAUGUGUUAAUCCUGAACCAAAUCAUACUUUUUUAUUACCUUUACAAGAAAAAGGUUCUGGGACAAGUUCUGACAAGGCGACUUGGAGCCCAGAAGAUGCACCUUCAUGUAAUUACUUGUGCUUUAUUAGAAAUUGAAGAAUGUGUGAGUCCUGAAUCAACUCAUGAUUCUUUAUUUCCUAUAGAAGAAAAAGGAUAUGGUUCAAGUGCUUAUAAGGUAACUUGGAGCCCAGAUGAUGCACCUUCUGGUAAGUAGCUGCGUACCUUAGGAAGUGGAGAGUUUGUUCAUUCUGAAUAAACUCAUAGUUUGUUUGUGCCCUUAGAAUAGAAAGGAUUUGGUGCAAGUGCUUAUGCAGUACAUUGGGAUCCAGAUCAUCCACCUGUUGGUAAGUACUUGUGCUACAAAUCUUAUCAACUAGAGAUUGUGUUAGUUCUAAAGCAGCUCAUUGUUUGUUAUUUCCUACAGAAAAAAACCGCGCCUGACAGCAAUAGCCAUGUGUCAUAUGAACACAUCUGAUUGGGACACGCGGUACUCUGAGCUGUUGGAUGGAGAGCGUGGCGAACCUAUUUGGCACUACAUGCCCACCAAUUACAUCAUGUUCUAUUAGAUAUAUUUAAAGUUCAUGCUCAACUAUGUAAUCUUGUUAUCUUAUCAAUAAAGCAUGUCGAGUGGAUGGAUGUUUGUUAAAAAAACUCAUCACCACCAAAAUCUGGGAGUCUUUUGACUGCUACACACCAAUAUUUUCUUUUAUUGCAUCCCACAAAACUCCAGUUUGAUUAAUUGUAAUGUUGCACUUGGGAAUUAUUAUUUUUGCAUU